AAGAUCAGAGGUCUCUUUCUCCAACUCCCCAAUCCUUUCAUCAAGCUUCUUUUCUUUAAGCCUCGCCGUCGACAAGUCAUUUUCUCAUUCAGAACGAAGAGUUAUAUUUUCCACUUCAAGGGACUCCGCCCUCCUCUGAGCUUCUGAGCAAGCAGACUCUGCCUUCUCUAGCUCCUUGUGCUUCUCGGCGACCUCACCACUAAGAGCCUCCACCUUGAAUUGACAUUUUUUGAGUUGGCCUCGCAGCAGGACCACUUGGGCUUGGAGAUCACUGCAUUGGGCUUCUACUCCCCUACUAAGCUCGAGAUGCUCCUUUUUGCUCCUCAACGUCCCUUCCAGGACACUACAUUUUUCCACAACCCGGAUCAGCUCCUCGUCCCUCUCUUUCAAGUCCUCCCUUAGUUAACGCACAUCACUGUCUUCGUGGAGCCGACACCGGAGCUCCCGAUACUUUUCAAGACAUUUAAAGCACUUGUCCUUCAACUCCACGUAAAUAAGUUUACGUUUCUUCUCCCGGCCGAUCUCUAGAAUAAACGUCUGCAAAAUGAAGAAAAAAAAUUAGAACUUACGAAAGAGAGCAAAACAUAAGAAAAAAAAUAGACAAUAGUUGUACUUACUUGGAGAGCAAGGCCAGCAAUGUUACUCGACAGGGUGCCUUCUUCUAUUGUCUCGAGGAUCGUACCCUUAAUUUCAGAACAAAAAGGACCAAGUGAAGAAACUAUUCCCUUGGAAUUUACAAGAAAAUUAUGAUCCAUUGGGAUCAUAAUAGUCAAGGAGCCCCCUUCCUACCUCACUUUGUGUUGAGUGAGUCCCUCAUCGAUCAUUAUCAACUCGUCCAUAUCUAUGUCAGAGUCAGAUCCAAUAUCCUUUUCAGUGACGUCCUUCCCACUGUCAUAGGUCGUAGAAGGGACGUCCACCGCGACCCCAGAAGACGAGGCCUCUUCUUGCCUCGGAAGUUCUAUAUUGUCUUCAUGCACCUCACCCUUGAUUGUGUCCCCCGCAAGACGCAUGCUCGCCUCCUCUAAGUAUGGGGCCUCAAGACCUGCCUCAAGGCUUACUCCAAUAUGUACUGUGGUCGUCUCUCGAAGAAUAAGGUCAUUGUCCCCCAAAUCGACGGCUACCUACCUCUCUCCCUCCCACACCCACGGCUCUCCUCUUACGAGGUAUUAGACCACCGUCAUCAGGAGAGAUGUCAUCCUCAUCAACUAGUGAAAGGAGUUGUGGAGCAGAAGCCAGAGAUGGAACAAAGAUGGGUUUUCAGACUGCGGCAACUGAGCGUAUGACUGGUAAGGAAGAUGUAGUAGUCGCAAUAGGGAUAGAAGAUGAAGGCGCAAUAGUCGUCCUUCAGAAAGAGGGAACCGGUGCCCGGCUCCUCUGAGAAGAUCCCCUGCUUGAAAGAAAGGCACAAAAUCAAGAUAGCAAAACAAAUCCACAUAGAACGGGAAGUGGGACGUCCACGAUCAAAGAAAAAAAUUACAUGUCGAAGGAAGAGCGGGUUUGAAUCUCUUGAAAAUACCCAGCCAAUCGCGGAUUCCUAUGAUAUAGGGGAGGAGUUGGUCGACCCAGUCAGAGAUGUGAGCGGCCAAAGGAGGAGGCUGGCUAUUGGCCGUAAAAGAGGAAAGUGAGAAAUCAGAAUUCAAAACCAAACAAAUGCAUAAAGAAACAAGGCACUCACGAGUGUAAUUCCAAACAUCAGGAAAGCUGUUGACAUUGGCUACAACGUCCUCGGUUCUGACGAAGAAGAAGUUAAGCCAGAACUGACGAUUGGUUUUGUCGUCCAUCCACCACCAAAUAUUUAACUCCUCGGUGGUGAACGUUCAGCAUCAUUCCCCUAUAGAAGCCAGGGACGAAUAGAUGUACUAAGUGUCGAAGCGUCCGCUCGAACCUAAGUAGCUCAGCAAACUUAGUCAGCAUCUUGAUAACCUUGUAGACGUAUGGUGCGACGUGAGCAGAGUAGACGCUAUUGUAAUGGAAAAAUUCUUCCACCAACGGAAAGAGGGGGAAAGAAUAGCCGAUGAGGAAGGGGUAGUCAUAAGGAGCACAAUACCCAGGGCAAUGAAUCUGUACCGUGUCCUCUUCGAUCGGGAUCAGCUCAACAUGGUUUGGAAGGCCAAAUUUGGCAAGGUUCCACCAAUUCCUUAGGCGUCAUCGUCGAUUUAAGGAGUCCAGGUGCGGUGUCAGGUACUUUGGUAAGGUCAGACCAAUAGUCAGGAUUACGGGGGAUUAUUUCCUCCACCGACAUGAAGGUUUCAUCCUCAACAAUGGCAGAAAUGCUCGGGGAAACACCAGUGCCAAGGGAGCAACACAACUCCCUUCACCGGCAUCAGAAGAUACGGUUGAUAUGUUUCAAGGUAUUGGAGAAAAAAAACAUUCGGGAGAGAAUGAAAAUGGAAUAGGUCAAUGACACAGAGAAAAGAGAUUCGGAGAAGAAGAAAGCAGGAGAGAAGUUUGGUGAUUCAAAGCGUUAGACGAUUUAAACUUCAAAACCAGGUCCAAAGGUCCCUAUUUAUAGAAGUCAUAGCAUCGAAACCAAAACCAGCUCAUCAUGGUUGGCACCAGAAUUGAAGCGGCAGGUCUGAUCAAAGGUCACACACAAAAUGAUGCUACGCAUCAGAAAUAUACGUCAUAAUGACGCAUGAUGUCAUGACGUCAUCCUAACCCUUGGAUAGGGUAACUCCAGAAAAUCACCCAGGAAAUUCAAAGCAUUUGAAAGAUGCGACUCACUGAGGGCCACAUCACCCUUUCGCCGUAACAACCAUAAUCCAUAUAGUCCGCUUGAUAGGAUCGACCACUAACAACAUAAUCCGCUCAUCGAACUCGCCCGCGAAGUCGACCUCUAUAAGCGAAGGGACUAACUAUAUGAGUCAAAAGUUAUCUCUAAAAUGUUUAAGUCAUGGUAGCAUCAGUGAGGCAUUUACAAGCCACCAUGUGUCGAAGUGGUUCAAGGACAAAUGAAGGUUGCGGUCAAAGAGUCAACAAGAAUUAAGGUCGAGAAGUCAUCAAAGGUUGAGUUCAAGGUCGAAUGCCUUUAAUAGAGUUAUAACGGCUAGUUUCAAGAUAGGACAUUAAAGAGAAUACUCUAGUGGAUAUUCUAUGCACUUAUGCUAUUAGGGUUUCUAGGUACAUGUUCCCUAUAAAUAGAAAGAGACACAAUGAUAUGGGAUGAGAGAUAUUCAUUUGUAAAGAACACAUUGACUUUGUAAGAGAUAAUCUGGUCUUAUCUCAUAUAUACAAAAACAACCUUUUUUACCAAGAUUCUUGACCAGUAUUUCCACCGGAUCCAAGAACAACCCAAAUAUUCAAAGGCUUAUCAAUCAUUCAUUAUUGUCAGAUAGAAUAACCACUUAUCUCAUCCCUUUUCGGGUGGUUCACACGCUUUUAUUUACCUAAAUGCCAUUUAUUUCUAUUUAUUACUAUUUAACGCCAUAUUUCAUCUUUUUGAAUCAUUGAAUAUUACUAUCAUUGCUCACAUUUACUACCAUCCGAAUAGAAUAUACUAGUUAUUUGGUCUUGAUACACAUAGCUUUAUCUUUUGGAUAUUAUUUUUAACUAAAAUUAACUCUUCUUUGUAUAAAUCUAUGUUGAGCCAAAAUCGAUAUUUUUUGGUCAAACGGCCUGUAAAUUCAAAUUUUUGUAUCGUGAUUCUAUAAUAAAUUUUUUUAGAUAGUGCACAAUUAUCCCCCCCCCCUAUUUCUUAGCUCAUAGAUUGUCAAUCUAUUUUGCCCCUCCAAGGGGGUGGGGGGAGGGAAGUGCAUAGUUAGCCACUAAUAAUACAUGUAUUUACUUUUAAGCCACUAUUUAAAAUGUCUUUAGUCUUUAGUCAUUGCUUUAAUAAACUUUACCCGCCCGGACGAAAACACCCUUCUGCUCAUAAAGUUCAGGACCAAGUGUCCUUAACUUUUGAACUUGCAACUCUAAGUUCAGGACUUCAGGAUUACAUGUCCUUAACUUUUGAACUUGGAACUCGAAGUUCAGGACCACCUGUCCUUAAUUUAUGUGCUUGUAACUCUAAGUUAAGGACUACUUGUCCUUAACUUUUGAACUUGUAAGUCUAAGUUCGGGACCUAUUGUCCUUAACUUUUGAGCUUGUUAGUCUAAGUUCAGGACCAAGGNNNNNNNNNNNNNNNNNNNNNNNNNNNNNNNNNNNNNNNNNNNNNNNNNNNNNNNNNNNNNNNNNNNNNNNNNNNNNNNNNNNNNNNNNNNNNNNNNNNNNNNNNNNNNNNNNNNNNNNNNNNNNNNNNNNNNNNNNNNNNNNNNNNNNNNNNNNNNNNNNNNNNNNNNNNNNNNNNNNNNNNNNNNNNNNNNNNNNNNNNNNNNNNNNNNNNNNNNNNNNNNNNNNNNNNNNNNNNNNNNNNNNNNNNNNNNNNNNNNNNNNNNNNNNNNNNNNNNNNNNNNNNNNNNNNNNNNNNNNNNNNNNNNNNNNNNNNNNNNNNNNNNNNNNNNNNNNNNNNNNNNNNNNNNNNNNNNNNNNNNNNNNNNNNNNNNNNNNNNNNNNNNNNNNNNNNNNNNNNNNNNNNNNNNNNNNNNNNNNNNNNNNNNNNNNNNNNNNNNNNNNNNNNNNNNNNNNNNNNNNNNNNNNNNNNNNNNNNNNNNNNNNNNNNNNNNNNNNNNNNNNNNNNNNNNNNNNNNNNNNNNNNNNNNNNNNNNNNNNNNNNNNNNNNNNNNNNNNNNNNNNNNNNNNNNNNNNNNNNNNNNNNNNNNNNNNNNNNNNNNNNNNNNNNNNNNNNNNNNNNNNNNNNNNNNNNNNNNNNNNNNNNNNNNNNNNNNNNNNNNNNNNNNNNNNNNNNNNNNNNNNNNNNNNNNNNNNNNNNNNNNNNNNNNNNNNNNNNNNNNNNNNNNNNNNNNNNNNNNNNNNNNNNNNNNNNNNNNNNNNNNNNNNNNNNNNNNNNNNNNNNNNNNNNNNNNNNNNNNNNNNNNNNNNNNNNNNNNNNNNNNNNNNNNNNNNNNNNNNNNNNNNNNNNNNNNNNNNNNNNNNNNNNNNNNNNNNNNNNNNNNNNNNUUAGUCUAAGUUCAGGACCUAUUGUCCUUAACUUUUGAGCUUGUUGGUCUAAGUAGUCUAAGUUCAGGACCAAGUGUCCUUAACUUUUGAACUUGAAACUCGAAGUUCAGGACCAAGUGUCCUUAACUUUUGAACUUGUAACUGUAAGUUCAGAAUCCAUAACGUAGCAGAAAAUCAAACGUUAUUUGUAUCUUUUCAUAAAAUAAUAAUAAUAAUAAUAAUAAUAAUUACAAUUUACAUAUAAGAUUGAUGUAAGAUUCGACUUGGAUGCAACAUUGAUAAGACAACUCUACAUAACCUUUCUAUUACUAGUCUGAUGAAAAUACAUGUGACGACGAUUUGUUUUCUAGAGAAUGAAACCAAAAUUCUCUUUGAUUACUCUCAGAUUCACAAUACAUGUUUAUUCCCUAGUAAGCUUACAUAAGGCGAAUUCGAAAUAGUCGCGUCAUUCGACUUCAAAUAACGGAUGGUUAAACAAAAAAAGUAAAAGGUUAAAUGCUAGAAAGGAACGAAAUAUUCUUUUAAUAAAUAAAGAACAACGUUCUAACAUUGAUAUUCAUUCGUAAGUCAAAUAUAUGUUUGAAUCAGAGUUACAUCAAAAGGGAAUUGAUCGAGUACAACUAUAAACGCAGGUGCAAAUGUAUUGGCCAAUAGUGGCGCCAGAACUUGAGCAAAAUCCAUUCCUGUUGUAUUUCUGAAAGCAUUCCAUUCCCAUUCAAUAUAGUUCUCCUCCCUAACAUGAAAGAGAUAGAAGAAAGGGUAACACAGUCUUUUCAUAUUAGUUUUAAUAGACUAGUGACUACUAUUGCUAAGCAUUAAAAAUGCUAGAUAAAAAGUAAAUACCACUUUAAAAUGUGGUUACCCCGCACAAUUUUUACCCUCCAAAGAGGGCUUAAGCCCAAUUCAAAUUUUAGACAUUUCACAUAUUGUUGAAGUUUUGGCAUCCAUUAAGGUAAAGAUAAAUUAUAUGCCAAAACUAAUAUGGUAAUUGCACCUUCAUGAAGUCUAUCAAUUGAAAAACGAUUAUUGACGAUUUUUACUAUUUCAUCAUGGUUUACUUGAUUCAGAGAUUAAUUAAGCAAGGAUUACUAUAGAUAGUCUAAACAAUAUAUAUGUAAGAAUUGUUAUACGAUAAACGAUAAUGUAGCGGUUCAUAUUGCCUAUUCCAGGGAAUUUUUUACUUUAAUAAUCUUAUCUAGAUAUUGCUAUGCACAUAUGCUUGCUCCACAUUGUAUCCCACAUAAAACACCAUAUCAAUUUCCCCAUAAGUUAGGUUGGUAUCAAUAAUGCAAAAUUUAAUAUCGAUAACCAAAUGUUGCAUUAGUUUUGCAGUUUUUUUUAAACUGAACGUUAAAUUAGUCAUUUGAAGAUUACACACCAAAUGUUGUAUUAGAUAUGCAGAAUUUUAUUCCGAAAUUAUUUUUCUUCUAUGACCAACUAAACAAACCGUGAGAGGUAUUCUUUUUUUCACUUAAAUGGCCCUAUUCUGUCACACUUUAUCUAUUCCUUAGGUUUGGUCUAAUUAUAAGCAUUUGAAAGUGCAUAGCAUAAUUCAAUACACAAUUUGGUAAUUUCAUCCACAAAUUAUAAUGAACAUGUCACCUAAAUAAGACCUAUUCUAAAAGGUUGAGAGUUGGGACCCGUGAAUUAUAUGGUUUUAUACAUGUUUGACUUAAUUUGCAUGCUUGUUUGACACUAUAGUUUAUAACAAUACGUGACACAUGAAACUAAAUCUUCUUAAUAUGUGGACGUCUCCGAAAGGACCAAAACCACAUGGUUAAAAUAAAGUUGAAAAAUAACUAACAAGUAUUGUGGUGCGAUGAUUGUGAUUUUGUUUACCUUAGUAUUGUCACACCUCCUAUUUACGGAGAAAUGAGUUUUUCAAGUUUAAAUAAUAUUUUUGAAAUGAGAUUUAGUUAUUUUAUUUUUAAAAGAGUCGUCACUUGGAAUAAUUUAAUUUUGGUGUUCCAAGUUACCAUUUAUUUUAAAUCUCAAUUCAAGAAAAUUUGACUCUAUUUAAGCCUGUAAAACACAGAAGUCCGGGUAAGGAAUUUUGUUAACCCGGGAGAAGGUGUUAGGCACUCCCCGAUUUCGUAGUUUUACCACAGGCGCUUUACGAUCACACUUGGCUUGAUUAUUUGUUAAUUACAUAUUUUUAGAAUUUAUGUGCGUUUUUUACUUUUCACCGCUUUUUAAUUACUUGAUUAUGGAGUUAUGGAAUUAUCUUGAAACGAACCAUGUGUGUGUGAAUUCGUUUUAUUUAGUAUGCUAAAAAAUAUGUCACGCGUACGUGUACAAAAUUAAUAGCACUUUAUUAUUUAUUAAGAUUGUUUGGCUAAAGUCGCGCAAACGCGUAUCUUGAUUUAUUUUUGGGAUCAUAACUAUGUUAUGCUGACAUAUACAUAAUUACGAUAGUAAAUUAAAACCACGCCUAAAGUAUUCUACGAAUAUUCAAGGGUUGAUUAUUUUUCUAUAGUUGGGACUGCAUGUGAAGGUUUAAAUAUUAUGGAACGAUAUGGAUGGAGCAUCGCGUUUAACUAACGAGCAUUACCGAGAUCAAUUGCAUUACUAAGUGAUUAGAAAAGUUCAUACUUUAUUUGGAGAAUUUAUCAUUUGGGCCUAAACUAAGAACUACUGUUUAAAUGAUUUUUAUUGACAACAAAAGGAUGAAACAGCCAAAUGGUAAUACAUAUUGGGAUAUGGUCUAGCAACCUAAACAUGAUGUUAAACAAUUAAACUAAAGCAAAAGAAGUCUGACUCAAGCGUAAAAAUUGCAUGGGGCGCCGUAUUUGGUCGCCCCCAUUUAACCUAUACCCAUUUUUUAAAAAAAUUUUAACUUGUACCUACUCUUUAAACAACUUCUGCCCUCUUUCUCCUCCUCCUCUCNCNCUCUCUCUCUCUCUCUCUCUCUCUCUCUCUCUCUCUCUNNNNNNNNNNNNNNNNUGCGUGAUUGCUUUGCUACUUCAGCCCCGUAUGCUGAAGUUACGCGAAAAAGUGAGUACGCUUGCAAUUUAUUUUGCAAAGCGGGCACAAGUUAAAACGUGACCCAAAAACGGGUAUAAACGCAAAUCCCCGACUCAAGCCUGUUAUACACGAAAUGGGCUUGAAAGAUAUUAGUGGGUUUUCGUGCUUUGGGCUGGCCUAAAGUUACUUUCAAAGUCCACCUAUUCUUAUUUCAUUCAUAGGCUCAAGCUGAGCCCAAAUAACACACUCAGCACUUUCAGAAGUACAUAGGCCCAUUAGCCUAUAUUCAACUAACAUGAAUCUUAAAUCCUAUGUUUAUGAACGUAUCCACAAAAGAAAUGUCAGUACAUGAAUCAUACAUAAACAGGAAUUUUAAAAUCAUAGAAGCAAUUACAUCAAUAACUAUUAUUUUUAACAACAAUCACUUUAGACCUGCCAAAUCUGGGACGAAUUACAAGAAAUUGAUUAUAAACAGAUUCCUAAAUAAAAAAAAUUUAACGAAGCAUUCUCCUAAUCGUUUUGCCUCCUUCUUUCAACGUUUCAUUAUUCAUUUUUGGUCCUCCUUUGGGAAACUCCAGAAUCAACUUCUCAUGAACUUACAAAAGAUAAUUACAUUUGCUGGGAACAUAGAAUCAUCAAAGGAUUACUAAUUAAACGACUAACAAUUAACAAAUUGAUACUAACGAGGUACAUUUAAAUCAACUGAUUAUUAACAAUUUAGCAUGACUGGAAUGCAUUUAGAUCUAGUAGUCAACUAAUCAAAGAACAAAAGCAUAACAUGAACAAUAAGUCAAAUCUCAUCAGGAAUUCAGCACUCCUCAUUUAAGCAAUAAAUGCAAGUUCAUAAGCAUGUACCUAAUGCAUGAAUCAGAGGUUGAAGUGGCCAAAUAAAGGCAAAGAUAAAGGAGUGAAUGUCACGACCCAAAAUCCAACUAGCCGUGAUGACACCUAACCUAACCCGCUAGGUAAGUCAAUUAACAACUAUCCAAUUCCAAUGAAAUUAAUAAAAAUAAUUAAAUAGAGAAGUUAACUGAAUCUUAUACAUUUCCCAAGAACUGGUAGUAAAAAUCAUGAGAUUUUAAGAAUAAAAUUUACAAGUUGGUAUGAAAUAAACACAUCAUCUGUUCGAAAUGUACAUAAACAGAUUUUUUAUGAAUCUAAAGCUACUAUGAAAAAGAGGCAACUAUAAUUGGAACGCAGGUACGUCUUUAAUUCUAGCUCCCAUCGAUCACAGCAACAUCAUCAUCCAACAUCUGCACGCAAGGUACAGAAGUGUAGUAUGAGUACAACCGACCCCAUGUAUUCAAUAAGUAACAAACCUAACCUUAGGUUGAAAGUAGGGACGAGUUGGAACAAAGGUCAGACCCAACAUGCAAUAGCCAACAACAGUUCAUAACCACGCAAAGCAAAAAAUAAAGAAGUAACUCAGAGAUAGAAAUGCUCAUCUUUUUCAUAGUUUCCCAAAAAAUAGUUCCGUUCAUCAAGUAUAUCAGUGAAAAAACCCAAAUCCUUUACCGAAAUCGUUAAAAAUAUGAGUAAGUUUGAAAACUUUAAAUUUUUCCCAAAAGUUCUUUCUACAAUAAAUAAGAUAUUUCAUUUUCUUUCCAGAUAGCAAGUGUGAAAUACCUCUCUAUGCCCAUAUAUGUCACGACCCGGAUUUCUCACCCUCGGGAGUCGUGAUGGCGCCUAUUAAUGUUAGCUAGGCAAGCCAAACCUUUAAUCUAAUCACUUCAUGAACCAAUUGUUUCUUUUUAACAAAUAUAAGACGAUAACGUGAUAACAGCGGAAAUUAAAAUUUAAGCGGAAGACAACAAUAAGAUAUAUGAAGACUGCAUCUAUUACAAAUACUUAAGCCUUAACCACCCAAAACCUAGUGUCACAGACUGUCUAAGAUUUCUAUAUACAAAGUCUGAAGAAAUAACAAUAUACUGUUUCUGAAUAAAAGGAAAAUGAAACAGGAAAUAGGGACAGAGGGAGACGCCAGGGUCUGCGGACGCCUGCAGGUCUACAUUAAGUCUCCGGAUGGACUGAAGGAAGCCUCCAAGCUACUAUCCAAAAGCUGCUCCGGGAUCUGCACAUAGUGUAGAGUGUAGUAUCAGCACAACCGAUCCCAUGUGCUGGUAAGUGUCCAGCCUAACUCCGUCGAAGUAGUGACGAGGCUAGGACAAGACUACCAAAUAAACUUGUGCAGUUCAAAUAUAUAUAUAUACAGCAGAAAAGAAAUACAGAAAUAAAUAAAUAAAGAUUGGAGGGGGGAACAUGCUUCGAGGAAUAACAGGUAAAACAGAAUAUCAAAAGAAUUAUAAAGGAAUCAAAAUCAACCACUAACAAGAAUAAGGAAAACAAAGGCAGAUUUCACUUUCUUUUCACAUCUUGUUGAAGGUGUGCAACCCGAUCCCAUUUCCUGUAUCUCGUGGCAGGCGUGGCACCCGCUCCCAUUUCAUGUAUCUUGUGGCAAGCAUGCCACCCGCUCCCAUUUCAUUUAUCUCGUGGUAGGCAUACCACCGCUCCCAUUCCAUUAUAUCUUGUUGUAGGCAUACCACCCGCUCCCAUUUUAUUAUAUCUUGUGGUAGGCGUACGACCCACUCCCAGUUACAAGCCAACAAUAAUCAUAAGGAAUCCCGGCAAGGGAACAUAAGCAAUAUAACAACUUCCCAGCAAGGGAACAAUGAUAUUUCAACAACAUCCUAGCAAGGGAACAAUACUAUCAAAACAAACAUCCCGGCAAGGGAACAUUAAUAUCAAACAAACAUCCCAGCAAGGGAACAAUGGUGAUAAUAACAUAUGAAGCGCAAUAAACCACAACGGAGUCAUAACAAUUAUAAUACAAGACUCACGAACAUGCUUGACAACAACGCCUAGAUACUCAUCACCAUGCCUAUACGUCGUACUCCACAAUUAACAUGUAGCAAAUAAGACACAACUCCUAAUCCCUGAAGCUAAGGUUAGACCAAACACUUACCUUAAAGCCACGAGCAUAAUCAAGCUUCAACUACUGCUUUACACAUUGGUUCCACUUCCAACUCGCUUGUAUCUAGCCACAAUUUACUUAAUUACAUCAAUAAACGCUAAAUGAAUCAACCCCAAUGCAUGAAAAUGAGUUUUUCUAAAGUUUUGCCCAAAAGUUAAAAAUCGUCCCGGGCCCACAUGGUCAAAACCCGAGGUUCGAGCCAAAACCCGAUUACACAUUCCCCCACAAACCCAAAUAUAUGAUUUGUUUUGAAAUCGGACCUCAAAUCGAGGUCCAAAUCCCCAAUUUUUGAAAAACCUAGGUUCUAUCCAAAAUACCCAAUUUCCCCCAUGAAAAGCAUUGAUUUUGAGUUGAAAUCAUGUUAAAAGAUGUUAAUGAUCGAAGAAAACGAGUUAGAAAUCACUUACCAAUGCUUUGGAGAAGAAAGGUUGUUUGAAAAAUCGCCUCUUAUGUUUUUGGGGUUUUGAAAAAUGAAAAAUAACUGAAAAUCCCGUCUUAAUAUAACCCUCUCAGACCCCCUGUGCGGACCGCACAAAAUCGAGUGCGUCCGCACAGCUCUCCCUGUGGACUACAGUGAUAUGCUUUAGUGUUUUGGCCAUAACUAUUUCUAAAUAUGUCCAAAUUGUUAUUUCUUUAGCUUUAUGGAAGCUAGACACGAAGGGCUACAAAUUUCGAUUUUGAAUCAUUUCAAAAUUCCUUGUAGAUCAAAUGAUAUAGGCUACCGAAGUCGGACCAGUGAAAUGUUCUUCACCGCGGACCGCACAGAAUCUAGUGCGGCCGCAAAGCCCUCACAGCGGUCCGCACAAAAUCCAGUGCGGCCGAACAGGCCCCUCAGUGGAAGCAUUCCAUUUUGUGCGGACCGCACUGGUUUGUUCAGAGGCCUUACACUUCUCUGAACCUGCAACAACUAUGUUUUUAAGCCUAAGACAUCCCGGAACCUACCCGAAACUCACCCGAGCCCUCGGAGCUCCAAACCAAGUGUGCAUACUAACUCAAAAACAUCAUAUGGACUACUUGUGCGAUCACAUCAUCAAAAUAACAUGUAAAAUCAUGAAUUAAAUCUCAAAACUCAACAUUUUCAUCAAGAACUCUCAAAGUUCAUAACUCUUCAACUGGAAGUCCAGCUCACGUCAAAUAAACUCCGUUUUCACCAAAUUUCACAGUUAUCUUUCAAAUACUAUAACAAGUUUGUACCGGGCUCCGGAACCAAAAUACGGGCCCGAUAACAAUGGUUUUAAACAUUAAUUCUUUUCUUCAUUUCUUAGAUAAUUCAGUAAAACAAUUUCUUUCAAAAAUUGAUUUCUAAGGCUUGGGACCUCAGAAUUCAUUUCCGGGCAUACGCCCAAAUCCCAUAUUUUACUGCGGACCUCCCGGGAUAGUCGGAAUAUGGAUCCAGGUCCGUUUGCUAAAUAUGUUGACCAAAGUCAACCAUAAUCAAAUUUUUGACUCCAAAAUUUCUAUUUCUCAUAUUUUCACAUAGAAGGCUUUCCGGAUAUAGGUCCGAACCAUGCACGUAAAUCAAGGUGGGGUAAAAAGGAGGUUUUUAGGCCUCGAAAUACUGAAUUCACUUGCAACACAAGUGAUGACCUUUUGGGUCAUCACAUUCUCCACCUUAAAAACAAUCGUUCGUCCUCGAACGGACAUAAGAAAGAAGUACCUGAGUCGGGAAAAAAGAUGGGGAUAACGACUCUGCAUAUCAGACUCAAACUCCCAAGUCGAUGCCUUGAUGGGCUGACCUCUCCACUAAACCCGAACAGAAGGAAAACUCUUUGAUCUCAACUGACGAACCUGCCGGUCUAGAAUAGCUACCGGCUCAUCCUCAUAAGACAAGUCCUUGUCCAAUAGGAUAGUGCAGAAAUCUAACAUGUGGGAUGGAUCGCCAUGAUACUUCCGAAGCAUGGACACAUGAAACACUGGAUGCACGGCCGAUAAGCUCGGCGGCAAUGCAAGUCUAUAAGCCACCUCUCCCACUCGAUCAAAAAUCUCAAACGGGCCAAUGAACCUAGGGAUAAGCUUGCCCUUCUUCCCAAAUCUCAUCACGCCCUUCAUAUUUGACACUCGAAGCAAUACCCGCUCACCAACCAUGAAUUCCAAAUCACGAACCUUGCGGUCGGCAUAACUCUUUUGCCUGGACUGAGCUGUACGAAGCCUAUCCUGAAUAAUCCUGACCUUAUCCAAGGCAUCUUAAACCAGAUCCCUACCCAACAACCGAGCCUCUCCCGUCUCAAACCAUCCAACCCGAGACCGACACCGCCUACCAUAUAAAGCCUCACACGGAGCCAUUUGAAUACUCGACUAGUAGCUGUUGUUGUAGGCAAACUCUGCUAAAGGCAAACACUAAUCCCACGAGCCUCCAAAUUCAAUGACACAAGCUUGGAGCAUAUCCUCCAAAAUCUGAAUGGCCCGCUCGGACUGCUCAUCCGUUUGAGGAUGAAAUGCUGUGCUCAACUCAACCCGCGAACCCAAUUCUCGCUGAACUGCCCUCCAGAAAUGGGAGGUAAACUACGUACCUCGGUCCAAAAUGAUAGACGCGGGCACACCAUAAAGGCAAACAAUCUCCCAGAUAUAGAUCUUAGCCAACCUCUCAGAAGAUAGGAGACUACCACAGGAAUGAAAUAUGCUGACUUUGUUAGCCUAUCAACAAUAACCCACACUGCAUCGAAAUUCCUCCGAGUUUGUGGGAGUCCAACAAUGAAAUCCAUAGUGAUCCGCUCCCACUUCCACUCGGGAAGCUAAAUCCUCUGAAAUAAACCACCGGGCCUCUAAUGCUCGUACUUCACCUGUUGACAAUUCAAACACCGAGCCACAUAUGCAACGAUAUCCUUCUUCAUUCUCCGCCACUAAUAAUGCUGCCACAAAUCCUGAUACAUCUUUGCGGGUCCCAGAUGAAUAGAGUACAGGGAACUGUGGGCCUCCUCCAAAAUCAACUCUCGAAGCCCAUCCACAUUAGGCACACAAACUCGACCCUGCAAUCUCAAAACUGCAUCAUCACCUAAGGUAACCUGCUUGGCACCUCCGUGUUACACUGUGUCUCUAAGGACACACAAAUAGGGAUCAUCAUACUAUCGAUCACGGAUACGCUCCAAUAAAGAAGAACAAGCGACCGUGCAAGCCACCACACGACUGGGCUCAGAAACAUCCAACCUAACGAACUGAUUGGCCAAAGCCAACACAUCCAAAGCAAGCGGUCUCUCACUGACCAGAAUAUAAGCAAGACUGCCCAUACUGGCUGACUUUCUACUCAAAGCAUCGGCCACCACAUUGGCCUAUCCCGCAUGAUAUAAGAUGGUGAUAUCAUAGUCCUUUAACAACUCCAACCACAUUCUCUACCUCAAAUUUAACUCCUUUUGCUUGAACAAAUACUAAAGACUCUUGUGAUCCGUGAACACCUUACAUGCCACGCCAUACAGAUAAUGCCUCUAAAUCUUCAAUGCGUGAACAAUGGCUGCCAACUCCAAGCCAUAAAUGAGAUAGUUCUUCUGAUGAAUCUUCAACUAUCGCGAAACAUAGGCAAUGACCUUGCCACCCUGCAUCAAUACCUCACCAAGUCCAAUACGAGAUGCAUAACAAUAGACUGUAUAAGGCCCCGAGCCUGUGGGCAAAACCAACACUGGUGCUGUAGUCAGAGCCGUCUUGAGCUUCUGGAAGCUCGCCUCACACUCAUCCGACCAUCUGAACUGGGCACCCUUCUGGGUCAACCUGGUCAUUGGGGCUACGAUAGAUGAGAACCCCUUCACGAACCGACUAUAGUAGCUUGCCAAUCCCAAGAAACACCGAAUCUCUGUAGCUGAUGCUGGUCUAGGCCAGUUCUUGACUGCCUCAAUCUUCUUCGGAUAAACCUGAAUACCCUCUACUGAUACAACAUGACCCAGGAAUGCAAUUGAACUCAACCAGAACUCACACUUUGAGAACUUAGCAUAUCACUAACUAUCUCUCAAGGUUUGAAGAACCACUCUAAGAUGCUGCUCGUGCUCCUCCCGGCUGCGGGAAUAAAUCAAAAUAUCAUUAAUGAAGACUAUCACGAACGAAUCCAAAUAAGGCCUGAACUCUCAGUUCAUCAAAUCCAUAAAAGCUGCUGGGGCAUUUGUCUACCCGAAUGGCAUCGCCAAGAACUCAAAAUGCUCGUACCGAGUGCAGAAAGCUAUCUUACGGACAUCGGAUGCCCUAAUCCUCAACUGAUGGUAGCCAGAUCUGAAGUCAAUCUUCGAAAAUACCUUAGCACCCUGAAACUAGUCAAACAAAUCAUCAAUCUUCGACAAUGGAUACUUAUUCUUGAUUGUAACCUUGUUUAACUGCGGGUAAUCAAUACACAUUCUCAUCGAUCUGUCCUUCUUCUUAAUAAAUAACACCAGUACACCACAAGGCGAAACACUCGGCCUAAUGAAACCCUUCUCAAGCAAGUCUUGCAACUGCUCCUUCAACUCUUUUAAAUCAGGCGGGGCCAUAUGAUACAGCAGGAUAGAAAUGGGCUGAAAGCCUGGAGCCAAAUCAAUGCAAAAGUCAAUAUCCCUAUCGGGUGGAAUACCCGGCAGGUCUGAAGGAAAUAUUUUAGGAAACUCACAAACAACGGGCAUAAAAUCAAUAGAAGGAACCUCAGCACUAGAAUCACGAACAUAUGCCAAAUAGGCCAAACACCCUUUCUCGACCAUACGCCGAGCCUUCACAUAAGAGAUAACACUACAGGUAGAAUGACUAGGAGUCCCUCUCCACUCUAAAUGAGGUAAACUUGGUAAGGCUAAGGUCACAGUCUUGGCAUGACAGUCCAAGAUAGCGUGAUAAGGUGAUAACCAGUCCAUCUCUAAUAUGACAUCGAAAUCGACCCUGUCCAGAAGAAGCAAAUCUACACGAGUCUCAAGACCUCCAUCCACAACUAUACAUGAACGAUGGACUCAAUCUACCACAAUAGAAUCACCCACCGGCGUAUACAUAUAAACAAGAUCGCUCAAAGAAUCACUAGGCAUGACCAGAUAUGGUGCAAAAUAAGAGGACACAUACGAGUACAUAGACCCUGGAUCAAAUAACAUUGAAGCAUCUCUAUCACAAACCAGAACUGUACUUGUAAUAAUUGCAUCAAAAGCCUCAUCCUCGGGCCCGACUGGAAGAGCAUAACAUCAGGGCUAAGCCCUACCACCCUGAACUACAUCUCCAAGAUGGUCUGCUGCUGGCUGGCCUCCACCUCUAGUGGCCUGAGCUCUACCUCUAAUACCUCUACCUCCACCUCUAGCACCUCUACCCCCACCUCUAGCUGGUUGGGCAGGCUGUGGAACACCUGGUGCCUGAACCAUGGCACGAAAACCCUGAUGCUGAGAGCUACUCGGUGCUCGAGGGCAAUACCUAGCAAUGUGCCUCGUGUCGCCACAAGUAAAACAAGCCCUCAGCUGCUGGGGCUGACGACCCUAGAAACUCUGAAGCAGCGGUGCACUAAUCGGAGCUAAUGGUGCACUGUAGGACUGCUGAUCAGAAUACUGCAUCUGAGAACCACAGCCACCUGAAGCACCGUGAGAAACCUGAAGUGCUGACUGGAAAGGCCUGGAAGGAUGUCCCCUACCAUAUGAAUCCCUACCUCUAAAUGAGGUACUAGUGAAUAUACUUGAAUGAAGAGGCCUCUUGUCCGACCCAUGACCACCUCCAUGUGACAGAACCAUCUCAACUCUCCGGGCCACAUUGGCCGCCUCCUGGAAAGAUAUCUUACUCCUAGUUUUCCUAGCCAUCUGAAGACGAAUCGGCUAAAUAAGUCCAUCAAUGAACCUCCUCUAUCUCUCUCUCUCGGUGGAAAGUAUGACAAGAGCAUGACGAGGUAGGUCGAUGAAUCUGGUCUCAUAUUGGGUAACAAUCAUAAAACCCUACUGGAGACGCUCGAACUGCCUCCGAUAGGCCUCUCUCUGGGUGAUGGGGAGAAAAUUCUCCAGAAAUAUCUGAGUAAACUGCUCCUAAGUCAAAGCUGGCGAUCCGGCUGGUCUAGCCAAACAAAAAUCCCUCCACCAAGUCUUGGCGAAUCUAGACAAGAGAAAAGUGGCAAAAUCGACCCCAUUGGUCUCAACUAUCCCCAUGUUCCUGAGAACCUCGUAACAGCUGUCUAGAUAAUCAUGGGGAUCCUCACUAGAUGCACCGUUGAAAGUAGUAGUGAAGAGCUUGGUGAGCCUAUCCAACCUCCACAAAGCAUCGGUAGACAUAGCCGCUCCAUCACCGGUCUGAGCUACCAUAUCCGGCUGAACUGCUCCAACUGGAUGAACCGCUGGAGUCUGAAUUUGGGGAGCUACCUGCUCUAGAGUGCGAGUAGCAGGAGUCUGGGUUCCUCCUCCAGCAUGAGAGACAGCUGGUGCUAUAGGAAGCAAGCCUGCCCGGGUGACACCCUUCAUAAGGCCCACUAGAUGGACCGGGGGUAGCAAUAAACCUCUCUGGGACCUAAGCUGGGCCCACCGGAAUUGCUGGGGCCGAAACCUCAUCAUCAAAAUCAACCUGAGGCUCCGUUGUAGGUGCUGCUGCUCUAGGCUGAGCUCUGCCCCUACCUCGGCCUCUAGCACGGCCUUGGCCUUGCCCUCUAGCACUGCCUCGGCCUCGCCCUCUGCCCCCUCAUGGGAGCUGUUGCUAGGGGCUUGGGCUGCUGGUCAGUGGAUGAGGAAGCGCGUGUUGUCGCCAUCUGCAAAAUAACAGAGUGGAAAUUCAAUUAGAAUUAAGAAACCAAACCGCACGAUAGAAAAGAAUAAAUGUGAAGUUUUUCCUAACUCUGUAGCCUCUGGAGGAUAAAUAUAGAUGUCUCUGUACCGAUCCCUCAGACUCUACUAAGCUUGUCUGUGAACUGUGAGACCCAUGUAACCUAGAGCUCAGAUACCAACUUAUCACGACCCGGAUUUCCCACCCUCGGGAGUCGUAAUGGCGCCUACUAAUAUGAGCUAGGCAAGCCAAACCUUUAAUCUAAUCACUUAAUUAACCAAUUAUUUCUUUUUAACAAAUAUAAGACGAUAAUAUGAUAACAACAAAAAUUAAAAUUUAAGCGGAAGACAACAAUAAGAUAUAUGAAGACUGCAUCUAUUACAAAUACUUAAGCCUUAACCACCAAAACCUGGUGUCCCAUACUUUCUAAGAUUUCUACAUACAAAGUCUGAAGAAAUAAUAAUAAACUGUUUCUGAAUAAAAGGAAAAUGAAACAGGAAAUAGGGACAGAGGGAGACGUCAGGGCCUGCGGACGCCUGCAGGUCUACCUUGGGUUUCCGGAUAGACUGAAGGAAGCCUCCAAGCUAUUGUCCAAAAGCUGCUCCGAGAUCUGCACAUAGUGUAGAGUGUAGUAUCACCACAACCGACCCCAUGUGCUGGUAAGUGUCCAGCCUAACCCUGGUGAAGUAGUGACGAGACUAGGACCAGACUACCAAAUAAACCUGUGCAGUUCAAAUAUAUAUAUAUAUACAACAGAAAAGAAAUAAACAAAUAAACAAAUAAUGAUAGGAGGGGGAAACAUGCUUCGGGGAAUAAAAGGUAAAACAGAAUGUCAAAAGAAUUAUAAAGGAAUCAAAAUCAACCACUAACAAGAAUAAGGAAAAUAAAGGAAGGUUUCACUUUCUUUUCAUAUCUUGUUGCAGGCGUGCAACCUGAUCCCAUUUCCUGCAUCUCGUAAUAGGCAUGCCACCCGCUCCCAUUUCAUGUAUCUCGUGGCAAACGUGCCACCCGCUCCCAUUUUAUUUAUCUCAUGGUAGGCGUACCACCUGCUCCCAUUUCAUUUAUCUCGUGGUAGGCGUACCACUCACUCCCAUUUCAUUAUAUCUUGUGGUAGGUGUACCAUCCGCUCCCAUUUUAUUAUAUCUUGUGGUAGGCGUACCACCCGCUCCCAUUUUAUUAUAUCUUGUGGUAGGCAUACCACCCGCUCCUAUUUCAUUAUAUCUUGUGGUAUCUUGUGGUAGGCGUACCACCCGCUCCCAGUUACCAGCCAACAAUAAUCAUAAGGAAUCCCGGCAAGGGAACAGGAGCAAUAUAACAACUUCCCGGCAAGGGAACAAUGAUAUUUCAACAACAUCCCGGCAAAGGAACAAUACUAUCAAAACAAACAUCCCGACAAGGGAACAUUAAUAUCAAACAAACAUCCCGGCAACGGAAAAAUGGUGAUAAUAACAUAUGAAGCGCAAUAAACCACAACGGAGUCAUAACAAUUUUAAUACAAGACUCACGGGCAUGCUUGACACCAACGUAUAGAUACUCGUCACCAUGCCUCUACGUCGUACUCCACAAUUAACAUGUAGCAAAUAAGACACAACUCCUAAUCCCUCAAGCUAAGGUUAGACCAAACACUUACCUUAAAGCUACGACCACAAUCAAGCUUCAACUACCGCUUUACCCCUUGGCACCACUUCCAACUCGCUUGUAUCUAGCCACAAUUUACUUAAUUACCUCAAUAAACGCUAAAUGAAUCAACCCCAAUGCAUGAAAAUGAGUUUUUCUAAAGUUUUGCCCAAAAGCCAAAAAUCGCCCGCGGGCCCACAUGGUCAAAACUCAAGGUUCGAACCAAAACCCUAUUGUUCAUUCCCCCACGAACCCAAAUAUAUGAUUUGUUUUGAAAUCGAACCUUAUAUCGAGGUCCAAAUCUCUAAUUUUUGAAAAACCUAGGUUCUACCCAAAACACCCAAUUUCCUCCAUAAAAAUCAUUGAUUUUGAGUUGAAAUCAUGUUAAAAGAUGUUAAUGAUCGAAAAAAACGAGUUUGAAAUCACUUACCAAUGUUUUGUAGAAGAAAGGUUGUUUGAAAAAUCGCCUCUUAUAUUUUUAAGGUUUUGAAAAAUAAAAAAUAACUGAAAAUUCCGUCUUAAUAUACCCCUCUCAGACCCCCUGUGCGGACCGCACAAAAUCGAGUGCGGCCGCACAGCUCUCCCUGUGGACUGCAGUGAUAUGCUUUAUUAUUUUGGCCAUAACUUUAUAUUUUGAAUCAUCUCAAAAUUCCCUGUAGAUCAAAAGAUAUAGGCUUCCGAAGUUGGACUAGUGAAAUGUUCUUCACCGCGGACCGCACAGAAUCUAGUGCGGCCACAAAGCCGUCACCGCGGUCCGCACAAAAUCUAGUGCGCCCGCACAGGCCCCUCCGCGGCAGCAUUCCAUUUUGUGUGGACCGCACUGAUUUGUUCAGAGGCCUUACACUUCUCUGAACCUGCAACAACUAUGUUUUUAAGCCUAAGACAACCUGGAACCUACCCGAGCCCUCAGAACUCCAAACCAAGUAUGCAUACUAACUCAAAGACAUCAUAUGGACCUACUCGUGCGAUCAAUUCAUCAAAAUAACAUGUAAAAUCAUGAAUUAAACCUCAAAACUCAACAUUUUCAUCAAGAACUCUAAAAGUUCAUAACUCUUCAACUAGAAGUCCAGCUCACGUUAAAUAAAUUCCGUUUUCACCAAAUUUCAUAGUUAUCUUUCAAAUACCAUAACAAGUUUGUACCGGGCUCCAGAACCAAAAUAAGGGCCUGAUAACAAUGGUUUCAAGCAUUAAUUCUUUUCUUUAUUUCUUAGAUAAUUCAAUAAAAUAAUUUCUUUCAAAAAUUAAUUUCUAAGGCUUGGGACCUCGGAAUUCAUUUUCGGGCAUACGCCCAAGUCCCAUAUUUUACAGUGGACCUCCCGGGAUCGUCAGAACAUGGAUCCGGGUCUGUUUGCUAAAAAUGUUGACCAAAGUCAACCAUAAUCAAAUUUUUAACUCUAAAAUUUCUAUUUCUCAUAUUUUCAUAUAGAAGGCUUUCUGGAUAUAGGUCCAGACCAUGCUCAAGGUGGGGUAAAAAGGAGGUUUAUAGGCCUCGGAACACUGAAUUCAUUUUCAACAAGGUCAUCACAAUAUACCAAUAUGUGCGAGAAGUCAUGAAUGACGUAAUAUCGUACAUCAUAUGAAAAAUGCAUCUCUAUGUCUGUACGUCAUGUGUGCAUGUCAAUGCCAUGUAUCUCAAAGAUGCACUCAUGUACUCACACUCUCAGAGUACUCAAUCUGACUGUCUCACACUUUCCACUCAUCAUGCUCAAUCACUCAGUACUGUAUAUGGCCGAUCCGGUCCAAGAAAGAUCCAUCCCGGAAUAUAUACAUCAACUGACCAACAAUCACUCAGUAUUGAGUAGGGCCAAAUCCAGCAUGUGGGGAAGAUCCAUCCCCAGGUAUAUAAAUACUCCGAACAAGAUCCAUGUCCAGGGAAAAUCCAACCCUCAAUAUAAUCAACCGCGCUCAUUGGGGGUGUGUACAGACUCCGUAGGGGCUCCUUCAGCUCAACCGCUAUCAUAAAUCAGUAUAAUAGUUGUGGCGUGCUACCCGAUCCCAUAUAUGUAAUCAAUAUAACAUACUGCGGUAUGCUGCCCGAUCCCAUAAUAUCACUCAUACUCAGGCCCUCGACCUCACUCAGUCAUCAAUCUCUCCAGUUUCUCGGGCUCACAAUGCCAUGAAACUAGCCCAAAAUGAUGAUAUGAUAUGCCAAUAAAUGGUAACAGAGACUGAGAUAUGAUAUGCAUAUGUAUACGUAUGACUGAGUCUAUAAAGCAAUGAAAGCAGAUAACUCAACAACAGAAAUGACCUUAGUGCGCCCAACAGGAUAAGCAUGUAGACUAUACAUGGUUUCUAAUAUGUGGAAAUUUCAUGGUUAAAGGUAAGAUCAGGUAACUAUGCAAUACCGCAGAAAUAACGGAGUCACAAUUCACAUGGUGCAUGCCCACACGCCCGUCACCUAGCAUGUGCAUUAACUCAACACCAAUCACAUAGCACAAAAUUCGGGGUUUUAUUGUCACGACCCAAAAUCCACUAAGGGUCAUGAUGGUGUCGGACACUACUGUCAGGCAAGCCAACACAAAAAAGUUAAUCACAUUCCAAUUUUAGUGUUUAUUGAAAAUCAUUUCUUUUAUACAUUAAACAAUAAAUAAUAAAAUUCACUAAAUAAACAAUGAUGUCUAUAACAAACUUAAAUAUUGAAUAGCCCAUAGUCAUCCCAGAACCCGGCGUCACAAGUGCAUGAGUAAUUUCUAGGAAACAAUAUAAUACAAUAACUGUCCGGAAUACAAAUUGGACAGUUGCGGGUCGUCUUAAGGGGUGCAGCUCACCUAAGCCUCCGUAUCAAAUAUACCACUGCGCCUGACUAGGCCACUAGUCGUACAUGUGCAUGUGCAACAAAAUGCACAACAAGUGUAGUGUGAGUACAAAAAUAACAUGUAUCCGGUAAGUAUCCUGUCUAACCUUGAAGAAGUAGUAACGAGAGACAUCGACACUUACUAGUGGUCCAAUAGUAAUAUAUUAAUAAUGUGAAAAAUCAUGGAUUUUAUAGGGCAUAUGUAAACUAAUUAAUCCUGAAGCAGGUAGACUAUUCCUUAAUAAUAAUAGAUUUCCAAAGAUUCAUAUUUCAUCAUCUUUUUAUCAAUUUAUCUUAGGCCAGGGAGGAAAUAUCAAUUUUGUAAAUCUCAAGCAAGCAUCACAAACCUGCGCAAGUCAUAGCCGAGGUCGUAUGGCCUGAUCCAACAUAAUAAUAAAAUGUGCACUGCCAGAGGGUCGAAUGGCGCAAACCAUAAAUGCAUCUAUUACCCCGUUCGUGAAUCAUAUGUGCGACGCGGUCAAAUAAAAGUAAUAGAGUCACCCCGCUCACGAAUCACACAUGCGACGUAGGUACCCAUAGAUACACACAUUCAAACAGUCAAUCAAGACUUUAUCAGGAAACAACUACCUAAGAAAUGAUAAUUUUCUCUUUUAACGGUCAAGAAAAUGAUGUUUAACUUUUAGAAAUUCAUUUUCCAGGUUCGAUAUGAUUUAAGCAUAUUAAAUUGACAAUAAAGUUACAAGUACGGUAAGUAAGCAUGCUUUUGGAUCCUAGACUACCCGGACUUAAGCAUUUUAGUACCUACGCACAGACUCUCGUCAUCUCGUGCGUACGUAGCCCCCCACAAAUAGAAGCACAUAUCCAAUUAUUUCACCUUUGGGGACAAUUCCCUCUUACAACGUUAGAAAGAAGACUUACCUCACUCCAAAGUUCCAUAACCGGUUUCAAGCCCUUCCGAUGACCCAAAUCGAUGCACAACGCUCCAAAACUAGCCAAUAAUUAUGCAAAACCAUUAAUAUAUGCUCAAACACUCAUUAUAAUCUAAUUUAUAACAAAUUUCUAACCCCGAUUGACAAGUGGAUAAAAAUCACCCUUGGGCCCACGUGCCUCGAUUUCGAAAUUUUUCGAAGAUAAAGUUUACCCAUAACCUCAUGAACUCAAAUAUAUAAUUAACUCUCAAUUUCAUGUCCAAAAUCGUUGUCGAAAUCCAAGAAUACCAAAUUCCUAGGUUUUCCUCAAAAACCCAAAUUUCUACUAAUUUUCAUACUUUAAUCCGUAUCUAAGUCAUGUAUUUAACUUGUAAUGAGUGGGAACAACUUAUCUUGACAUUGAUGACAAAGAAUGAGCUCCAAACUAGCUCCAAGACCAGCACUCAUGGAGGGAAUAAGGUGAAAAUGAGUCAAACCCUUGUUAUUAAAAGAAUACACUGCGUCCAGCCUUUCCGCACCUGCGGUCACUUGACCGCUUCAGCGGUUCUGCAGGUGCGGCGCCACUACCACUUCUGCAGUCUUUCACCAGACCCCUCACUCCGCUUCUGCGCUUCCCCUUACGCAGGUGCGGUACCGCUUCUGCGGCAAGAUGACCGCAUCUGCGGUCCUAGCAUUUCCCUUCACAACCGCAUUUGCGCUCCUUUGGCCGCUUUUGCAGCUCCGCACCUGCGGCCAAGACCUCACAGGUGCAUUUACACCAGAUGACAGCAGGCUUCCGCUCUAUCUCCCAACUCCCAUCCGAUUCGCUAACCACCUAGAAUCAACUCGAGGCCCCCGGGACCCCGUCCAAUCACACCAAUUAAUUCCAAAACACAUUACGAACCUAGUCGUGCCUUCAAAUUACAUCAGAUGUCAAAGCCAUGAAUCGCACUCCAAUUCGAGCUUUAUGAAAUUUUGAACUUUAAACUUCUUCAUUCGAUGCCGAAACCUAUCAAAUCACGUCCGAUUGACCUCAAAAUUUGCACACAAGUCACAUUCGACAUUACGGACCUACUCCAACUUCCGGAAUCGGAAUCCGACCUCGAUAUCAAAAAGUCCACUUCCGGUCAAACUUCUAAAAAACCUUCAAAUUUCUAACUUUAGCCAAAUGACUCGAAAAUGACCUACAGACCUCCGGAUUUACUUACGAUCGCGCUCCCAAUACCAAAAUCACCAUACGCAGCUAUUCCCAAAUGCGAAAUCCCAAACGGACAUCGAUAACAUUGAAAUGAACUUCAACCCAAAUUUAUGAGAUUCUUCCGAAAUGCUAACUUCCAUAAUAGGCACUGAAAUGCUCUCGGGUCAUCCAUAACCAGAUCCGGACAUACGUCCAAAUCCAAAAUCAUCAUACGAACCUAUUGGAACCUUCAAAUUCUGAUUCCGAGGUCGUUUGCUCAAAAAUUCGAUCUUAGCCAAUUCUUUCAACUUAAAGCUUCUGAAAUGAGAAUUUCCUUUCCAAAUCAACUCUGAGCUUCCUGAAAUUCAAUUCGGACCACGCGUACAAGUCAUAAUACGUGAAGUGAAGCUGCUCAUGGCCUCAAAUUGCCAAACGACACGCUAGAGCUCAAAACGACCGAUCGGGCCAUUACAUUCUCUCCCACUUAAACAUACACCGUCCUCGAAUGUGUUGAGAACUGCACUAAAGUUGUCCGAAAUCACUGUUUAACACCUCAUGCACCUACCCGUGUUACCACAGCUUAGUCGAGCACAUUAUCUCGAUCAAAUUUGAAGAUAUUCUCCUUUAUUCAAACAAAUAAGCUUAUAACACAAUUCCAACACCCGAAAUUCUCUGCCAUGCCUGCUUCCAACCUACGAAUGUCGUAUCAAUCACUACACGAUGUACCAAAACAUGACUGCAUACCUUUGCUGAAUUCUCACCAUAAAUAACAUCAUUCACGGACCAUAAUAACCUUCUCUUAUCAUAAUAAUCAACAUUUCCUGAAUCUUAUGCUCACAAUGCACCUCAUGACAUAUAUAAAUCUUGUCCAAAGUUUUGCAAUACCGCCACAACAGAGGAGAUGCGUAGAAAUUCAUUACCAACUAUCGAGUCAACAUAUCAUUGAGUCUAUACUACUGAUAAGAACCAUCACCUCAUUCUAAACCAAAUAAUGGUAUUUUCUCUUUGAUAUAAUUCAUAUAAUCCGAUCGCACUGAUCCUGGAUCCAAUAACCUUGCCUCACCGAGUAUGAACUGCUCAGGCAAUAAGCCACCCUAGACAUGGCCAAAAGUUUCUUAUGACGCCACAAUGUGCCAAUAGGCUACAAACGCGAACGUGGUACAUAAGAAAAAUGAUCUCUGGAAGGGACUACUCAACUCGCAACUAAUAUGACCUUUCCCCAGAAUAUGGGAAACAAAACACACAAAGAUUAGAAUAUAGAAAACUGUACUUAACAUUAUACUGUUGUGGCGUGCAACCCAAUCCAAACAAUAGCAUUUUGCUAAACUGAACCCGACACACAAAAAUUUAGUUUGCUAAUUUAGUUUAGUUCAGGGUCAACCUAGCUUAUAGGACAAUUAGCACUUUCAUUCAUGUUUUUGAAUGCAACGUUCAAUUAGCUUUUAGUUUGGUUUGAUUCCAUGUUAAUCUAGGGUUUAUUAUGAAUUAGUUUCAUGUGUCAAUUAAAGCAUAAUUGAAUAUGGUAGUUUAAUUGCUUUAGAUUAAUUAGGGCUAAUAUUAGAAGUAUAAACUAUUUGUUUGCUCUAUUCUUCUUUAUGUUUCCAUUUGUUGUCUAAUUGAUGAAAGCAUGAAUUAGAUUAACUAGGUUUCUGUUAUCAGUUCAAUUUGGUUUUAGUGUCGUUUAGGGUUAAUUAAAUAAGAAAUUCUUAUUGAUGAAUUGGUUAGCUUUAAGAUAGAAUGAAAUCAACAUGUUUUGUUUCAGCAUUAAUUUGGUUUUUUGAUGCUUUUCUGGUUCUAUUUAGCUUGAUUUGAAAAUCAAUGGAACCUUAGGGGUUCAUUUGAAUUUAAAAGAGUCUAGGAUGAACCAGAAAUAAGUAGUAACCUAAAGGGUAGAAAAGGGUUUUUUACUUAAGAUGAAAAUCAGAAAUAUACUAGAAAAGGGUACAGAUGUCCCAGCUGUUAAAAAGAUGCUGAAAUAAUAGGAUAGUUGUAUCAAGGACUGUACUAUUAUUUCCUAAGAUAAGGAAUAUGCUAAGAAGAUACCUUCCCCAUAGGCAGCCUAUAUAUGGGCUCAAUCAUUCUGAAAAAUACAUAUUUGGAUAGACAUUUUUAGCAACAAUUUACUGCACAAAAAUCACUCCUUCCUUUUCUGAAAAGUUUAUGUUUCAGAAAUUUUAGGAAAAAACUUUCUUCUUUGGUUCUAUUAAAAGCUGAAAAAUGACUUGAAGUAGGGCAUUCUCUCUUGGUUUCUGUGGCUGAAAUCUCUGAGUUUUCAAAGGAUGAGUUUGGUUUUCCUUUGCUGGGCUGGUUACCGUUGAUGUUGCUCCCUCUCUUUUUGGAAGUUCAGUAUUAUUCUAGUGACCUCUAUUUGGUAUCUUUUCUUGAAUCAUCUUUAGGUAUGUAAUCAUGCUCUAACUAUGAAAUGAAUCUAUUUGUUCAAACCUGAAGUUCUUCAUGAAUAUGUGUGUAUGGCUGAAGGCAAUGUGUGUUUAUUUCUGUCAAGUUUGUUUGGUAUUUUUGUAUACACGAAAAAUGUUAUUAAAAGUGGUAUCGAUAGCUUUGGUUCAUAGUAAAACACUUAGUUGAGAUUGUUGUAUAUGGUUGUCUUAAGUAAUAUUUUCUCUUCCUCCAUCUGAUUUCUUCACUUAAAUACCUUUUCUCUGUUUUUUUCUUCUUAGUUGGCCAUGAGCUAUAACAUGUUGGUUCAACCACUAGUUGGUUGGAUCAGUCAGUUUAGAAACUCUAAGGUGGGAUUUACAAGUUUCUUUAACAAAGGAAGAUGAAGCUACUACGGACAAAGCCAUGUUCAAAAGAGGCAGGGAUGUUCUACUAGUAUACAAAUUUGUAAUAGUUUAGCUCGAGAUUUGGUUAGUAGAUUAGUGUCGGAUUAUUUUGUCAUUUAGAAUAUUUGUUUCAAAAAAGCAGUGUCAUGAAUUAACAGUAAUACAAAACUCGUUUAUUGGUGUAAAGGUUGUCAUUCAUACUGGGAGUUUUGUAAUAAUUGGACUGUCCAAGAGCUUCGUUAAACAAGUUCUAUUUGUAAGUUGAAACUUACAUUUCACAUGCUGGGUUGCAAUUAAUGCAUCUAACUGUGUGUUCUUGGUAAAAUUUAAGGUGUAAAUUUUGUAAACAACACUGAUUUAAAUUAAGAUGUCCAUUGUUUGAUUUUUUUAUUAUUCUAUCAUGAGGAGAGAUUUGAGUGUUUGGUUUGGGCUUGGCUAAGGUCCAGUCAAGGCAGCCUGGUGAAAGUCAGCUUGGGCUGCCUUUAUCCGAGUUCACUCUUUGUCUUUGGGGCUCGACUUCAGGCCCAAAUGGCCUUGAGCUCUUGUUCCAUUUCCUCAACAUAAUAAAUGUUUUUCUUGUCUGGAAUUGGGCUGGAAUUGGCCCAACUAAAAACACGCCUUUGUUUUCUGAUUGUGUGCUCCUAUGAAUAAGUAAUUGUACAUUUUAAGUUCAGCCAUGUAUAAUUUAUGUUUGCAAAUCGUAUGUAUUAUGAUUAGCAUUCAAUUUUGUGAUUGUGAAUCUGAAUCUCUUUAAUUCGGAAAGAAAGUUCAUUUGUAGUUCAUGAUUUAUGCAUAUACCAUGGCUAAAAAUGCAUAAGGUGGAUAGGCCUAGCCGAUGCCAAUGCACAACUGGGCCCGCCUAAAAUUUAAGCCCAACGUGGGCUAUUUGUUUCCGGAUCAGCGAUUGUAUUUUGAGGCCUCUAAUUUUUGGGCAAAAUAGUGAGCCCAAGUAAGGUUUUCAAAUUGAUUUUUCAAUAGGCCACAACCGGCCUUGUUCAAAAAUGAUCAAAGGCCCAAUGCUUGUUUCUUAAAACCCGUCCAUAACUAUUAGCUCCCGAUAAGUUUAGGUUGGCUUUCAAAUAAGAAUAUCUUUAGGUGGUGUUAAAUUAAAUACCUUCUUUUAAAAUUAUUUGAGGUGUGCCAUGCUAAAUAAAACCCCUAAGCCCAUGACCUUCAUAAAACUAGUUAGCUCCUAUAGAAAAUUUGAGGUGUGCCAUUUCUCAUUAGAUAACCUAUGGCCCUCAUAUAAUUAAUUCAAACCUUUUUAAAAUCGAGGUGUGCAAUCAAUAGAACUUUCCAUGGCCCUCAUAAACGUUGUUAUUAAUAUUGAACCCUCGUAGUUGCUUUAGGUGUGUUCUUUAAAUUGAUUUUUAAUUACUAAAUUCGGGUGCACAUUUCAUGUGACCCAACUCCAACUCUCAACAAUGUUAAAUAGAACGUGUCGCGAACCGCGGGUGCAUUUCAUGUGGUGUGGUUCAAGGCAUGUUUUAAAUGACAUUUAGUCUUCCUAAAAGCGGUUUACAUAAUUAAAAGCGGUUAAUAAGCUAAAAAUGCACCAUAGGCUAAAACAUGUUAUAAAUCAGAUAAUAGGCCAAUUUUAAUAGUUUAAGCAACCGUGCUCGAACCACGGAACCCAGGAAUGCCUAACACCUUCUCCCGGGUUAACAGAAUUCUUUAUCUAGAAUUUCUGGUUCGCGGACUUUAAAAAAUAAAAAUUUCCUCGAUUUGGGAUUUUAAAAUAAAAUGGUGACUUGGCACACCAAAUAAACUAUCCCAAGUGGCAACUCUAAAAAUAAAUAAAAUAAUCUCAUUUCGAAUAAUGUCACUUUAAUUGGAAAAACUCCCUUAUAUACCCCCUCGGAUGGUAAAAAGGGAGGUGUGACAGCUCUUGCGACUCUACUGGGGAAUCAAACCCAGAACUUUUGUUCAGGGUUUAAGAAUUUGAGCUUAGAAUAACUGUUAUAGUUGGCUUGUUUUAUCUGAUUUUUACAUGUUGAGCCUAAUGUGCUAAAUGCUGCUUUUACCGCUUUGAUAUUGUUUGGACUGUAUAUAAAUUGCUACAAAACCGUCUUCUAUCUGAGUCUUCUAAAUCAUCUAGGAAGUGUACACUUCAUGUAACUUCUUUUCUGUUAGAGUCAUCCCAAUUUUAGAACGAGGUUCGGACAGGUUGCAAAGCCGAUGAAGCUUUUGUAUUCUCGGUACGCUCGCCCCCCCCCCCCCNNNNNNNNNNNNNNNNNNNNNNNNNGGCUCUAGCUGUCCGCUCGGGUAAGCUAGGUCUAGAACAAUACACCUAGGUUUUUAAACCUAGUAUAACAAAGUCUCAUGCCGGAUCCCUAGUAGGAACGCUUGUUUGCAUCACGUGCAUUUGACUUUGGAGGCUCAAUACAGGGGUUGGGUCUGUCUAGGACAAAUGUACCCGAAAUGAAAAGACCAUCCUGAUGCAUUCUACUUGCUACUUGUGCAUUUAUUUGCUUCGUAUUGCAUGUUGACUAGCUUAUGAAUAAUGGAGAAAAGUUGGGAAAGAGAAAAAUCAAUUUGAGGGCUGAGAGAGAUAAUUACCUAUUUUUGGAAAAUCCGGUAUCCAAAAAGUACCGAAACUUUGACGAAAUUUUGAAAAAAAAAAGAAAGAAAAUUUGUUUCAAGAAAAUAUAUGGUAUUAUUUUUAUUAUGCCCGAACUACGCAAGUUUGAUUCUCACCGGAUGUGGGAUACGUAGGCAACCCUUACUGGGUCCAACUCCAUUUUUGCAAAAAUAACCCAAAAAGAAUAAAAAAUUUAUUGUUUUGUCAUAAAUAAGUUAAGUGAUGUCAUUCUUGUCUAAAUAGCCAAAAUGUCCCCAAAAGGGGGCCGAAAGGCUACUUUUGCAAGAACAACCACCUAAGGUUUCUUUUUCAAAAUUUUGGUUGAUUAGCAAACACAGCCUUAAAAUCUUCUUUCCUGAAGUGCUGAAGGGUCGUAUUUGCAAGGCCUGGUCUUUGUUUUGAAAUGAAAAAUUUUGAAAAAUUGAUAACUUCCUCUUGAGUCAAAAUAAAUCAUGAUCUUUUAACCAAAUCACCCUAAUAAAUGUGUAGGAUGAGCACAAUUGAAAAUGAACCCUUCACAAAUUUUGAGGAAAUCCCAUUACAGAUCCAUGUGUGGUGGAAUGACUUAGGAAAAGUCAGCAGAGAGAUUGUGGUAAAAGUUUUGGGCGGUCUUGUUGGACUUCUAAAAAUCAAACCAAGGUUGGAUGUGAUUGAAGCUUUGAUACCUUUCUAGGACUUGACGCAUAAUGUGUUUCACUUUUCUGAUUUUGAGCUCAUCCCCACGCUGGAGGAAAUUGCGGGCUAUGCCGGUCUUAGUGGGAAUCUUAGAAGUCGGUACCCAGUGGCACCAAGAACAGUGACUCCUCACAAGUUUCUAGAUCUGUUGAGCAUCAGUCGGGAGGUUCAAGAUGGAAAUCUAGCCAAGGGAUUUUGCACAUUCCAUUUCUUGUACUAGCGCUGUGGCAAUCCCCACAGUUUUAACGCACCAAAUACUGGCCUGAUCCAUUCGGGAAACAAGGAUAAAUGGGAGGCAUGGCGGGGUUUGGCUUUUAUAGUGGCAUUUUUGGGUGUCAUAAUCUUCCCAAUAAAAGAUGGGAACAUAGAAUUGGUUCUUGUAGGAAUGGUCGACAUCAUGAUUAAAAAAGCUAAUGGCACCCUUGUUCCAAUGAUCUUAGCGGAGAUUUACCGAGCUUUAACCAUCUGCCGAGAAGGGGAAAGAUUCUUCCAAGGUUGUAACCUGCUCCUACAACUUUGGAUACAAGAAAAUAUUUGUCACCGCUUGGGGUACAUGAACUACGGCAUGACUGGUCGGAAUUGCAUUGAAGAUUAUGAAAACUGAGUGGUGGGUUGUGAAUUUCCAGAAGGUACAGAGGCUUGGUUUGCGCAUUUGAGUUUCUUAACUUCAGACAAAAUUGAGUGGACUUUCGGUUGGCUCCCUGUCACUAAAGUCAUUUGCAUGUCAACCGAGGUGUGUUAUCUUCUCUUAAUGAUUCUCUGGAGCAUUCAGUCGUACGCUCCACACAGGGUGUUGCGCCAAUUAGGCAGGUUCCAAACUAUCCCAUAUGAUGAAGAUCUGAGCCGACAAGUCAUCGAAUUGGGUCCCAAAGCUGUAUUCCCAGAAGGAAAAGUUCGUCAGAUUUGGAAUGAAUGUAUAUUUCUAGAGCCAAAGACUCGGGUGCGGGAUCUAGCUAAAGGCGAGUUAGACCCUAAUUACAUAACUUGGUUUGGUAAAAGGUUUCAAGUCCCUCAGGAGCCCGAACAACCUGCUAAAAGACCUCACGUCCAGCAAUUCACUAAUAAUUCAUGAGAGCAAUGGGAUUUGUUGGCGAAGGAGGCAAACUACAGGGCCAAGAUAAGCAAAUUGGAGGGACAAAUCAGAGAUCUCAAAUUUGAGAAUAGUGUACAAGCUGCUGCCGAUGAAGGGGAAAAGAAGAAACUGGCUCAAGAAAACAAAGCCCUUCGAGCCCAGAUCCAAAAAAUGAAAAUAGUUGCUGAGAAUCAGGAAAGAAGCCAAGCAGAUGAAAGGCUCAUAAGUGGUCUCAGAAGGAAAGUAUCUGAGUAUCAGGAUGACUUAGAGAAAUCUAAGGUUAAUCUAGCAAGAGCCCGAGCACGGAUGGCAAAGAACACAGAGGGACGGGCGGAGUUUGUACGGCAGCUGAAAAGGAAAUAUGAGGGAACAGUCACAGAGUUGAAGAAAAAGCUAACUACCCUCGAAAAUGAGAUGGCCAAACAAGCUAAGAACUUUAAAGCAGAAAGGGAACAUUGUUAUGCAUUAAUGUCCCAGCUAGAGGAAGAUAUGCAACAACUGCAAAGUCAAAACAAUCAUGACACCCAGGUGCUAGAAGCUAGGUCUCAACAAAUAGGGCAUUUGCUCCAAGAAAAGGGUAUCAUCAGGGAGAGGGUUAGAGCAAUUGCUGAUUACAUCGUCAUGAAGUGCCAUGAAUGUGAAGACAUGACUAGAACCACUUUCUUUGCUGUAGUAAUGACCCUUGUUUUUUUAAAUAAUGAGCGAAGUGGAGUGUCUUCAAGGGGAUCUUGCAUGCAGGCCCGUGGCAAGACCGACUAAUAUCCCACGGGCCCCUGGAGUAGAAGCACUUAUGUACUCUUGAUUUCCAUUUUUGAGUCUGUAAUUCAGUUUUUAGUUUUAAAAUAUGUUUUGAGUCUGUUUGUAGUUUUAAAUUCCUAGAAAGUGUAUGAUGGAGUCUUUUGUAAUAGAGAACAUUGGAGUUUUAUUAAUGAAAAUUGGAAAAUCCCAAAAAUUGUUUCUUUAUUUUUCAUAUUCAUUUCUUGAACUAUGUGAUGAUCUGAUUCACACGGCAUCGUGAUACGUAGGCUAUCCUCAUCUGAUCCGGUCAUGGUUUUUGUAAAUAACUCAAAUAAAAGAAAAGAGAGAGCCAAAGAAAAAUCAAAAGAAAAGCGAUAAAAGCAAGAAAAGAUAAAAAACAAGAAAAGGAAAGAGAGGAAAAUAGGAAUAAGAGGAGAAACAUUAAAGAGCCAAGGUGGAAAGAAAAUAUGACCGGGGAGAUAAACAAAAGUCGGGAUGAGACAUGCAAUUAUUGCAAAACAUGUAGAAACACAUUUAACUGUAUAGGUGCAUCACACCCCAAUGUGCGAUUCCCUACAUGUUAAUUGCUUCAAACUAACCGGUUUGUUGUCUACUAUUGAGUAUAGGUUCUGUUUUUAAGGUGGUUGGUUUGUGGUAACCUGGCUUCACACCUAUACUUCACAAGAUGAAAAGGCAGUGUAGAAAUGUCGUUAGAAGGUCUUCCACCAACAAUUCAUAUCUCAGAUGAUAGCCCGCUAUCGGUUAUCUCAACCUCAGAGUCAGCGGUAGCUGAGGAGAAUAAGGCACUGCGCCUCCGCAUGCUAGAAAUGUGGGACGCCUGGUCCAAUGGUAGAGAACCGCCAAGUGCCAUACCCAGUUUCACCGAGUUACUUCCCAGGGAAACUGGAAAUUCCAAUAUUCCGAUAAAUUACCCGAAUACCUCACUUGGAUAUCCCACCAUCUCAGCUCAUUUCACCAGAACACCUUCUGAAGUUCGCCCCCAAGUGGUUUCGGGAGUGGACUCCAACAUAUUUACCACACCACUAACCUCGGAUGCGGUGCAACCCACUUUACCUAGGCCAAGCUUUGAUCCAUCAUCCUUCACCUUCCAAGUACCAUCUUUUCCACCAGAACCUACCCAGUUCACCACCAAUUCUUACCCUCAACAACCCCGGUAUGAGUUUACCGUGGGACAGGAGAAAACUACCAAGAACCCCGAGCAGGAGGAAAUCACUCAGAAGAUGGGGAGAAUGCAACAGAGCCUUAAGAAUAUACAAGGUUUGAGCGGACAAAAGAGCGUAUCUUAUGCUGAUCUAUGUAUGUUCCCGCAUGUGCAUUUGCCUUUGGGUUUCAAGACCCUAAAAUUCGAAAAGUAUGAAGGGCAUGGGGAUCCCAUACACCUUAAGAGGUACUGCAAUAAACUGAGAGGAGCAGGUGGAAAAGAGGAGCUUAUUUUGGAGAGAGUUUAGUGAGCAUUGCUUCCGAGUGGUACAUGGAUCAGGACAUGUCUCGUUGGCACAUUUGGGAUGAUCUGGCCUAAGAUUUUGUCAGGUAGUUUCAGUAUAACAUAGACAUAGCUCCCGACAGGAAUUCUCUGUCGAAUCUCAAGAAGAAGUCAUCGAAAUGUUUCCGAGAAUAUGCUGUUAAAUAGAGCGAACAAGCGGUCAGGAUCAAGCCCCCGAUGGAUGAAAAAGAAAUGGUGAGUAUUUUUCUUCAAGCCCAAGAGACUGACUACUUUCAAAAUAUGAUGUCUGCAAUGGGGAAACCAUUUGCUGAGGCCAUCAAGAUUGGUGAAAUGGUCGACAAUGAUCUGAAUACAGGGCUCAUAUUGAGCCAAUCUUCCAUAAGAGCUACAUCCCAAGAAAUUCAAGAUGGGUCCGGAGGUGUAGCGAAUAGAAAGAAGAAAUAAGAGGUGGUAAUGGCAGCCCCAAGUUUGAGAAACCUCGUUCACCCAUAAGUUACUUCCCUCCAAGUACCCCAUAACAUUAUUAUCCCCAUCAGGAUGUGGCCUAUGCUAUGGCUCCUCAGCUAUACGCAGUAAUGAACGCCCAGCCAUACGCUCGGCCACAACAGCAGUUUAACCAAAAUAGAGCUCCACCUCCUAGAAAUAAUCCUCCCAACCAAGCUUAGUAUAAUCCCUAACUUUUACAAAAUAUUUCCCCUACAAUGCUCGUGUUCGAGAGACACCCAGGAGAACAAACUUCACGCCUAUUGGUGAGUCAUAACCUAGCCUUUUCCCUAAAUUGGUCCAAAUGGGUUUGCUACAACCCGUACCCCCGAAUAGGCAAAAUCCAGAGUCACCUUCUUACCGACCUGGCACCCAAUGUGCCUACCAUUCUGGGGUGGAAGGACAUGAUACUGAAGACUGUUGGACUCUAAAAAGGGCUGUUGAAAACCUCAUAGAGCAGAAAUGGAUAGUGCUAAAGGAUGAAGAAAUUCCUAAUGUGACCAACAACCCAUUACCAGCUCACAACAACGGACCGGUCAUUGGAAUGAUUUGUGAUGAUAAAGAGUUUGAUCCUACCUUGAAAGCCAUCAUUGCAAUCGCUAACGUUGAGAAAACGCUAAAGGCUGAUUCAAAGAAAGAAAAGGGACAGAAGAAGAGUAAACCCACCCCUCAAAGCACAGAAAAGGUAGUGGAAACCAAAACUGAGGACGUACCAUCGAAAUAUGCCAUUCUUUAUGUUCCCCGGGGUCACAGGAAAGAACAAAUGACAUUGACCCCUCCAAGAAGGUUGGAGCUGAACAAGGGAUCUAAAAUGUACGUGCCUAAAUGGACCUAUGUGGUACGGGGGCCGGUAAUUUCACCAAGGCUGAAUGAGCCCGUGGUUAUUGGUCGCGUACUGCAGAGGCCCAUAACAGACCCCACUAUCAUCCCGUGGAAUUAUAACAAAGUGGUAGUAACCUACAAAGGAAAAGUGGUCCUGGGAGAAGCAAAUGAAACUAACCUAGCUGAGAAAUACCUUAACGUGGGAGAAGUGAACAAUGCCAAGCAGAAACGCUUCCCGAUCAAAAGGCUAGUUAGUGCUGAAGAAGCAGAAGAGUUCUUCCGAAAGAUGAAAACUGUGGACUGUGAGGUAAUAGACCAACUUUGGAAGUCUCCUUCACAGGUUUCACUCCUGUCUCUGCUGGUGAGCUCAACCGAGCAUCAGAAAGUGUUGAUAAAAAACCUCGACGAAGCUUAUGUUCCUAUUGAAACCACUAUUGAAUAACUGGAGAGGAUGGUGGAAAGAUUCUUCGUAGUCAAUCAAAUUUCCUUUAGCAAGAAUGAUUUUCCCCCGAAAGGUGCCGCCUACAAAAAAGCCCUCCAUCUGAUAGUUAAAUGUGAGGGGUACUAUAUGUAAAGAGUCAUGAUAGAUGGCGGAUCCGGAGUUGAUAUCUGCCCUCUCUCAACUUUGCAAAGAAUGGAGAUUGGGACUGAGAGAAUCAGGCCUAACAAUGUCUGUGUGCGUGCCUUUGAUGGCAUCAAGAGAGAUACCAUAGGAGAGAUCAAUUUGAUUUUGACUAUUGGUCCUGAGGAUUUUGACCUACCCCGAUUAUCCCCCUGUCCAGCAAAAACAAAGGAAAUUCAAAACUGAUAUCAGUGACAAGAUCAAAGAGGAGGUCACGAAACAGUUGAAGGCGUGGGUGAUCCGAGUGGUCUGAUACACCACAUGGUUGGCUCAUGUGGUUCCCAUACCAAAGAAAGAUGGGAAAACUCGAGUGUGUCUUGACUACCGAGAUCUAAACAAAACAAGUUCCAAAGUCAACUUCCCAUUACCAAACAUCCACAUCCUUGCUGAUAACUGUGCCAAACAUAAGAUACAAUCUUUGGUGGAUUGUUAUGUAGGAUAUCAUCAGGUGUUGAUGGAUAAAGAUGAUGCGGAAAAGACGGCCUUCACCACACCCUAGGGCACCUAUUGCUACAGAAUCAUGCCUUUUGGUUUGAAGAAUGUCGGGGCAACUUAUAUGAGGGACAUGACUACCAUCUUUCAUGACAUGAUGCACCAAGAAAUCGAGGUGUAUGUGGACAAUGUGAUCAUCAAAUCCAAAACACAUGGCGACCAUUUUCGGGACCUGAGAAAGUUCUUUGAGCGGCUGCAUAAGUAUGAUUUGAAGCUAAAUCCGGCUAAAUGUGCAUUUGGGGUUCCGUCUGGCAAACUCUUGGGAUUUAUAGUCAGUCGGAGGGGCAUCGAGCUAGACCCAACAAAGAUAAAAUCCAUUCGAGAUUUGCCUCCUCCAAGAACAAAGAAAGAGGUUAUGAGCCUACUGGGAAGGUUGAACUACAUCAGCCGGUUCAUCGCUCAGUUGACAUCUACAUGUGAACCCAUAUUCAAGUUAAUGAAGAAAGACGUGGCAACUAAAUGGACAGAUGAGUGUCAAGAAGCCUUUGACAAAAUCAAAGAAUAUUUGUCGAACCUACCAGUCUUGGUCCCACCUGAACCGGGGAGGCCUUUGUUUUUGUACCUGACAGUCUUGGAAAAAAUUUUCGGCUAUUUCCUCGGGCAACACGAUGCAACUGGGAAGAACGAGCAUGAAAUCUACUAUUUGAGCAAAAAGUUCACAAGUUAUGAAGCCAAAUAUACCCUGUUGGAAAGGACUUGUUGCGCCCUAACUUGGGUCGCUCAGAAGCUUAGGCAUUACCUGUUGGCCUAUACCACUUACCUCAUCACUAGGAUGGAUCAUUUAAAGUACAUAUUCCAAAAGCCGAUGCCCACAUGGAGGUUAACAAAAUGGCAAAUCCUACUAACUGAAUUUGACAUAGUCUAUGUCACCCGCACGGCAAUAAAAGCCCAAGCUUUAGCGGAUCACCUAGCUGAAAACCCUGUUGAUGAUGAAUACCAGCCCUUGAGCACCUACUUCCCGGAUGAAGAGGUAAAUUCAAUCGAGGUAACAUCAGAAGACACCAACACUUGGAAAUGUUCUUCAAUGGAGUUGUGAACGCAAAAGGUGUCGGGAUUGGGGCAAUUUUGAUCUCACCCACUGGUCAACACUAUCCAUCCAUAGCCAGGCUCCGGUUUUUCUGCACAAACAACAUCGCCGAGUAUGAAGCCUGCAUUAUGGGUAUGAAUAUGGCAAUCGACCAAGAUGUUGAAGAACUAUUGAUCAUGGAGGACUCAGACUUGAUUAUCCGACAAGCUCAAGGUGAAUGGGAAACUCAGGAUAUCAAGCUUAUUCCAUACAGGCAACAUGUGGAAGAUCUUAGCAAGCGGUUCAAGUCAGUGGAGUUCAGGUACAUCCCUCGUUUUCAUAAUGAACUGACCGAUGCACUCGCUACUUUGGCCGUAUCCAGGAAAUCUCCACAUUGACCCGUUGGAAAUCCAAAUCCGAGAAAGGCACGGUUACUGCAAUACGGUUGAGGCUGAACCGGAUGUUCAGCCAUGGUAUCAUGAUAUCAAGAGAUUUCUGAAAACUAAAGAAUAUCCCGAUCAAGCCAGUGGAGACCAAAAGAGAACCAUUAGACGGCUUGCAAGCGGUUUCUUCUUGAGCGGUGAGGUCUUGUACAAAAGGACUCCGGAUCUCAACUUUUUACGAUGUGUUGACGCCGAAGAGGAUGAAAGAAUCAUGUAUGAAGUGCAUGCAGGAAUGUGUGGACCCCACAUGAAUGGCUACAUUUUGGCAAAUAAAAUCCUUCCAGUGGGCUAUUACUGGAUGACUAUGGAAAAAAAUUGCUUCAGUUUUGUCCGAAAAUGUCAUCAGUGUCAGGUGAACGAUGAUCUGAUUCAUGCACCACCUACAGAACUGCAUCCUAUGUCAGCACCAUGUCCAUUCGUUUAUUGGGGAAUGGAUGUUAAUGGGCCAAUCGAGCCAAAGGAUUCAAAUGGGCAUAGAUUCAUAUUGGUGGCCAUCGACUACUUCACAAAGUGGGUUGAAGCCAUUACUCUCAAAGUUGUCACUAAGAAAGUAGUGGUAGACUUCGUGCACUCCAAUAUCAUCUGCCGUUUUGGUAUUCCUGCAACUAUCAUUACGGAUAACGCUGCAAACUUGAACAGUCAUUUGAUGAGGGAGAUAUGUGAACAAUUCGAGAUAACGCAUCGGAACUCUACCCUUACCGACCAAAAGCUAAUGGUGCCAUUGAAGCAGCAAACAAGAACAUCAAGAAGAUUCUGAGAAAGAUGAUCCAAAGUUCCAGGCAAUGGAAUGAAAAGUUACCAUUUGCAUUAUUGGGAUAUCGCACAACUAUGCGCACAUCAGUCGGAGCAACCCCAUACCUAUUGGUUUAUGGCACAGAAGCCGUGAUACCCGUAGAAGUCGAAAUCCCUUCUCUUCGGAUCAUUGUGGAAGCUAAAAUUGAGGACAGUGAGUGGGUCAAAACCCGGCUAGAACAGUUAACCCUGAUUGAUGAAAAGCGAAUGGCCGCAGUCUUCCACGGGCAGUUGUAUCAAUAAAAAAUGGCCCGUUCCUAUAACAAGAAAGUGCGGCCUAGAAACUUUGAAGUGGGGCAACUCAUUUUGAGGCGUAUCCUCCCUCACCACCAGGAAGCAAAAGGAAAGUUCGCUCCUAACUGGAAGGGCCCAUACAUUAUCAGAAAAUUGCUACCAAAAGGGGCGUUAUACCUGGGAGACAUCGUAGGGAAUGACCCCGAAACAACUGUAAAUGCAGACGCAGUCAAAAGGUAUUAUGUCUAGUCUUUCUGCAGAAACAACAUUAUCCGAUUGGGAUGACGAAGGCUUUCAUUCUCGCUACCCCAAAAUACUCCACUCCUUUGCUAACCCUUUGAGCCGGUUACCUUUCUUUCAUUAUCCUCUUUGGAACUUGAAAACGUUUGUAAAAAAAUCAAAAUAAAAGAAAAGGAAAAAACAACACAACAAAAUGUUUCCCUGAACAACGUUCGACUUGAUUCCGAAAGUAUACGUAGGCAGCCUCUCUCUGGGGUUCAGUUACACCAAAACAAAAAUCCAAUUUCCCCCAAAAGUGAAACUGGGGCAGAUGUUAUAAUGGUUUGGCGAUGAUCCUGCCUGAACGGUUCCAAAUUUAUAAUUUGAUCCAAUUUGUUUUUACCCAAACCUUGUUCAAGUCCUUCCGAUCAAUCGAUAAAAGAUGUUCACAAUCGGAGAACGCAGUUGUUUGGAUCCAAUGCAAUCAGGAUGAGAGAAAUAAAAUGAGAGAGUCUUAUUGGUAAAAAAUCCACGGGCACCAUAAGACGAUGGAGAGCAGAGAAAUUUAAACGAGAGAGUCUUGUUAGUGAAAACUCAUAAAAGAGCACUAUAAGGUGACAUUAAGAAGAGAAAUGAGAGAGGUCAAUUGGAAAAAACCCACAAAGGGCGCCAUUGAUUGAAAAGAGGGAAUUCCUUAAGAUCAUCGGUAGACAAGAAUCCUAGCAAUGUUCCUCGAUUUUUGAGAUAUGGAUUAUGAAGGGUUUCUCCAAGAUCGAAUGGCUGCACAAAUCGGGUUUCCAGUCCAAGAAGCAUGUCAUGUCUAUUGAAUUCUAUAUGCACACCAUAUAAGUCCUUCUUUCUCUCCCCCGAAAUGGAUGCUUCUCGUUAAAUUUAUUAUCAUGUCCUUUGUUUACUUUUCUUUGAGUUCCUUUCGGUCUAAUCCCUCUUCAAAACUGAUACAAAGAAAAAAUAGCAAGAAUGGUUUACAAGUUUCUGCUUAGCAAAAUCAAAGUUCAGGAAAAGGCAUUCAGCCUCAAUGGGUGCAUCUAGUCGGCCUUGACUGGCCAUGAUGGCCGAUGAUCCAGAGUCGAGAAUGCUUGAAAAAGGAAAGAUUCAAAGUCAAGUGCCCAUAAGGGCGAAAUGAAAUAAAACCCCACGGGUUAACCGUUCUGGGAAAAGUCACGAUACCUGGUUUUAGAAGAGAAAUCAGUCUCAAGAAAACCAGCAAGCAGUAAAAGAUCUCAGCAAAAGAGUUGGGUCGGGAUCAAGUGAUCAAAGAAAUCAAGGCCACAAAACCAACCACCGUUUCAAAUUGACAAAUUGUUCUUUGAUUUGAAAACAGGUGCAAUCUAAGAUAACCCCGCAAGAAGCAAGUGCAAUAAAAGCAAGGUGCGCAGAGACCAAAAUGGUACUGCAGCAGAAGUUAACCCAAAAAGGGAAGUCCCUUUCAAACCCUUCACGCAUUCUCUUGAAUAAAGUAUUAAAAGUGAAAUGAAAAGAAGGAAGAAGAAAAAUUCAAAAACCAUGGUAGCCUAGGGUCUCCAAUCUCUAGCUAUGUUUUUCCAACAUAGGGUCUCAUUCUCUAAUCACUGCCAGCAUAACCUGGUGGUCUUUUCUAGUAUAGGGUUCCACUCCCUAGUUAAUCCCUGGCAUAACUCAGGGACCUUUUUCUUUUCCGGCAUAACCAGAUGACUUUCCCGGCAUAACCCGAGGACUUUUUUCUUUUCCAGCAUAACUGUCAUAACCCGUGGACCUCCCCGGCAUAACCUGAGGACAUUUUUCUUUCUCGGCAUAACCCGUGGACCUCCCCGGCAUAACCUGAUGACCUUUUUCGUCAUAACCCGUGGACAUCCCCGGCAUAACCCGAGGACCUUUUUCUUUCCCGACAUAAUCCGUGGACCUCCCCGGCAUACCCCAAGGAACUUUGCUUUUCCGGCAUAACCCGAGGACCUUUGCUUUUCCGGCANNNNNNNNNNNNNNNNNNNNNNNNNNNNNNNNNNNNNNNNNNNNNNNNNNNNNNNNNNNNNNNNNNNNNNNNNNNNNNNNNNNNNNNNNNNNNNNNNNNNNNNNNNNNNNNNNNNNNNNNNNNNNNNNNNNNNNNNNNNNNNNNNNNNNNNNNNNNNNNNNNNNNNNNNNNNNNNNNNNNNNNNNNNNNNNNNNNNNNNNNNNNNNNNNNNNNNNNNNNNNNNNNNNNNNNNNNNNNNNNNNNNNNNNNNNNNNNNNNNNNNNNNNNNNNNNNNNNNNNNNNNNNNNNNNNNNNNNNNNNNNNNNNNNNNNNNNNNNNNNNNNNNNNNNNNNNNNNNNNNNNNNNNNNNNNNNNNNNNNNNNNNNNNNNNNNNNNNNNNNNNNNNNNNNNNNNNNNNNNNNNNNNNNNNNNNNNNNNNNNNNNNNNNNNNNNNNNNNNNNNNNNNNNNNNNNNNNNNNNNNNNNNNNNNNNNNNNNNNNNNNNNNNNNNNNGGACCUUUUUAUUUCCCGGCAUAACCCGUGGAACUCCCCGGCAUAACCCGAGGACCUUUUAUAUUCCGGCAUAACCCGAUAACUUUCCCGACAUAACCCGUGGACCUACCCGGCAUAACCCGAGGACCUUUUUCUUUCCCGGCAUAUCCCGAUGACUUUUCCGGCAUAACUCAUGGACCUCCCCGGCAUAACACGAGGACCUUUUUCUUUUACGGCAUAACCCGGUGACCUUUCCUGGCAUAACCCAUGGACCUCCCCGGCAUAACCUGAGGACCUUUUUCUUUUCCGGCGUAACCCGAUGACCUUUCCCGGUAUAACCCGAGGACCUCACCGGCAUAACCCGAGGACCUUUUCUUUUUCGGCAUAACCCGAUGACUUUUCCAGUAUAACCCGUGGACCUCCCUGGCAUAACCAGUGGACCUCCCCGGCAUAACCUGACGACCUUUUCCUUUUCCGGCAUAACCCGGUCAUCUUUCCAGCAUAACCUGGCAAUCUUUCCAAUUUAGGGCAUCAAUCCCUAGUUGAUUUCAUUAUAGAUAUAGGGUUCCACUCCCUAAUCUCUUUCUCCCAAGGAUACACAAUCAUGAUUUUAUUGCUUUCAAUAAAGAAAUAGUUUAGAUUUUGUUACAAUAACUCACGAAAUUUUCCUACUGAAAACUGGGGCAGAAAAAUUUCGUUCGUUUGUUUGCUUUGGUGCCCAAAAUAGGUUUUCACCGUGAGGCACAAGGUUGAAAUGACCAAAAAAAGAAGUCUUAACCCAAAUAAAAGAAAAGGAAGAACAAGAAAAGAAGUGAACUCAAGUGCAGAAGCGGAGAAAAGAUGCGGACUGCUCAAGAUAUGAUUGAAGUCGUAGGCUUAGCAUGUCCUGCCUUGUUCCAAAAAGCUGAAGAAGAAUGAACCAGCGGUCGCAACUAACGAGCAUCAAGAUGCUGAUCAGAGUCUGUAGGAAGAACCAGCCAAGACUCAAGAUCAAGCUUAGGAGGUUUAUAGAUAGGAACCUGGUAACUCAUAGUUGAUAGGUUUUAGCUAGACUAGAUUCUUAUCUUUCAUUUUGGUGUAAUAAGGAGCUCAGCAAGCAGAAACAGCAGCAACAACAGUGAAAUCACAGUUUCUCGGUAGUCCCAACUACCAAAACUUCCAAAACUACACUGACCUGAUUCCUUUAUAGCCAAGGAUAUGUAGGAAACCUCUGAAGCAAGGUUCGGUCAGGCCCUUUUCAAAAAUGCUUCUCAUGGAGUCUCAAACGGGCAAAAAUCUCUCAUAAUUGCUCAUUUUGUCUUUGCCCGAAAACCAUUCGUGUUUCCGAGCAAAGAGGGCUUGCUAUGAGCAUGUGAUUUUUGCCCUAUAUAAAUUACUCCUAUAAAAUUCCCAAAAAAUAGGUCUUCUGUUAAUUAUUUGCCAUUUUUAGGAAUGUUUCUAGAAUUUUUCUUAAUUAUUUGCAUUUCUAUGCAUGUUUAAUUUAUUUAAAUCAUGAAAAAUACCAAAACAUAUCAUGCAUUACCUUUACGAUUUGUUUUUAUAUUUUAAUAAUUAAUCAAGAAUUAUUUGUUUUAUAGAAAUUUGAAAAAUCACAAAAAUAGCUCAUUUUUACAUUUUUUGUUUUUUAAUUUUUACUUUAUCGAUUUGUCUCUUUUAAUUUAGAAUUAAGUGGUGUUUGUAAUUUUUUUAUAAUUAGCUAAUUUUUAAUUUCAUAUUUUAGAUAGUUUAGAAUUUUUAAUUAUUAGGAUUUUAAAUUUAAAAACGAGGAAAAAAGGAAAACAAAGGUUUAAUUGAAAAGGGGGAUUUUAUUCAAAUUUUGGCAAUUUUUAAAAGCCAAACCCGUCCAAAUUGCCCAAGAACCCAAGCCCAAACAAUUGCCAAACUCGGUCCAACUCCCACAGUUCCCAAACGACGCUAUUUCAUUUUGAUUUGAUCUCAGCCGUUGGAUUUUAUCAAUCCAACGGCUCGGAACUGAACGAUUCCUCACAAUAUAAGUAUCUCAACUGAGUCAACCCCCCCCCAAACCAAAGAUUCAUUUCAUUUUUGCUCUAUAUCACACCCUCACCAGUAUAACCCUAGUUGCCCUCAUUUUCUUCGCCUCGCCCACCGUAAACCACCACCGAAAAUCGCGACACAGUAGUUCCGAUGGUUCAAUCGCCCCCAAAAUGACACCAUAAACUCCCCUUCACCUCUCCAUUCCAAAUCUCCACUCCUUUUUCUUCGAAUCAUCCCCGGUCUGUUUGAAUCUUGAAUCAAAAAAUCCGGCCAAAAUCCUAGUUAUUCCAAACCUCACCAUUUUAACACCCCAAACUCCAUUUUCCCUCCUUGUCUUAGAUCCCUGACCAGUUUUUCCAGAAUUCUCGCCUAAUUGUUUGAAUUUCAGAUCUAAGAGUCAAACCUAAAAACCCUAAUCUUCCCCCAAAUUGACCACAAAGCUCCUCUACUUCUCUUUUCCUUCAAAGUUAAGGCUCUCAGAAGUCUUUUAUUUCAUGGAGAUCCAGUCAAAGCCAUGCAAGGCCGGAUCUCUUAAAAGAAAAGACCUUUUUUGGUCAAGGCGAAGACGGACCUCUAAAGGCUUCUGUUGUUUGUUUCUUCCAGUCCCCAUGGUAAGGCAUCAGUCACUUUUACCCCUCCACUUCUUCUCUUCUUUCUUUCUUUUUCUUGCCAAGUCAGUAGUCUUCAUAGUUUGAUUUUCAGUUUGAUUGUUCUCUGGACGUGUUUAGUUAGCAAUUUUGUGCUAGGAUGCAUCAGUUUGUUCGUGUUGGUUUGUUUAUUCAAAAUUUUGUUUAGUUUGCUAAUUUAGUUUAGUUCAGGGUCAACCUAGCAUAUAGGAUAAUUAGUAGUUUCAUUCAUGCUUUUGAAUGCAUCGUUCAAUUAGCUUUUAGUGUGGUUUGAUUCCAUGUUAAUCUAGGGUUUAUUAUGAAUUGGUUUCAUGUGUCAAUUGAAACAUGAUUGAAUAUGGUAGUUUAAUUGCUUUAGAUUAAUUUGGGCUAAUAUUAGAAGUAUAAACUAUUUGUUUGCCCUCUUCUUCUACAUGUUUCCAUUUGUUGUCUAAUUGAUGAAAGCAUGAAUUAGAUUUACAAGGUUUCUGUUAUCAGUUCAGUUUGGUUUUAGUGUCCUUUAGGGUUAAUUAAAUAAGCAAUUCUUAUUGAUCAAUUGGUUAGCUUUAAGAUAGAAUGAAAUCAGCAUGUUUUGUUUUAGCAUUAAUUUGGUUUUCUUGAUGCUUUCUGGUUCUGUUUAGCUUUAUUUGGAAAUCAAUGGAACCUUAGCGGUUCAUUUGAAUUUAAAAGCGUUUAGGAUGAACCUGAAAUAAGUAGUAACCUAAGGGGUAGAAAAGGGUUUUCUACAUAAGCUGAAAAUCAGAAAUAUCCUAGAAAAAGGUAUAGAUGUCCCAGCUGUUAAAAAGAUGCUGAAAUAAUAGGACAGUUGUAUCAAGGACUGUACUAUUAUUCCCUAAGAUAAGGAAUAUGCUACAAAGAUACCUUCCCCAUAAGCAGCCAAUAUAUGGGCUCAAUCAUUCUGAAAAAUACAGAUUUGGAUAGACAUUUUUAGCAAUAAUUUACUGCACAAAAAUCACUCCUUCCUCUUCUAAAAAGUUUAAGUUUCAGAAAUUUUAGGAAAAAACUUUCUUCUUUGGUUCUAUUGAAAAAUGAAAAAUGACUUGAAGUAGGGCAUUCUCUCUUGGUUUCUGUGGCUGAAAUCUCUGAGUUUUCAAACGCUGAGUUUGGUUUUGCUUUGCUGGGCUGGUUACUGUUGCUGUUGCUCCCUCUCUUUUUGGAAGUUCAGUAUUGUUCUAGUGACCUCUAUUUGGUCUCUUUUCUUGAAUCAUCUUUAGGUAUGUAAUCAUGCUCUAACUAUGAAAUGAAUCUAUUUGUUCAAGCCUGAAGUUCUUCAUGAAUAUGUGUGUAUGGCUGAAGGCAAUGUGUGUUUAUUUCUGUCAAGUUUGUUUGGCAUUUUUGUAUGCACGAAAAAUAUUAUUAAAGUAGUAUCGAUAGCUUUGGUUCAUAGUAAAACACUUAGUUGAGAUUGUUGUAUAUGGUUCUCUUAAGUAAUAUUUUCUCUUCAUCCAUCUGAUUUCUUCACUUAAAUACCUUUUUCUGUUCUUUUCUUCUUAGUUGGCCAUGAGCUAUAACCUGUUGGUUCAGCCGCUAAUUGGUUGGAUCAGUCAGUUCAGAAGCUCUAAGGUGUGAUUUACAUGUUUCUUUAACAAAGGAAGAUGAAGCUACUAUGGACAAAGCCAUAUUCAAAAGAGGUAGGGAUAUUCUACUAGUAUACAAGUUUGUAAUAGUUUAGCUCGAGAUUUGAUUAGUAGAUUACUGUCGGAUUAGAUUGUCAUUUAGAAUAUUUGUUUCAAGAAAGCAGUGGCAUGAAUUAACAGUAAUACAAAACUCGUUUAUUGGUGUAAAGGUUGUCACUCAUAUUGGGAGUUUUGUAAUAAUUGGACUGUCCAAGAGCUUGGUUAAACAAGUUCUAUUUGUAAGUUCAAGCUUACAUUUCACAUGCUGGGUUGCAAUUAAUGCAUAUAAGUGUGUGCUCUUGGUAAAAUUUAAGGUGUAAUUUUUGUAAACAGCACUGAUUUAAAUUAAGAUGUCUCUUGUUUGAUUUUUUUUAUUAUUCUAUCAUGAGGAGAAUUUUGAGUGUUUGGUUUGGGCUUGGCGAAGGUCCAGUCAAGGCAGCCUGCUGAAAGUUAGCUUGGGCUGCCUUUAUCCGAUAUUACUCUUUGUCUUUGGGGCUCGACUUCAGGCCCAAAUGGCCUUGAGCUCCUGUUCCAUUUCCUCAGCAUAAUAAAUGUUUCUCUUGUCUGGAAUUGGGCUGGAAUUGGCCCAACUAAAACCACACCUUUGUUUUCUCAUUGUGUGCUCCUAUGAAUAAGUAAUUAUACAUUUUAAGUUCAGCCAUGUAUAGUUUAUGUUUGCAAAUUGUAUGUGUUAUGAUUACCGUUCAAUUUUGCGACUGUGAAUCUGAAUCUCUUUAAUUCGAAAAGAAAGUUCAUUUGUAGUUCGUGAUUUAUGUGUAUACCACGGCUAAAAAUGCAUAAGGUGGAUAGGCUCAGCCGGUGCCAAUGCGCAACUGGGCCCGCCUAAAAUAUAAGCCCAACGUGGGCUGCUUGUUUUCGGAUCAGCGAUUGUAUUUUGAGGCCUCUAAUUUCUGGGCUAAAUAGUGAGCCCAAGUAAAGUUUUCAAAUUGAUUUUUCAAUAGGCCACAGCUGGUGCGAACCGCGGGUGCAUGUGACCCAACUCCAACUCUCAAAUAGGCCACAGUUGAUUUUUCAUGUGACCCAACUCCAACUCUAAAAAAUGUUAAAUAGAAUGUGUCGCGAACCGCGGGUGCAUUUCAUGUGGCGUGGUUAAAGGCAUAUUUUAAAUGACAUUGAGUCUUCCUAAAAGCGGUUUAAAUAAUUAAAAGCGGUUAAUAAGCUAAAAAUGCACCAUAGGCUAAAACAUGUAAUAAAUCGGAUAAUAGGCAAAUUUUAAUAGUUUAAGCGACCGUGCUCGAACCACGGAAUUCGGGAAAGCCUAACACCUUCUCCCAAGUUAACAGAAUUCCUUAUCUAGAAUUUCUGGUUCGCGGACUUUAAAAAAUAAAAAUUUCCUCGAUUUAGGAUUUUAAAAUAAACCCGUGACUUGGAACACCAAAUAAACUAUCCCAAGUGGCGACUCUGAAAAAUACAUAAAAUAAUCUCAUUUCGAAUAAUGUUACUUUAAUUGGAUAAACUCCCUUAUAUACCUCUUCGGGUGGUAAAAAGGAGGUGUGACAAUCCACAUACCUCAAGCCAAUUCUAAUUGCACCAUACUAGGCAAAUAACCUUUCAAGGAUCUAUAAAUAACUUUUUCCUAUAACUCACAAGAAUAACCAUCAUAACCGGAGUAAGACUCCAUAAUCCACAACCCAAUAAAUCGAGUGCCCUUUAGGCAUAAAUUCUCAAAUUGGCAAUAUUACCACAAUCUUUAUACUUGGUUUAAAUCUCCAAUCUGUCAAGCGACUACAUGUCAUACUUAUACAAUCUCCUCGUGAGACAUGCUCCCACGAUCUUCUGCACCAGAUAACGAGUCUGCAUAUCCAUACCACCGGACGCACUAACGCUGUAAAGCAAAUCAAGAAUCCAUAACUAGGUUGCAAAGCCUCCUUCACAAAACACUGGUCUCAGGUGACGCUAAAGACAAUACCAACUUACUUUAAACAUUCGAAUCCAUUUCCAUCUCAUCCGAGCUCGUGACAUCCUUGCCAAUACCAAACCGCAACCUCGGUUCCUCACUUUCAAUUUUCAUACUGCUCACUGCACCUAACAUACCAAUAUGUGACAGUAUAAGAAUUUCAUCAUGACUUCUGAACCACUAAUAGGGUAUACACUUUAUCAUACAGAAACCUUUUACCUAACUCAUUCCAAGAGAACCAUAGCAACACGCGAGUGAAUUCUCAUAACCAUAGAACAUGCAAAUCCUCAAGUAGUGGUCUAAGCCACCAUAACCCUUCCAGGAUCCGCCCACACAUAACAGGCCAAAAUACUUGAAUACUCCAAAAAAAAAUCAAUUACGGUGGCCAUCAAACCUCGUAUGGAUCGUCACAAAUCACAUACAUAACUUAUUCACGCUGAGGAAACUGAUCACCGCCACCAUUGUGCCAAUUCAACCAUGGCUAACCAAUCUAACUCCUUCUAAUUCAUCCUUAACUUGCCUUAGAGAUAAUAAUGACUCCAUUUAACCCAUAACGAACUCAAUCUGCAUUCAUCCCGAGUGGCCUUGUAUCACGAGACCACACAAUUUCAAAUCCCACGAACCAUCUCAUACCUUCCUUGUGCGCACAUUCGCAUCCUCAGCUGGUAUGCCCAUUCUGAUAACUUCUCUACGAAUCCAAAGUCAUUUCCUCUCAUUCUUCCAAAUGCUACACUACAAAUCGGAAAUAUCAUAGAACAUCUCAAGCCUCUUAUCAUAAUACACCACAAAAGCUCGAUUCUUAACCAUACCGUGGGCUUAAAAUCUUUAGGCACCGCAUUUUAACCUUUGAAUUCACUAGGGACAUUGUUGAGAGUCACCCACUCUGGCUUGGUCCCGAAUAUAAUCACUUCAAGGCUCCGCUAGCACAUGGACACCCAUUUUCAUGGAGCACCCGAUUGAAUCACUUCCUUAUAAACCACCCCAGCACGGAACAGAAAUCCUGAGUCUUCCCAAAGUCCGAACAAGAAUCGAUAAGGCCAUUUAUGGCACACAUAUCUCAAAUCAUUUGCUCAAAUUACCACUUAUAUUCUUUUUCCUUAGCUAAAAUAUUUUGCCAUUAUACCGAUAGCCAGAAACCUCACAAGUAGAUAACCAUGCAACCCAAUCAUAGGCGGUAGGACAUUCCCACUUAGCUUAGAGCCACCUGUUACAUUACUCUGGAACCUACCAAGAUUCUUUCUUUAUUAUUGACAUGAUCUUACACAUCCAACCCACCAUAUUCCUCGAAAUCCUUCUGUUAGCAUUUCAUGAACACUCUGAAUUUCCGGCAACAUUCACAUAUUUGACUUCUUACUGGAUAGCCAAUAAAAUCUUCCGUAGAAGCUUCACCAACCACGCAACCGUUGACCUGCUCACAGGAGAUAACCCCCCGUGGAAAUUACACUCCGACAUCUUCCAACAUCGUUGCACGGGGUACAAUCACUAUGACAUCAAAUAACCCAUCCUGAGCCUGUGCUCAUUCACCAACUGUACUAGUCCGUUCACUUCUUAUGGAUAUCAACUAACUGUGCGACAAUAUCUUCCAAUUCAAAGUCAUAUAGCAUCCUUCUUCGUAUCAAGCAACUACCUUUUUGUCGCAUCCAAUCCCCCGCCGUAUAAUAGCCAAUAUUUCAAAUUAAGCCCGUCUACCCUAUCACCGUCCACUAAAAUUCCCAAAUCACUCAAGUCUUUUCCUCAAGGGGUGUAGUUAUCCUGCUACUGAACCCAUAUGCUACUCUACCACUAUCCCACUUUGGUCAAACCCACUCCUUUAAGCAACUACUCAACCUUCGCUUCUUACACCUGGCCUUCUAGAAAUUUAACCACCGCCUGACACUUCCCACAUGUCCUUCCUCAUCAUUUGCUUGCCAGUUGUUGCCUUUGAUCAAUAUCUAUCUAUGUAGCACUUGAACCAAUAGACUGCUACUAACUUCAACCCUUCCCAAAGAUCCUCCUUCUCGAGCCGUCAGCAUUAGAAAUACCCAUUCAAUCUUGAACCACCACACCCUACGAUCUCGUUACCCUAUUAACCCAAACCUGAACAUUUAUAGUCCGAUUGUCUUUCCUCCAGCGGAAAUAAAAUACCGAAUCUCUUUAUCGUGCUCUAAGUAAACCUCCUUUCAAGUCAUUCACUGCCCUGACACAUAGGCAAGCAUCCUACCAUCACAUUAAUUCUGUGCGAUAACCGAUCAUAAGCAUCAUAGCAACCUGCACAUAGACUCAAGCUCUCAGAAGUGCAGCUACCAAGCUGAAAUGCCAUAAUAUCCUUCCGCAAUGCGACGACAACAGCCCAACCAACUAUGUCAGAAGAAACAUCCUGCACCGCAUCUGUAGUACCAUUAAAAUUCCUCAAUUCCUGAUUUAUAAUAAGUGUUUUGCAUCAAAUAAGAUUGAAUAGGAAGGAAACAAGGGCAUAAGCGUCAAAGGAAUCAAAUUGCACGAUGAGGAAUCAAGAAGGGAAGUGCUCCUAACAGCCCUAUAGCCUCUCGAAGAUAAGUACAGACGUCUCUGUACCGAUCCACAAGACUCUACUAGACUCGCUAAUGACUCGUGAGACUAAGGGAACCUAGGGCUCUGAUACCAUGUUGUCAUGACCCAAAAUCCACUAAGGGUCGUGAUGGCGCUUGACACCACUGUCAGGCAAGCCAACACCAAGAAGUUAAUAAAAUUCCCAUUUUAGUGUUUACUAAAAAUCAUUUCUUUUAUACAUUAAACAAUAAAUAAUGAAAUUCACUGAAUAAACAAUGAUGUCUUUAACAAAAUUAAAUAUUGAAUAAGCCCAUAGUCAUCCGAGAACCCGGUGUCACAAGUGCAUAGGCAAUUUCUAGGAAACAAUGUAAUACAAUAACUGUCCGGAAUACAAAUUGGAUAGUAGAUAAAAUACAAUACAAUACUCUGAAGGAGACUCUACCGGUUGCGGGUCAUCUCGAGAGGUGCGACUCACCUAAGUCUCUGUAUCAAACAUGCCAUUGUGCCUGACUAAGCCACUAGUCGUACAUGUGCCUGUGCAACAAAAAUGCACAGCAAGUGUAGUGUGAGUAUAAAAAUAACGUGUAUCGAGUAAGUAUCCUGUCUAACCUUGAAGAAGUAGUGACGAGAGAUCGGACUGCGACACUUACUAGCGUUCCAAUAGUAAUAUAUUAAUAAUGUGAAAAAUCAUGAAUUUUAUAGGGUAGAUGUAAACUAAUUAAUCCUGAAGCAGGUACACUAUUCCUUCAUAAUAAUAGAUUUCCAAAGAUUCAUAUUUCAUCAUCUUUUUAUUAAUUUAUCUCAGUCUAGGAAGGCAAUAUCAAUUUUGUAAAUCUCAAGCAAGCAUCACAAACCUGCGCAAGUCAUAGCCGAGGUCGUACGGUCUGAUCCAAUAUAAUAAUAAAAUGUGCACUGCUAGAGGGUCGAAUAGCACGAACCAUAGAUGUAUAUAUUACCCCGCUCGUGAAUCAUAUGUGCGACGCGGUCAAAUAAAAGUAAUAGAGUUACCCCGCUCACAAAUCAUACAUGCGACGCAGGUACCCAUAGAUACACACAUUCAAACAGUCAAUCAAGACUUCAUCAGGAAACAACUACCCAAGAAAUGAUAAUUUUCUCUUUUAACGGUCAAGAAAAUGAUUUUUAACUUUUAGAAAUUCAUUUGCCAGGUUCGAUAUGAUUUAAGCAUAUUAAUUUGACAAUAAAGUUACAAGUACGACAAGUAAGCAUGCUUUUAGAUCCUAGACUACCCGGACUUAAGCAUUUUAGUAGCUACGCACAGACUCUUGUCAGCUCGUGCGUACGUAGCCCCCACAAAUAGAAGCACAUAUGCAAUUAUUUCACCUUUGGGGACAAUUCCCUCUUAAAAGGUUAGAAAAGAGACUUACCUCACGCCGAAGUUCAAUAACUGGCUUCCAAGCCCUUCCGAUGACCCAAAUCGACGCACAACGCUCCAAAACUAGCCAAUAAUUAUGCAAAACCAUUAAUAUAUUCUCAAACACUCAUCAUAAUCCAAUUUAUAACAAAUUUCCAACUCUGAUCGACAAGUCGAUAAAAAUCACUAUUUGACCCACGUGCCCGGAUUCUGAAAUUUUUCGAAGAUAAAGUUUACCAAUAACCCCACGAACUCAAAAAUAUAAGUUACUCUCAAUUUCAUGUCCAAAAUCGUGGUCGAAAUCCAAGAAUACCAAAUUCCUAGGUUUUCCUCAAAAUCUCAAAUUUCUACUAAUUUCCAUACUUUAAUCCUUAUCUAAAUCAUGUAUUUAACUUGUAAUGAGUGGGAACAACUUACCUUGACAUUGGUAAUGAAGAAUGAGCUCCAAACUCGCUCAAGGACCUGCUCUCAUGGAGGAAAUGAGGUGAAAAUGAGUCAAACCCUCAUUUUUAAAAGAACACACUGCCUCCAGCCUUUUCGCACCUGCGGUCGCAGGUGCAACCCCACUACCGCUUCUGCGUUCUUUCACCAAGACCCUUACUCUGAUUUUGCGCUUCCGCUUCUGCAGGUGUGGUCCCGCUUCUGUGGCAUGAUGACCGCAUCUGCGGCGCCAACAUUUCCCUUCUCAACCGCAUUUGCGCUCCUUUGGCCGCUUUUGAGGCUCCGCACCUGCGACCAAGACCUCGCAGUUACAACAGAUGAUAACAGGCUUCAGCUCUAUCUACCAACUCCAAUCCGAUCCGCUAACCACCCGAAAUCCACUCGAGGCCCAUGCGAUCGCGUCCAAUCACACCAAUCAAUUCUAAAACUCAUUACAAACCUAGUCGAGCCUUCAAAUCAUAUCAAAUGACGCCAAAACCAUGAAACACACUCCAAUUUGAGCUUUAUGAACUUUUGAACUUCAUACUUCUUCAUUCGAUGCUAAUACCUAUCAAAUCACGUCCGAUUGACCUUAAAUUUUGUACACAACUCACAUUCGACAUUAUGGACCUACUCCAACUUCCGGAAUCAGAAUCCGACCCUCAUAUCUAAAAGUUCACUUCCGGUCAAACUUCUCAAAAACCUUCAAAUUUCUAACUUUAGCCAAAUGACUGCAAAAUGACCUACGGAGUUCCGAAUUUACUUCCGAUCAUGCUCCCAAUACCAGAAUCACCAUACUAAGCUAUUCCCAGACUUGAAAUCCCAAACAAACAUCGAUAACAUUGAAAUGCACUUCAAUCCAAAUUUAUGAGAUUAUUCCAAAAUGCUAACUUCCAUAAUAGGUGCCAAAACGUUCCAGGGUCAUCCAAAACAUGAUUCGAACAUACAUCUAAGUCCAAAAUCAUCAUACGAACCUAUUGGAACCUUCAGAUCCCAAUUCCGAGGUCGUUUACUAAAAAAUCCGAUCUUAGCCAAUUCUUUCAACUUAAAGCUUCCAAAAUGAGAAUUUCCUUUCUAAAUCAACUCCGAGCUUCCCGAAAUUCAAUUCCGACCAUGCGUACAAGUCAUAAUUCCUGAAGUGAAGCUGCUCAUGGCCACAAACUACCAAACAACACGCUAGAGCUCAAAACGACCGUUCGGGUUGUUGCAUUCAUACCCUCAUCACCAAGUUUUGAAGUGUUACCUACCUCGAACAAGCCAAUUUUAAUACCGAGCAAGCCAACCGAUGCUCCAAAAAUGCCAUCUCGUGCGUACCGCCUCCGAAUGGCUCAAAACUAGCCAAAAGCAACUCAAAUACAUCAAAUAAUGCCAAAGGAACCAAGCCCAGUCAAUAAAGGUCGAAUCUUUAAUCAAAAGCCCAAAAUCGGCCAAAAAGUCAUAACUCGGGCCCGUGCCUCAAAACCCAACAAAACUCACAAAAUUUGAUAACACAUUCAACUACGAGUCCAACCAUACUAGUUUCACUCAAAUCCGACUUCAAAUCAAUGUUCAAAACUCAAAAAUUCAUAUUAUGAAACUUUAGGCAAAAAUCCUCCAAUUUUCUCUUUGAAUUCACAAACCAAUUACCAAAAAUGAAGAUAGAUUUAAGAAAUAUUAGAGAACACUUACACAAAUUCACAUGGUGAAAAUCUCCUCAUAAACUACCCAAUUCCGAGCUCCCCAACUCAAAAUAUGUUAAAUGAAUAAAACCCUCGUUUUAACAUCAUUCUACCUCGUUUCUUGUGUCAAAUAAUCUCAAAACUCACUUUUGACGCAUCCACUGGAUUACUUGUAAAAUUAUAGUCAAGUCAAGCUCUUGAAUAACUCUAUUUGACCUUAUAUUGAAGGAGAUAUGUUGGUUUCAUGGAAAUAGUGCAGAUUUUUAAAUACGAAGUCAGUAGCAAUUUUGUGAUUAAUCUGAAAAAAUCUAACAACCCAAUUCUUAAUAAAAUGACCAUAAACUCUUUAUACGAUGUCCAAAUUAGACGAUUCUUUUUGCUAUGGAUCCGUAAUUAUGAUAUGGAUCUAAUGCUUCAAUAAAAAAAGAAACUGGAGCUCAUUUACUUAAUGUAGUACCAUUUAUACUUGAAGAAACGAUGUCGAAACAUAAAAAACGAUCGCAACACAAUCCAAACCUAUCUAAAACUCACUCGCGUCCCUCGGGACCCCGUCCGAACAUACCAACAAGUCCCAUAAAAUAACACUGACCUACUCGAGGCCUCAAAUCACGCAUAACAAUAUCGAAAUAACGAAUCACACCCCAAAUCAAACUUAAUGAACUUUUCCAACCAUCAAAUUCCAAUUUUCGCCAAUUAGUGCUGAAUCCUUCUAGAAAUAUCCAAUUGCAAAUUUGGGCAUACGCCCGAGUCCAAAAUUACCAUCCGGACCUAACAGAACCAUCAAAACUCCAAUCCGAGAUCAAAUGCUAAAAAGUUCAACUUGGUCAGCUCCUCCAACUUAAAGCUUCAAUCAUGAAGUUCAUUCUUCCAAAUCAAUUCCGAACAACCUGAAAACUAAAAUUGACGAUUCACAUAAGUCAUAAUACAUCAUGUAGAUAUACUCAUGCCCUCAAAUUACCAAGCAAAGUGCAAAUGCUCAAAACAACCAAUCGGGUCAUUACAUCCUCGAACGUGCCAAGAGUCAUCCCAAAGUCAUCAAAUCGCCGUGUAACCUAUCCAUUCACAUAUCCCGGGGUGAUCCCAUGUCACCCUAUCCCAUAUAGGUCUGAUAACCCAACAUAACUUAAAUUUCUUAAUUCAACCUAGCUUAUAAGUCUUAGAAUUCAAUUUCUAACAUCCAAAAUUUCUAUAAAGUAAGAAUCUUGCAUCUAAAAACUGUAUAAGUCUAAACAAACUGCAUUAAGCCAUAAUCAUAACCCAAAACAUAAUCACAUGAUAUACCUCAUAACUCAAAUACUCAUAGCAAUACUUCCUAAUUACCGUAGCUGUUUAAAAAUAAAUUCGGUACUGGUAAUAAACCUCAUAUCAAGCAAAACAUCGACUCUAAAACCUUCGUAUACUGCCGAUAAUGAAAGAAACACACAGAACUCAUAACUAUUCAUCAAAUCAACGUCUUGGAGCUCUAUCUCCUUCGACAAGAACUACAACCAAAUUAUCGGUCGAUCAGCAAUAUUAUCCUUCCAAAUAUACCCCAAUCAGAUCCGAUAGCACCCAUUCUAGGUCUGAUGACCUUAUUUCAUCCAACACAACCACUCCAAUGACAUGCCAUAUCAAUACAAUCUAAAGCCACAACCCGUGCAAUCUGUGCACCAAUAAGCAACAAUCCAAGUAUACUCAAAUAUAGAAAAUGAAUCAAACGAGAGAAUCGUCCCCAAGCUCAACAAGUACCACCAUAACCGAAAUGCUACAAACCCAUCAUACCUAGUAGAACCAAGACACACGAAUCUAACACAAAGGAUCAUCUCCCGACAUAACCCAGCUGCAAUGUAUGACCCCACCCAAACACUGGUCCAUAUGAAAUACCCCAGCCACCACGCGGAAUUCGACAUCAAUUACCCAAAGUGCAUUACCAUAACCAUGUAAAAGCAAAUGAUACAAUGCCAUACAAAACCCGAAAGAACAUAACUAAUACGCAAUCAAUCAUGUAAUACCCAAAUACCCAUCUCGUUCAAAUUAUGCUAUAAAGCCCAAGUAGAACUGCACCAUGUGUGCAUAUAACCAACGAAUCACAACCCUCAUAGCAUAGAAUAGUAACUCACAGAUCAUAUCAAAACAUGAAUAAGCUCAACAACAACCCAGUAUAGAAUACACAUCCUAAAUGGGCCUACUAAUAGGCCCUAAAUCAACUUUUGUCGUCCAUAAAUAGAUAAAUAAACCUCUGAAGGUCCACAAUGACCUAACCAAAACACAUACUAUCAUCUAGCUAGCUACAAUCCACGAAACAUUCUACUCCUGAGAAUUCCUAGUCUUCAAAUCCAUAUAACACACGAAUCACCAUAUCUGAUCCCAACUACACUGACUGAAUGUCUAACAUAUCUCUCAUAUAUGAUCAUACCGCGAGGAAUACUUAUAUAAUCCUUUCGUGCCAUAUAGAAAAAUCUGAAUAUCAACAAUCGAUCAACAAGGCGAGUACCGCAAUACCAAUGAAGCAUACGUAAGUCAAAACAUAAUGCGCCUUCCGAAAUGCACACCCUUCUCAGGCAAAACCAAACAGUUAUAGCAUUCAUCUAAAAAUCAAAAACCGUUCAUGUUGUCUAUAAAUUUAUGACCUUCCCUUCAAAACUAAAUUGUUACCUUGCACAUGCAAACCUUAAUCCCACACAACACAUAACAUCUAUCAUGCCAUCACAUGAAAAAUACGAGAACCUCAUAAUACACUCUGACUAACAAGUCCAAUACAUACCCGAUUAGUCAGGAACCUUCCAUUUGAUCUCAUCCAGGAGAAAAUAAUUUGAAACUUGUUCCUCAUGUCAUUAGGAAAUACCCAUAUCAAAUCAUGGUAGAAAUUAUUGAGAACUCUUUAGAAUCCAUUUGCACAUAACCAAGUUAUCAGAACUGAAUCUCUCUAACUCAACCAAGCCAUGAAGGUUUCCAAACCCAAGAUUAUUGCCACAAAAUGCUUGUAGAGACUCACCUCACCAUAAGUACGCAAAGAACUGAUCAUAUCUAUUACGGUGUUGAUCCAAUCUACUACUAAGCUGUCCUGUUUCUCCGAGUUCCUUCUGAAUUGCCUUCAAAUCGACACUUCUCCUUGCUAGAACACCACGAUCCUUAACCAAGACUCACCCCACAAACUCUAGCAUAGAACUACACUGCUUUAAGGCCCAUAAAUCGUUGAAUUCUUCCUUAAGCACCCCAAAAGUACCACAAUCGAGAUACCUACUCUGAAGAGGCCAUCUGUGAAUCUAAAGUCGUUUCCUUCACCUUCCUGAUAUUGAUAUGUAUAAUCCAUAAGGAUAUAUAAAUACCACGAGUCCCGACAUCAUCCAAUGUAAAUCUCAAUUUCUAGCCAUAUGCAAAUAUUGAAAUUUCCCAAUUGCUACAAAUAAAUCGUGAAUCAAUUCGAACCAUUAUCAAGAGUCUUCCACUCUGCUCAAAUCUCAAUUAAGCCGACUAAAUGGACUGAACAACCUGUGCCCCAUUAGCAUACCAACACCCAAGGAAGUAACCGCACCUUAAUGCAACCAAAACAACUCCUACUCCAUGCACACUACAUCCUUCACGAAUAACCACUAGAUCAUUCCAUGAUUUCCAUGUACCCAUAGAGUGUAAUACAACCCGUAUCAAGAAUUUCCUUUACUCGAGUCAUCGUCGAUCUCAACCUCUGCAAGUCAUAAUUAAUUCACAAGUAUUCAUCAAAUCGAAACUAAUACAACACAUCACCGUGCGAUCAACUCGUCAAUAGAAGACUCCCCCGCUUGGCUCAAAGCCAAGGAAUAAAGCAUCUGAUAACUUACAAUAACCAUAACCCAUUACUACCAUAAUACCGCAAUGAGAUUCAACUAAAUCCUUCAUAAGCUUAUGUAACACAAACCAUCUAAUACUUCAAAUUGUUUACAAAUCUCGCAUUCACCCUUGUAACAGUCAAUCCAACUUCCACAAGCAAUCCAAACUCAAAUUGCAAUACAUAUAAUUCACUGGUAAAAAAGAACUCUCUACAAAACCACAUAGGAAUCACACAACCUCUGGACACCCCGCAGGAGAUAACCCACAUGUUUUGCCUCAAACUGACAUCUCACUAUACCCUUCUACAGCUACAAUUAUUACUCAAUCACUUAAUCUUCCAGAGUCUGAACUCACAACAACACACGAAAAUCUACUUCACUCCACAAUUAAACAACAUGAAAGAUCCCUUAACACACCCAUAAGUCGAGCCAAUACGUCAAAUCAAGACAGAAAUCAAGCACCCAAUAGUCUUUGUUACAUCUCAACCAAACUCUUCUCGUCACAUUCUAUCCAUCUGAACACUUCCUGCAAUCACAUUAUGCUCACCAUAUAGCCAUCCAACCCUUCAUCGAGCCAUAAAUUCCACUAAUAGGGACACUACCGGACUUAUAAGUGCAAAAUCAUGUGCUCUCACAACCGAAACCCUCGCGCUCAAUCUAUGGUCAAAACCCAGCCUCAAGUCUUCCAGACUAUCCCACCAUCUACACACCAAAAUCACAUCUCGCACCUCAUCCAUGAAAUCACAAGCCGAUAAUGUAGAGCUGAUACCGAGCACUCACAUACGCAUACGAAUGUGUGGAAGGAAUUCAAAGAGUUAUGCUUCGAGUUGAAUCAAUACAACACGAUAAGGAAAGUAAGAUGGCAAGUAUAUCUUAAAUGUCUUGUAGCCUCUCGAAGAUAGGUAUGGACGUCAUCAUACCGAUCCACAAGACUCUACUAGACACUUGCUUAUGACUUGUAGAACCUAUGAACCUAGAGCUCUGAUACCAAAUUGUCACUACCCAAAAUCUAACUAGUCGUGAUGGCACCUAACCCAACCCUCUAGGUAAGCCAAUUAACAACUAUCCAAUUUCAAUGAAAUUAAUAAAAAUAAUUAAAUAGAGAAGUUAACUGAAUCUUAUACAUUUCCCAAGGACUGGUAGUACAAAUCAUAAUUUUUUAAGAUUAAAAUCUAUAAAGCUGGUAUGAAAUAAAUACAUCAUAUGUUCAAAAUGUACAUAAACAUAUUUUUUAUGAAUCUAAGGCUACUAUGAACAAGAAGCAGCUACAAUCAGAACGCAAGUACGUCUUUAAUUCUAGCUCUCGUCGAUCACAGCAACAUCAUCAUUCAACAUCUGCACGCAAGGUGCAAAAGUGUAGUAUGAGUAGAACCAACCCCAUGUACUCAAUAAGUAACAAACCUAACAUUUGGUUGAAUGUAGGGACGAGCUGGAACAAAGAUCGGGCCGAAUAUCCAAUAGCCAACAACAGUUCAUAACCACGCAAAGCAGGUAAUAAAAGAAGUAACUCAGAGAUAAAAAUGCUCAGCUUUUUCAUAGUUUCCCGAAAAUAGUUCCGCUUUUCAAGUAUAUCGGUGAAAACCCCAAAUCCUUUACCGAAAUCGUCGAAAAUAUGAGUAAGUUUGAAAACUGUAAAUUUUUCCCAAAAAUCCUUUCCACAAUAAAUAAAAUAUUUCAUUUUCUUUCUAGAUAACAAUGUGAAAUACCUCUCUAUGACCAUAUAUUAAUAUGUAUGAGAAGUCAUGAAUGAUGUGAUACUGUACAACAAAUGAAAAAUACAUCUCUAUGCAUGUACAUCAUGUGUGCAUGUCAAUGCCAUGUAUCUUAGAGAUGAACUCAUGUACUCACGCUGUCAUAGUACUCAAUCUCAGUGUCUCACACUUUCCACUCAUCAUGAUCAAUCACUCAGUACUGUAUAUGGCCGAUCCAGCACAGGGAAAAUCCAUCCUGGAAUAUAUAAAUCAACUGAGCAACAAUCACUCAGUAUUGAGUAGGGCCAAAUCCAGCUGUGGGGAAAAUCCAUCCCCAGGUAUAUAAAUAUUUCGGACAAAAUCUAUGUUCAGGGAAGAUCCAUCCCUCAAUAUAAUCAACCAGACUCAUUGGGGGUAUGUGCAGACUUCGGAUGGGCUCCUUCAACCCAAGCGCUUUCAUAAAUCAGUAUAACCGCUGCGGCGUGCAGCCCGUACCCAUAUAUGUAAUCAAUAUAACAUGUUGCGGCAUACAGCCCGAUCCUAUAAUAUCACUCACACUCAGGCCCUCGGCCUCACUCAAUCACCAAUCUCUCCAGUCUUUCGGGCUCACAAUGCCAUAAAACUAGCCCAAAAUGAUGAUAUGAUAUGCCAAUAAAUGGUAACAUAGACUAAGAUAUGAUAUGCAUAUGAAUACAUAUGACUGAGUAUAUAAAGCAAUGAAAGCAGAUAACUCAACAGCAGAAAUGAUCUCAGUGGGCCCCAAUAGGAUAAACAUGUAGCUUAGACAUGGUUUCUAAUAUGGAUCAUAGCUCAAUAGCUCAAAUGCGUAGAAAUUUCAUGAUUAAAGGUAGAUCAGGUAACUACACAAUACCGCAGAAAUAACGGAGUCACAAUUCACACGGUGCACGUCCAUGCUCCCGUCACCUAGCAUGUGUGUUACCUCAAUACCAAUUACAUAGCACAUAAUUCAGGAUUUCAUACCCUCAGCACCAAGUUUAGAAGUGUUACUUAUCUUGAACAAGCCAAUUUCAAUACUAAGCAAGCCAAGCGAUUCUCCAAAAAUGUUAUCUCGUGCGUACCGUCCUCUGAACGGCUCAGAACUAUCCUAAAGCAAGUCAAAUACAUCAAAUAAUGCCAAGGGAACCAAACCCAAUCAAUAAAGGUCGAAUCUUUAAUCAAAAGCGCAAAAUCGGCCAUGUUACACCUCCUUUUUGCGCGCCCGCCCCGAAGGAUUAAAAAUGCUCGGGGGGGGGGGGGCGGGGGGGGAUUCGGAUUUUCAAUUAAGUGACAAUAUUCGAAAUGGGAUUAUUUAUUUAAUUCAGAGUCGCCACUUGGGAAAGGUUUGGCUUUUGGUGUCCCAAGUCACCGGUUUAUCUUGAAUCCCAAAUCGAGGAAAUUUUCUGCUUUUCCAAAUGAAGUCUGCGAACCAGAAAUUCUAAGUAAGGAAUUCUGUUGACCCGAGGGAAGGUGUUAGGCACCCUCGAAUCCCGUGGUUCUAGCACGGUCGUUUGAAUUGUUAUAAUGGCUAAAUAUCUGAUUAAAUACAUGUUGUGACUUAUGUGCUUUUAUUAAGUUUAAAACCGCUUUUAUUAUUAUCAUUUAUUUUUAUAGAAUUGCAACGUCGUGAAAAUGCAUCUCGAACCACGUCACAAUCAAUGCACCCGUAAUCGUCAACACAUUUUGACUCCGUUGUGAUUUGGAUUUGGGUCACAUCAAUGUGCACCCGAAUUUAAGAAUAUAAUUUAAUUAAGCCGCGCCUAAAGAGUCUAACGCGUUAUUAUUUUUGGAGAAGGCCAUGAGAUUCACUAAACGGCCUGUCCUGAAUUCUAAAUAUUUAUUAUGGUUAGUUAUUGAGGGCCCCGCAAUUUGCAUUUUUAUUUGGCGAGGCUCGUCUCAUUAUUUUUUAGAAAAAGGAUAUCCUAAAGCGGCUACAUUUCUGUUAUAUUUGUCUCUAAAAGUAAAAGGGAAAGACCAAACUUACUUGUUUAAGCAACUACAUACUAAAUAUCUACUAUGUUUAACGAAUCCGAAUUUUGUUUGAUUACCUAAUUGGUUGUUUAUGAGAUGAGAAUUACCUCAUGCCUUGUCUUCAAGGAGUGAAUGCGCUUUGUUAAUUUGCUAAGGGGGAUUGCAAGCAAACUAAUAACACAUACUAAAUUUACAUUAAACAACCCUCAAGUUUAAAUUUUAAAAUUAACUUAUUUAGGCUCGAUAAAUGAAAUCGGCUAUUUAUUAAGAAAACUACUACUAAUUGGAUUCGAAAAUGCCUAUUAGUUUUCCUCAAAAGUCAUCGCAUUAUUUCGAAACAAUGAAUCUAUAUUGAAGCCCAUAUCGAACCUAUAUAGGAACAAGUAAUCUAACAAGAGGGUUGACAUACAUUAUCACCCUGUUAACGUAACGCCGCAUGAGAACUAGUUUGGGGUACACUUAUCUUGAAAUUAAAUGGAACCGAAUAUAACAGAUUUGACAAUUCAAAAGUCUAAACAAGAUACAUAAAGAUGCUUACCACGAUUCUAUAUUAUACUGUCAUAGCUAAAUCGAAACCUAAUAGUUAUACACAUUGAAAAUACGUCUGAUCUAACAAACAAUAUUAUCUGAUAUGUCAAUCAAGAUGUGCAUAAUUCAUACAGAGCAAUCGUGGUUGGAACUAACUUAAACAAAUACAGACCAAGCUACCAUUCAACCUAUUUUUGAACACAAGGAUCGUAAAGUAAACAGAUGNNNNNNNNNNNNNNNNNNNNNNNNNNNNNNNNNNNNNNNNNNNNNNNNNNNNNNNNNNNNNNNNNNNNNNNNNNNNNNNNNNNNNNNNNNNNNNNNNNNNNNNNNNNNNNNNNNNNNNNNNNNNNNNNNNNNNNNNNNNNNNNNNNNNNNNNNNNNNNNNNNNNNNNNNNNNNNNNNNNNNNNNNNNNNNNNNNNNNNNNNNNNNNNNNNNNNNNNNNNNNNNNNNNNNNNNNNNNNNNNNNNNNNNNNNUUUUUUCAGAAUUUCCAAUUCUCAAAUAUUCAGUCCCCUCUGUCUGUAUCUAUCCCUCUCAAUGUGUAUCUCCCCCUUUUAUAAGCCUAACAUUAGGCUAUUCCCCAGCAUGUUCGAACACCUCAGAAACUAUUCCUUUUUAGCUGUUUUUCCACUCAAACUUUUAAAAUUAGGAACCCCCAUCAUAUUCCCUGACAGUCCCCUUUUAACAUUUAUUAAACUAAAACAGGCCAUGGGCAGCAAGAAUAUAAUCUGACAGCAUGUGCUGUCAAACUAUUUUAAUCAAAAAGGGCCUUUAUGCACAUGUUGUGCACAAGUACACAUGCCCUCCAAUUCUGACUGCAACUAAACAAAAUCAAUCCCUUUAUAUUUCUGAUUCAACUACAUCAAUUGUAAGUAGCUAUAGUUGAUUCUCAAUUUGAUUCAAACAAGGUUCAGCAAGACAAAUCAAGUUGUUACCAUUCAAACAGCUAAAACUAUUUGACGACAUGUAUCGAAUCGACUAUACUAAUUACAACAUAUACAAUCAAAGCCAAGGAUUAGAAUCAAACAGUAUCAACAAGGGGUUAGAUUGCACUUGUCAAUACAGAGGUUAACUUGGGGAUUGAUUACUCAAACAGUUUCAAUUCAGUCAAUUAUGCAGUUUACAUACACACACAUUAUCAGUGAAUGAGGAAACAUUUGAUCAAAUACAGAGGUCCAGGCAAGGUGUGCAAAAACAGUUGGUAAAAUUCAAAACACAAUUUGAACAAGACGUUUGGCCAUACGAAUAGACCUUUAACAAACACACGAACUGAAAUAAAGAAGAGAAAACAAACUUACCUUAAAAUCUUUGAAAGAAAAAUCAGAAAAAUCGACUUGUGUUUGAACAGACCCUUCUCAAGGUUGAACGGACUUUAAUCGAAGUGUUUCUCAAAUGAGAAACACUUCGAUUAAGGUCCAUUUGACCCUAAUCUCUGGGUUUAAACAUGCACGGAACAGGCACGAGGAACCCUAGGGUUCAAAAAAUCAGAUCUGGGAUUCGUGUUUCCCUGGUUAGAUUUGGACCAAACCAAGUAUGGUUUGGUCACGAGGGAGGUUCGGGGACUGUCUGGUGCGAAGCUGGGGUGGAUCGGUGUGGAUCGAGUUUUGCUCGAAUCUUCAAAUGAAGAUUCGAGAAGGUGGGAUAGGAUUCGAGCUGAAAGGUUGGUGGAUUCAUGUUCAGGGUGUCAAGGUGGCCCUAGGGUGUUAAGGUGAAGGCCACCGGCGUUCAUGCCGCCGGAAUUAAUGGUGAGGAAUAAGGGGCGGCUAGGGUUUCGUGGGGAAGGGGAUGAGGACGAAGGCUGGGGUCUUGGAUAGGGGGCAGGGUAUGGUAGGAAGCUUAUAUUUGGAAUGGGUGGAUUGAUUUCAGCCGUUGGAUGAGGCGAGAUGGAAGGCCAGGAUCCUUCAGUUAACGGGAAACGGUGUCGUUUUUAGACUAAAGGGGGUUGGGUCGGUCUAGGUGAAAUGGGUCGGGUUUUGUUUAUGGGUUAUGAGGAAGUGACUUUGGCCGUUGAUCAAUCUGAGAUCAACGGCCUAGAUCAGACUAGGUCACUACGACGUCAUUUGGACGUUCUGGAUGUCAGCUGGUGUGGGCCGGGUACACAUGGGGUUUUGGGUUUGAUUUUGGGCCUCGAAUUAAAAUGAAAACAAGCCCAAACCGAUUUCAACCCAAUUCUGCACUCUCUUUUAUUAUAUUUUUUAUUUUAAAAACAAAACCUAAAUAAAUCAAAAAUAGAAAUUCAUUAAUUAAACACUUAAUACAAUUAUUUGCACACAUAUAUUAAAAUAUUUAAAGCAGGUAAAAUCAAACAAAACAACAAUCACGGACAAAGAUGCUUAUUUAUGAUUUUUCUAUUUAAUAACCGGAUUACGGUUCAAACUGCAUAUGACACACAUUUUUUUGUAUUUUGUUUCAAUAAUAAUAAAAAUGGACAAAAAUCAUAGAUAAUUAACAAAAUGCCACGUGAAAGAUCCGAAAAUUGUACAGCAAGACCGAUCGCUAUUAUUUUUGUUUCUUUUGGAGCGAUUGUCGCGUAAAACAAAAAUCACGUGCUCACAGGCCAAAAAGUCAUAACCCAGGCCCGCACUUUGGAACCCAACAAAACUCACAAAAUCUGAUAACUCAUUCAAUUACGAGUCCAACCAUACAAGUUUUACUCAAAUCUGACUUCAAAUCGAUAUUCAAAACUCAAAAAUUGACAUUAUGAAACUUUAGGCAAAACCCCCCAAUUUUCUCUUUAAAUUCACAAACCAAUUACCAAAAACGAAGAUGGAUUUACGAAAUAUAACCAAAAAUUAGUGAAAAUCGCCUCAAAAUAUGCCCGAUUCUGAACUUCCCAACUCAAAAUAUGUUAUAUGAAUAAAACCUUCAUUUUAAUACUGUUCUGCCUCGUUUCGUGUGUCAAAUAAUCUCCAAACUCGCUUUUGAUGCCUCCAUUGGGUUCCUUGUGAAAUUAUAGUCAAGUUAGUCUCUUGAAUCACUCCAUUUGACCUUGUAUUGAAAGAGAUAUGUUGGUUUCAUUAUUUAAAAAUAGUGCAGAUUUUUAAAUAUGAUGUCAGUUGCAAUUUUGUAAUUAAUCUGAAAAAUCUGGCAACCCAAUUCUUGGUAAAAUGAUCAUAAACUCCUCAUACGAUGUCCAAAUUUGACGAUUCUUUUUUAUAUGGCUCCGUAAUUACGAUACGGAUCUAAUGCUUCAAUAAAAGCAGAAAUUGGAGCUUAUUUGCUUAAUGUAGCACCAUUUAUGCUUGAAUAAACGACGUCGAAACAUUAAAAACGAGUGCAACACAACCCAAAUCUAUUUGAAACUCACCCAAGCCCCUCGGGACCCUAUCCGAACAUACCAACAAGUUCCAUAAACUAAUAGGGACCUACUCGAGGCCUCAAAUCACGCAUAUAAACAUCGAAAUGACGAAUCACACUCCAAAUCAAACUUAAUGAACUUUUCCAAACCAUCAAAUUCCAAUUUUCGCCAAUUAGUGCCGAAUCCUUCUAGAAAUAUCCAAUUGCAAAUCCGAAAAUACGACCGAAUCCAAAAUCACCAUCCAGAUCUAAUAAAACCAUCAAAACUCCAAUCUGAGAUGAAAUGCUAAAAAGUCCAACUUGGUCAGCUCUCCCAACUUAAAACUUCUAUCAUGCAGUUCAUUCUUUCAAAUCGAUACUGAACAACCUGAAAACCAAAAUCGAUGAUUCACAAAAGUCAUAAUACAUUAUGCGGAGAUAUUCGUGCCCUCAAAUUACCGAGCAAAGUUCAAAUGCUCAAAACGACUGGUCGGGUUGUUAUAGUGAAAGCUGAUCCAAAGAAACAACAUAGCUAAACGGGUAGCAUCAGUGAUACAACAAUUUUCAGCUUAACCAAUUUAGAAAACCCAGAGAAUCAGCAGCAGCUAAGUAUAACUUAGAAAAAAUAGUUUUAAUCUCUUUUUGUGACUGUUUUUGUUUUUCAAAUAUGGGAAAUUAAAAUUUCUAGAAGUUGAUAGGAGUAGAGUAUUUUGCAAAUGCGUGAGAAUGAAUCAAUCAGUUAGUGUGAAUGUGUUGGGUGUCCUUUUAUAACAGAAUUCACCAUUUUUUCUGUUGUUUCCUUUUCCUUCUAUUUUCGGUUUCUUACCUCCCAUCUUCUGUUUAUUACUCUAAAGUCUCUAACAAAGAUCCCUUUCCUCUUCUCUUUUGCUAAGUAGUCUUUAAGACCCCCUUUCUAGAAACUUCAUAAAUAAUUGACUCAAAAAAUUCUCUCAAAAUUUAUCCCUGAACUAACUCUUAAUCUUUCAGUGAUUUCUAGAGUUAACUCAACUGCCAAUAUGAAUUAAAAUUAACUACAACCUAAGAACAAUAACUAAUUACUAAUGAUAAAACAACAAAAGAAUUCGAACAGGCCAACUCAUGAUAUCAACUAAAUGGCUAAAGAUGAAAUCAAACUAACUGAAGAAUGCCCUUAAUUUCUAAUGCUAUUUGAUCAAAGAUUAAACAUGUGAUUGUUCAACUACGAAUCAAAGCAAACAACACUCAUAAAAAUGAAAACAAAAUGAAUGAAACAGAGGGAAACAGUACCUAUUAGAUUAACACAAGCGGCCAACAAAAAUUUUGGUGAGCCGGGGGAAUUAUUAAACUUGCACUAACCGAAAUUAUUUUACGCCGGCCAGUUCUAUAUGUAGAAAUACCUUUCGCUAGGUCGGAGGAGAUGAUGCAAGGUGAUGAGGGGAACUGGACGAUCAACCAGGGUUUGAUAGGAUUCUAGCAGCCACAAAAUGGGAUAAGACUAACACGAAUUGACAGCACUCAUCAAGAUACAUCGAUUGGUGUGAGUUUUAACUUCAUUCGGGCAAAGAUUAAAGAGAAAGAAAGGUGAAGUUUUAGGUUUUGGUCCGAUUCUAGAUCUACUAAAUGAAAAUAUUGGAAGGGAUUUCUGGAAAACUAAUAAUGGAUUUGAAAUGAGGAAAGGCUGGUGAUUGCAGGGUAAUGAUUUGGAGUUGUUUGGAGGUGGCCCCCCGACGUGAGAUGAUUUUCGGCGGGCGGUGGAGAGAGAUGGAGGGGAAAUGGGGGUUAGAGAGAGUCCUGUGGGGUGGGGUAGGCCGGGUUGGGACAGCUUUAUGUGGAUGGGAGAUCAUUUUGGAGCCAUUGGAUCAAAUUGGCUGAAGGGUGGAGGUUGAACGUGUCACGACCCAAAACUCACUAUAGGUCGUGAUGGCAACCAACAUCGCUGUUAGGCAAGCCAAUAGUGAACUACCAACUUAAUUAUGCAUUUUAUUUUUUUUUGAAAUCGUGAAUUUUAUUAGAUAAAGAAAUCAAUGCAUUAAAAUCAUAAAAGCUUACAACUUAAAUAGAAUAGAUAAUAAAAUUGUGUAAAUGCUAAGCAAAAACACAAAUAACUUCUAGAACAUCCCAAAAUCCGGUGUCACAAGUGCAUGAGNNNNNNNNNNNNNNNNNNNNNNNNNNNNNNNNNNNNNNNNNNNNNNNNNNNNNNNNNNNNNNNNNNNNNNNNNNNNNNNNNNNNNNNNNNNNNNNNNNNNNNNNNNNNNNNNNNNNNNNNNNNNNNNNNNNNNNNNNNNNNNNNNNNNNNNNNNNNNNNNNNNNNNNNNNNNNNNNNNNNNNNNNNNNNNNNNNNNNNNNNNNNNNNNNNNNNNNNNNNNNNNNNNNNNNNNNNNNNNNNNNNNNNNNNNNNNNNNNNNNNNUUUGCAUUUGUCUGUGCAUUUCAUUUUACUUAAUUAAUGAAAAAUACAAAAUAGUGCAUUUGCAUUUAGGACUCAAUUUUAUAUAUAUUUUUUUUAGGAUAAUUAGUUAUUUAAUAUUACAAAAAAUGAAGAAAAAUCACAAAAAAAUAGUUCACUUUGCAUUUUUAAUCUUUACUUUUCGAAUUUGUCAUAGUUUUCUUUUAAAUUAAGACUUAAUUAAUUUUUGAGGAAACAAUUAGUUUAGUUUUGGAAUUAAAUCAAGUUUUUCUAUUUUAAUUUGUAUUUAAUAAAAAUCUGAAAAUCAAAAAGAAAAAAAAGAAGAAAAUGAAAAGAAACAAAAGGUCUUAAUAAAAGACCCAAUUUUUGGGCCAAAUUCACCCAGAUGCCCGUCCAAAUCACCCCUUACCCGGCCCAAAACCACCCUGACCCGGUCCAGUCUCCCCACUUAAUCAAAAGGACCCUGUUUCACUUAGGAUGGAUCUGAGUCGUCGAGGUUAAUUAAUCUAACGGCUCAGAAGCUAGCGUCGUUUGAUAUAUCAGUGUCCGAAUGGAACCCCCUCCCUCCUCUUCGUCCCUCACCAUCUUAGAGACCCCCCUUUAGCCCCGCGCUAAACCACCGCCUGCCGCCCGCCGGAAAUCGCCCACGGCGGCGUCCGGCGUCCAAACCCUACCAAAUUUACACUCCUGACUCCUCUCCACCUCCCCAUUCCAAAACCCCAAACUGUUUCUCUCAAAUCCCAGCCCUAUUUCUCGAAUCUUCAAUCGAAAAUCAAACUAAAACUUGACUUCUCCCAAAUCAUUUCGCACUAACACUCUGGAACCCUCACACCCCCCUCUUCCCCAAUCUCUAUUCUAUUCCCUUCCAAUCAUCUUAGAUUCCGUCAAAUCUUGAUUCAAAGGGAUGAACCCUAAAACCCCAAAUCGCUUUUGCGGCAUACAUCAGCCUACGCUUCCGAUUUUCACGUUUCGAAGCUCGAUUCAAUGCAAAAGUGAUGUUGUUCAGUUGUUCUUAACAAAGAACAAGUGAUUAGAAUUAAUUUCGUUAAAUUGAAGGUUCCAGUGUUGGCUUUGAGUUUAUCCAGUGUUGGCUUCGAGUUUUACUUGGUGAGUCUUUUUUCCUUUUGUGUCCGUUAUUGUUCAUUUUGAUUCUCCUUAUUCUUCUUUCUUUCUACGACUAUUUGAGUGACAUGUCCUCCAUCUGAAAUUGAUCAAAGAGUUUUGAGCUUAGUCUCUCCCUUUAAAUUAAUUUGGGGUUCAUUUUUGUUCUGUUCAAUUUUUAGUUUUCUUUUCUAAGUUCUCAACUGAUGUUCUCUGUGUUUUUAUGAUAUUUUCUGAUAAUCAGCUUAGGUUAGACUUUUGUUAAAUUGGUAAUUCAAUUCCGGUUUAGUAUUUUAGCUUAAAAAGAAAUCAGUCGCUUAGUUUAGAUUUUGAUUUUGAAGUCAUUUAAUUGUUUCCCUUUUCUACUUCUCAUCGAUUUAGUUGAAUGAAUUUUUUCUGAUUUUGUUUGGGCCUUGGGUUUAAUUCUGACAAUUUAUUUGGGGUUCAAACCAUUGGGUCAAUUUGACCCAGGUUCUGCCUAGCCUCAAGGGUAAAUAACAGGGGGGUUUAAGGGUGAUUUGGGAAUUGUAAGUGAAGAAUCUCUUUGUAACUGAAAAGGAAGCUUCUAGGAAGCUAGGGAGGGGGACUGAUUUGAAGUUCAAAAACUUAAAUAAAGGACUCUUAAGCAAAAAACAAAAUUCGAAAGGGGGCAAAAUGCAAGCUGAGGCUGCCAUACUUUCUUGCCUAUAAAGGCAUCUUUUCUUGGACUGAAAGGCGAACCCAAGAGCUAAGAGACCUGAAGGGCUAAAAAAUAGAAAAAAAAAACAAACGAAAAAAAAAGUUGGACUAUUCCAUUGAAAUUUCCUUUUCCCUUUGUGAUUUCUGGAGUUUUCAUGCCCUGAAACCUUUUUCUAAUCCAUAUGAGGGCUCAAAGGGUUUGAUUUGUUUGGUUCGAGAGGUUGGCCUGAAGUUCUGGUUGAUUUUGUUGUUAUUGUGCACUAUUUUCUGGAUUUGAGUUGGCUGUUUUGCUGGGAAUCAUUGUUCCAUUGCUUUUCCUUGCUGAUUUCUGCUGUCUUUGCUCGGCUGUAGCUAUUGUUUGUUCACUUUUGUUUCCUCUGUUAAUUUCCAAGUAUUUCCUCAUACCAUUGUUAACAAAUGGGGUGCUACAAGUUAGAACCAGACUGAAUCUCUGUACAUAGUUGAUAAUUUGGUUUGAAUUUGAACAAAAGCAUUGGUUAAUGUUGAACUUCCAUUAGCUCCUGCUGUUUUAUGUCCUUAAUUUCUCCUGUCCUAAAGUAAUUCAAUAUUUUACUUUCAAAAUAUGUUAGUCUGUUUAUUCAUGCUCAAUGGUUUAGGGUUGUUAGGUCGUUUGAAUGAGUGCUUGGAUUUUUGGGCUCUAUAAUUGUAAAUGGAAGCUCAUGGGUGAAUGGACUGUUAGGGUCAUGUUGCGCUUGAACUUUAAUUUGUUAUUUUCAGCUUUAUUGUGGGUUGAAUCUUCCUGCAAUUGAUGUUUUAAAGGGGGAUUUUGUGUCGAAUAUUGUGAGUCAAGAUGCAGUAGCUAAUUUACUCAAUUUGAGCAUGCUUACUUGGUUACGGAAAUUACCUGGGUUUGUUGUUGUUAGAAUAAACUGUAAAUACAGAUUUAGCACGUGCUUGCAUAAAGUGUGUUAGGAGUUGCAUAACUGAAUAACAGCUGAAUCCCUAUAAUUGUUCAAUUUUAUUCUCGUGUCUUUGUCAUGUAAAUCCAUAAGGUUGUCAAAUGGUUGUAGAUGUUUGAUUUCGGAAUUAGUAAAUUUCUCUAGCCAGUCCCAGUUCUUGAGUAUCAUUUUUUAGAAAUGACUUGAAAUUCAAGUUUGUUCAAGGGCUAUAGUUGCAUUCAUAUUCUAAUACAAGUGAUGGCUGCUUUUGAGUUUGGUCGUUGACGCUAAUGUGUGAGAGGUGUUAUUGCAUGUAAGGCUGUCUAGAAUCCGUGUGUGAAAUGUAAGGUUUCAAAUGCAUUUGAACGCACAUUGUAGCAGUGAUUACUCCAUUCAAAUUCAAACGUUGCAUUUUUGCUCCAAUGCCUGUGAUGGAUCGCAUUUUUGGGAUAUCAUUCUGGGCCUAACUGCGAAUUGCAGUCUUCUUCCACCAUAGAGCUUCCAGGCUGGGCUUCACUUGGAGCCCAGUAUUUGCACGCAUUAAGUCCACAACAGUGGUCAUUUGGCAAUCAAUUUAGGGCGAUUUCUUGCGAGUUUUGUUUUUAUAUUUUAUUGAAUCAUUAAUAUGAGUUUGGUCCAGAAUAAAUUAGGACUCCAUACGUUCUUUAAUUAAUUAGUCUUGAAUCCUUGUUUAAAGAUGGAAUUGAGGUGCGCCGCGCCAAGCAAAUCUCAAAUGUGUGGCCCUCAUUUAAUUGAUUGUUUUGAAAUCCCUAGAAUACGAGGCGUGCCAUUUAGCAAAUUUCCAUAGCCUUCGCAAAAGUUAAAAGCGCAUUAGUUGCUUUAGGCGCGUAUUUUGAUAAUAUUACCUUCCUAAACUCGGGUGUGCAUUUCAUGUGACCCAAAUCCAAACCUAAAAAUGUUGAAUAAAAUAUGUUUAGGAUGGCGGGUGCAUUUCAUGUGGCGCGAUCCAAAGACGUGUUUUAAACGACGUUCAACAUUCCUAAAAUUAAAUAAAAGCGGUUUGAAAAAAAAUGCACAAAGGUUUUAAAACUUGAACCAAAAUCAGAUAAUUAAGCCGAGUAUAACAGUUGAGCGACCGUGUUAGAACCACGGAACUCGGGAAUGCCUAACACCUUCUCCCGAGUUAACAGAAUUCCUUACUCGGAUUUCUGGUUCGCAGACUAUUAAACAGAGUCAAUCCUUUCCUCGAUUCGGGAUUUGAACCGGUGACUUGGGACAUCAUAACUCUCCCAAUUGGCGACUCUGAAUUUUUAAUAAAAUAAUCCCGUUUCGAUAGUCACUUAAAAUUGAAAAAAACUCCCUUAUACAUCCCUUCCGGGGGUGUAGGUAAAAAGGAGGUGUGACAUGUACGAUAAUAAUACAACAUCUGUACAAAAUGUAAAUAAGACAGGAUAGAGUAAAUAGUACGAUGGAGACUUUGUGGGAUGCGAUACGUAGCCUGAAAUGCAGCUCACCAUAAAUUCUCGUCAACAGUUGCACCGACACACCAAGAUAACCACCAAUUGAACCUGUCAGAUCCUGCACAUUUAGUGCAGAAGUGUAGCAUGAGAAUGUAAAUUAACUCCUACCAAGUAUCUAGCCUAACCCCGGAGAAGUACUGACGAGGGGUCGAUAUCGACACUAGAGGUCGAAUAAAGCAAUAUAAUAAAUCAAAAGCAGAUAUGAAGCACACAACAAUAACAUGGUAAAUCUGUAAGUUACAUAAUCUUCCAAAAACUUCUUUUAAAGAUAUGAAUUUCUUAGUCUUGAAUUAUACCUCAACAGCUCAGGUGUAUCAAGUGCCAGCAUCAAACGAAUCAGGAAUACUAGAUAAAAUGCCAGGCAUCAAUAGAAGGAUAAUUUGUGAUGACCCGAUUGGUUAUCUAGAGUUUUAGAACCUAAUUUUGUAUUUUAAAGCCUCAAAUACCUCAUUUUAGCCUUCCUCGAUUUGCUUGCAUAGUUCGGGUAUUUUUCUAGAAAGCGUUUAUGUUAAAAAUUGAUAAAAUAUGAAAUUUUGCCUUAAAAAUUCAUUUGUGUUGACUUCAGUUAAUGUUUUGAGCAAACUGAUCCGAAUCUAUAUUUUGACAGUCCCGGUGGAUUCGUAUCAUGAUUUGGGACUUGGGUGUAUGCCCAGAAUCGAAUUCGGAGGUCCCUAGCUCGAGUUAUCGUAUUUUGUUGAAAAAAUGAAGUUUGAAGGCUUAAUAGAUCUAAAAGUUUGACCAAUGUUAGAAUUUAUUGAUAUCGGGUCUGUAUUUUGGUUCUAGAACUUGGUAUAGGUCCAUUACUAUAUUUAUGACUUGUCUUUCAAAUUUGGUGAGAAACAAAGUUGGUUAUACGUGAUUCGGACAUCCGGUUGUUAAAAUAGAAGUUCAUGAGUUUUCUAGGUGUUAUGUUGGCAAUUUUAUCACGGGAGCAAGUUCGUAUGAUGUUUUUGGACUUGUGUGCAUGUUUGGAUUGGAGCUCCGAGGGAUCGUGUGAGUUACGAAUAGGCUACAGAGUGGUUUGAACUUAGAAAACACACCUGGUGUUCUUCAGUUUCUGGUGCAGGCCUAAGAUCUCGCAAUUGCGAGGUCUGGCUUCGCAUUUGCGAUAUGGCAGAAUCUCUGUCAGGUUUGCAUUUACGAGCUACUCUAUCGUAUUUGCGAAUAGUAGCUAGGGUAUCUGAGGUUCACAUUUGCAAACAAGACUUCGCUUUUGCGAAGUGGGGGGGGGAGGGGGGGACUUUAUCGCAUUUGCGAUCAUUUAGGUCACAAUUUUGGAAAAUCAUUGUUCGCAUUUGUGAACAAAUCAUCACUAAUGCGGUGAUAGAAGUGAUGCUGAAACUUUGCAAUUGCUAAGGUUUUCUAGCAUUUGUGGGGUUCGCAAUUGCAAACUACAGGUCGUAAUUGCGACAUCUGCUAUGAUCAAAUAUGAAUUAGAUGGGAUUUUCUCUCAUUCUUUAAAUUUUCAAAACAAGAAAACCCUAGAGGCGAUUUUCCCAAGAUCCCUUCUUCCCCAAUCCACUGGUAAGUGAUUCUAACAUAUUUUCUUUCAAUCUUUCAUUACAGUUCAUAAGAUUUCAACCUAAAAUCUAGUAUUUUCAUGGUGGAAAUUGGGGGUUUGGGUAGAAUUAAGAAUUUUUGUAAAAUUGGGAUUUAGACCUCGAAUUGAGGUCGGAUUUCAAACAAAUUACAUAACCGGGCUCGAAGAAUGGAUAAUCAAGUUUUGGUCAGAAUUUCGGGUUUGGACCAAAAAAACCCGAGAGUUGACUUUUGUUGACUUUUUCAAUAAUGACCUAAAUUAAAUCUUUUGCAAUCGUGGGUAGUUCCUUAGGCUUAAUUUGAAUCGUUUGGUUGGUAAUUUGCUAGAUUUUGUUGGUUUGGAGGCUUGUUUGAAAGGAAAACAUGUGGUUGAGCUUUGAGUUGAUCUUUGGAGCGAGGUAAGUGUCGUGGUUAACCUUGACUUCAGGGAUUAGGACUUGUUUGCCUAUCUGCUACAUGUUUCGAUGUUGGAUUCAAUGUAUAUGUGAGGUGACGAGUACUUGUGCAUUAUUGUUGGGUUAAAGCAUGUGGGUGGGACUUGUUCCUUGUAAUUUAUUGCUUACUUUGAUCAUGUUAUCCAUGCUUAGAUUAGUGACUUAUUAAAUUGAUCGUUCUUUCCAUGUUUAUGGGCUUUCUGUGAUAAUUGAGUAUUGUUUCUAAAGUUGAGGUUGGUAUUGUGGAACCCUUGUUGACGUAAGGCUUGUUCUUGUUUAUUUUAUCUUACUGUUGUUAUACGUUCAUUGUUUUAUGGUAAGGGAGAGUGUUAAUGCACGAAGAGUGAUGCCGUACCGUAUUGGAGUGUUGAUGCAUGAAGGGUGAUGUUGUGCCAUAUUGUGAGAGUUAAUACAUGAAAGGUGAUGUUGUCGUGCCGUAUCUAUUGAUAUAUGAUGAAAGUGAGAGUAAAAGCACGAAGGGUGAUGUCGUGCCGUAUUAUUAUUUCAUUGUGAGGUUGAGAGUAAAAGCACGAAGGGUGAUAUGGUGCAGUUUUAUUCAUUGUGUUUAUUUGUUUUAUUGGUUAAAGGCAUAUUGACUGUUUUGGUUAUCAUUUCAUGCUGUAUUUAUCGUAUCUUGUACCCCUUUCGCAUGUCCCCUCCCAAUAGUACAUGUUUAGCCUUUAUUUGUUGUUAUCUUGUACGCAUAUUGUUAUCUACACAUGUUAUUUACGUGGGUAUCUUUUCAUAGACUCGUCACUACUUCACCGAGGUUAGGCUCGACACUUACGAAGUACAUGGGGUCAGUUGUACUCAUACUACACUUUGCACUUCUUGUGCAGAUUUUUGUAGUGGUCCCAGUUGCCUGUGAGGUGCCUUAUCUCGGAUUAGCUGACUUGGAGAGUCGAGGCAGAUUUGCUGGCGUCCGCAGACAUUGAAGUCCCCUUCCAAUUCCCCUUAUUUACUACUCUUUUCAUUCGAGAUAGUUGUACUUAUUUCAGACUCUGCUUGUAGAAAUUCUAGAAACUCAUGAACUAUGACUCCAAAUCCGGGUUGUGCUAAAUAUUAAUGGUUGUUAUGUUAUUUUGCACUUAAUUUUAGUUUCAUUUUGGUUUACUUGACUUUACUUGUUGAAAUUAAUUAAAAUUGGCUUAAAGUUCCUCUAACGUUGGCUUGCCUAGCAAGUGAAAUGUUAGGUGCCAUCACGGUUCCGAAGGUGGAAAUUCCGGGUCGUGACAUAAUCUCGUGAAUAUUCAAACUGCCAGCGAUAUAACACACGAUUAUGUCGAGGUUGUUCGGCUUGAUCCAUAAUAAUAUGUACACUACCGAUGGUCGAGCGGCAUGAACCAUAGAUGUACCUAUUAUACUGCCGAGGCGCUCGACCCCCUCCGCAAGGAAGAAAAUCAUCGAAUUACGAGACACGUGCUUACAAUAAAGUACAUGAGCAUAAAGUGAAUAUAACCAUUACCGUUUAUCAAAUAACUUGCCAACAACUCAAGGUGAUAAGGCUCGUCCUAAUAUAUAUAUAUAUAGAUUCAAUUAUAAAUUCAAUUAAUUAAGCCAGCAGAAAUGAGUUCAGAUAAUUCAAGUAUUACAUGAUAAAGGCCUUAGUCUACCUGGACAUAACAUGCUUUAGCUACAUAGGGACUCUCGUCACCUUGUGCGCCUGUAGCUCUCACAACUAGUAGCAUAUAACAAUUACAUCGCCUGAGGGAAACUUAGGGGAUAGUUUCCCCCUCAUAAGGUUAGACAAGAAACUUACCUGGUUUCGAAGUUCCAUACCUGCUCCAAUGCCUCUCCAACUCUUCAAAUCAAAACCAAACGAUCCAAAACUAGUCAAAUAAUGCGCAAAUCAAUAAAUAUACUCCAAUGCGUAUAAUUUAACAAUUUAUAAUAAUUCCCAACUCCGCUCGAUAAGUCAACAAAGUCAACCCUCGGUCCCACGUGCCCGGAUUCCGCAAAUUCUUGAAGAUAAUCAUUAUCCAUAGCACCAAGAACUCGAAUAUAUAGUUUAUUCCUAAUUGAAUGUCCAGUUUCAUGGUCAAAAUCCAAAAAUACUAAAUUCUAGGUUUUCCUUCACAAUUUCCCACAAAUUUCAUGUUUAAAUCCAUGUAUAAAUCAUGUAUUUAACUCAAAACGUGUAGAAAUCUCUUACCUCAAGAUUGAUGAUGAAAAUGGUGCUAGAAAAUAGCUCCCAAAGUCGACUCCCAUGAAAAAAUGGAGUGAAAAUGAGCCAAACCCCCCUUUUCAAAAUGACACCGCCCAACACUUCCUUCUUCGCAAAAGCAAUACAAGCCUCCGCUCCCCAGCUCCUCUACGCGAACACGAAACAGGGCCCACGAACACAAAUCUUUACCAGCCUGCCCUUCGCGAACGCGGUUGCCCAAUUGCGAACGCGAAAGAAAACAUUCCACGGCCAGGCAAACUUCUCUUACACGAACGCGACAUGCCUAGCGCGGACGCGAAUUCCCAAUCACGAAAGCAUAGAACAAAAAGACCCAGACCCAAAUUCCUUCUUCGCGAAUGCGUGAGACCCUUCAUGUUCACAAAGAACAAAACCAGCACCAUCAACCCAACAACAGAACUCAACCAAAUUUGGUCUGAAGCCACCCUGAAACACACUCGAGGCCCCCGGUACCCCAUCCAAUCACACCAACCAGUCCCACAACAUGACACAAAGUUGCUCAAGGACUCCAAUCACAUCAAAUAACAUCAAAACUAAGAAUCCGUGAUCGAAACCCUUCUUUAAACUUUUAAACUUUGUCGAACGCAUCCGAAUUAAACUAAAACAUUUCGGAAUGACGCCAAAUUUUACAUAUAAGUCACAUCACGAUACGAACCUAUUCCAAGGCUCGGAACCACAAACGGACAUCGAUAACAUCAUAAUCCAAUUCAACCCAAACUUAUGAAAUUUUAAAUCUUUUAAAAUGCCAACUUUCCAUAAUAAGCGCUGAAAUGCUCCCCGACCACCCGAACACAUGCCCAAUUCCUUAAUCAUCAUACGAACCUAUUGGUACUUCAAAGUAUGAUUUCGAGUUCAUUUACUCAAAAGUCAAACCUUAGUCAACUCUUCCAACUUAAAGUUUUCGAAAUGAGAAUUUUCCAUUUGAAUCAACUUUGAACUUCCUAAAAUUCAAUUCCAACUACGCGUACAAGCCGUAAUAUAUGAAGUGAAGCUUCUUAAUGCCUCAAACUACCAAACAACAUGCUAGAGCUCAAAAUGACCGGUCAGAUUGUUACAUUCUCCCCCACUUAAACAUACAUUCGUCCUCGAAGGUGCCAAGAAUUGUUCCGGAGUUGUCCAAAAAUCACUGUUUAACACCUCGUGCACCUACCCGUGCCACUAUAACCCAUGUGAGCAUAUUAGCUCGAGCCAGACUAAAGAUCCUCCCUAUAACCUUAGCUAACCAGCCUUAGAACCAAAUUCCAACUUCCGGAAUUCUCCACGAGACCCGAUUCUAACAUAUGAACACCGCAUCAAUCCCUACACACUGUACCAAAACCUGAUCAUGCACCUAUGUUGAAAUCACACCACGCACCACAUAAGUCGUCUGCCUAUAAUAACAUCCUCCGACCACAAUAGCUGAAAUCCAUGAAUUAGAUGCCCGCAAUACACCUCAUAAGACAUAUAAGCCUUGUUCCAACUCUCGAAAUGCUUCCACGACGAAAGAGCUGAGUAGAAACUUAUUACCACCUGUCAAAUCAGUAAAUCAUGGGGUCUCUCCACCGGACAAGAACCAUUACCUCAUUCUGAACUAAACAAUGAUAUUUUCUCUUUAAUAUACCCUACAUAAAUGCGAUUACACUAACCUCGGGUCCAUUAACCUCGUCUCACCUAGUACAAGUUGCUCGGGCAAUAAGCCACCUCACACACCGCCUAAAAUCUCAUACAGCGCCAUUAAAAAUGCCAAAAAGCUACAACUCGAAUAUGACACAUAAGGAAAAACGAACUCUGGCCAAUAACCAUCCAGCUCGCGUAAUGAUUAAAAUGGCCAAAUCGAUGCUAUGGCUCUAUCUCAGAGAUGAGAAAAGAUGCAUACAAAAUAAGUGUAAGGAAUCAUACUUAACAUCUCGCUAUUAAGGCAUGCAAUUCCAAUACAAAUAUGGUAUUGUUGCAGCAUGCAACCCGAUCCAAACAUGACAUUAUUGCGGCAUGCAACCCGAUCCACACAACAUAAUUGUGGCGGCGUGCCACCCGAUCCAAACAAUAUACCUAUGGCGGUGUGCCACCUGAUCCAAACAAUAUAUCCGUGGCGGUGUGCCACCUGAUCCAAACAAUAUAUCUGUGGCGGCAUGCCACCUGAUCCACACAUAACAAUCAAGAAGGAAACACCCAUCAAUCCGUAAUGCUUAUACUUACGAAAUGCGCGAAUAUCGACCACAAGCACUUUAAGUACAUGAAUACAACCCUAAGGAGAUGAUUAGCCCCAUGCGCUACCAAAAACUCAAGCACGACCAAGGUACAAUAAAUGACAUGCAUCUCGAGAGACAUCUUGCUCAUAUAACACCAUAAGCUACACGGGAUCACAAUACAUGUGCGAAUAUCAAGCCAUAUCACAACCCACAUGACACAAUAGAGUAUUACAUGGAAUAACUAAUGACGGGAACAACUUCAGUGCUCGAAGACUCCUCCGGAAGCAAUGUUAUGCCGAAUGAACACAUCUGAUCUAACGUAGAGCACAUACUCACAUUAGUCCCCCCAACGAACCUUAAGCCGAUUCUGAUCAUACCAUGUUGGGCCAACAAAAUUUCAAAUAUCGACAGUGGCCCUAUCCAUGACGCACACGAGCAGCCGUCCAAUCUGAACCAAACUCCCACAGUCCACAACCAAAUUAAUAGAGCAUUUUUCGUGCAUAAACUCUCACAUUAGCGAUAGUACCAUAAUCUCCAUACUUGGUUUUGAUCUUUAACAAUAAAGUGACUAUCAUGUCACAUUUAUACGAUCUUCCCGUAGAUUAUACUCCCACGACCUUCUCUACCAGGUAGCAAAGUCUGCACAUCCACAUCUCCAACCAUACAAAUUCUGUAGUGCAAAUCGAGAAUCCACAAAUCAAUACACAAUGCCUCUUCCACAUAACACCAUUCUCAGGCGACACUAAGAUAAUGUCAGCUUACUUUGAACAUCUGCAUUCUCCCCUGCCCAAUUGAGCUCGUGACAUUCUAUCAACACUGAGUCGUAACCUCGAUCCUCAACUUCCAAUUCCCAUGCCGCUCACUACACCUAUCAUGCUGCUACGCAAGAGUACAAGAAUUCAUCAUAACCCCUAAACUACUAGUUGAAUAAAUAUUUCAUUGGCUAGAAACCUUUCACUUAACUCAUUUCAGAAGAACCAUUUCAACACGCGACUGAAUUCCCAUAAUCGCAGAAAAUACAAACCUCAAAUUGUGGUCUAAACUGCCAUAACUCUUCCGGGGUUCAUUUACACAUAACAAGGCCAUUAGAAUCAAAUACCUCCCAAAUUAAUCCAAUUAUGGUGGCUGUCAAGCCCGCACGUACAACCACCAACCACCAGUAUAACUUAACUCGCCGAAGGAACUGAUCAUUGGCACAAUCAUGUUGAUUCAAACCAUUACUAACUGACCCCACUUUCUUCAAUUUACUUUUGACUUGCCUUAGAAAUAAUAAUAGCUCCAUUCAAAAACAUAACGAAACUCAACAACACUCAUCCCGAGUGAUCCAAUUCACGAGACCACAUCAUCUCAAUACCCAUGAACCAUCUCACACCCUCCUCACGCACACAAUAACAUCUCCAACUGGUACACCCAUUCUGAAAGACCUUCCUCGAAUCCGAAAUUGUUUCUCCCAUUUCUCCAAUGUUGCCCUACAGACCCGGUGAUAAGAUAGAAAAUUUGCCAAGUAUUCUUCACACCCUGCUGCAAAAUCCCGAUCUUCAGCCACAUAACAAACCCAAAAUCCUUAGACAUUGCGCUUGUGUUCUUGAACCCAUUAGAACUAUUGUUGAGAGUCACCCACUCCCAAAGAAGCAACCAGAUGAAUUCUUUUUGUUUUACAUCACAUUCAUAAGAAGCAUAAACUCUAAGUCUUCCCAAAACCUUCACAUGAAUCAAUAAGGCGAAAUGUAGUGUGCCUUCCUAAAGUCCUUUGCUCGAAUUACCCCAAUGUUUUCUUUUCUUAGUCAUACAUAAUCCACCAAGGCACUGAUAACCAGAAACCACACAGGCACAAAACCACGCGAUCUAAUCAUAGAUGGUGGGAUCCUAUUACACCCCAUGUUUUUGUACAUGGAAGUACGCCACAAGUGAAUUUAUAUAAAAUUGGAAAUGAGAUGUUACGUGUUACAUCUCACAUUUCCGUACGUUAUUUCUUCUUCAGUUAAUUGACGUAGACUCGAGGAUAAGAUUAUCUUGAGGUUAAUGUAGUUACGCUAUUUUAUAAAAAGCGAUAAGUAAGUGACAUGAAGGAUAAAGGGUACACAAAUUAAAGAAAAUGAGUAAAUUCGUGAAGGUGAGAGGGGAAGCAAGUCAAGGAAAGUGAAUUUUCGUCCAAAUUUAGCAUGUUGGGAUAAAAUAUGGGCCAAGCAAUAAUACCCGAUAUUUGUGGACUAGUACCAUACAAGGUACCGUAUGACCAUGAUAGUAGGAUAUAUAAAGUGUAUUAAAACUAAGUAGAAUUUUAAGUAAUUUAAGACAAUUCUUAAUUAUGUGGAUAAUUGGUUAAUUAUUGAUUAGUGGAGAAUUACCAAGUAAAUAAAGAAAUUGGUAAUUAUCUAAGAUAUUUGGAUAAGUCUUUGGGAUGUCACGUGGAAGCAAUACAAUGUCCAAAUUGUGACUCUUGAUCAAGUUUCUUUAGGUGGCAAAUUAAUAUGCUAGUUACACACUACUACACUACUAAGAUAUUCAAUACUACAUUCAGAUGGAGGUUUGGCACCUUAGAACCAAAAUCUCUUAGAAAAAUCCUACAAAUAUUCCUUCAAACAAGAACGUUAGAAAUCCCUACAAAAUUUUCAACAAAAAAUUUCUUUCAAUCCAAAAAUGUUAGCCUUCAAGUGAUAAUUAUGAAGCACUACAAAUCAGAAAGUUAGCCAUUCCUCAAGUUUUCAACAAAAACAUAAAUUCUUGCAACCUUUUCCAAAAACAUCAUACGUAUUUUUCCUACUCUAGGUACGUUAAGGCUAUCCUUUUUUCUUUUUGGCAUGAUUUAUACGAUACAAAUAAAACGACCAAAAUACGCAAUUUUCAUAAAUGUCAUAGAAAUACUAGGAGUGUCUAUAUUCUUGAUUCCCCCUGUGAAUUAUUUUUAUAUCUUCUACUCACGGGUCUCAGAAAAAUACGUAUUUGAUAAAGUUUAUCCGAAAAGCAUAUUGAGUUUUAUGACAUUUCAAGAAAAUCUUAUUAACGUAUUUCUUAUGCAUUUCAUGCAUUUAUACAUGUACAUUGACCCAUGACUCAGACGGCAUUAUAUACGCGUAUAUAUUUAUGUAUAUGUAUAUGGGAUAUGGGAAAAGGUUAUGGCGUUAUAUACGCACCACCACCUGAUCAACUAGUAUACGUUGAUAAUUUGCCUACAGUGGCAAGAUGAUAUGAUGGGAUGCCUUCAGAGGCUUGAUGAUGUUAUGAACAUAUGUACCUAUGCACGACAUGACAUUCAUACGCAUAUGCAUGACACUAUAAGUAUUUCAUGAUUUACAGAGUUAUCCAGACUUACAAGUUGAGUCAUUUACUCUAUAUUUCUUCCAUGUCGUACUUAUUUAUGUGCUUUACAUACUCGGCACAUUAUUCGUACUAACAUCCCUUUUGCCUAGGGAUGCUAUGUUUCAUGCCCACAGGUCCCGAUAGAUAGAUCGAGAGCCCUCCAAGUAGGCUAUCAGCUCAGCAAAAGAUGUUGGUGCGCUCCAUUUGCUUUGGAGUUGCUUAUUUGGUCAGUAUAAUUAGGACAUGUAUUGAUUGGUAUGGCGGGGCUUAGUCCCGACCUUUAUGAUACUCAUGUACUCUUAGAGGCUUGUAGACAAAUUUGUAUACAAAUAUUUGUAUGGCCUUGUCAGCCUAUGUUUAGAAUUUAUAAAUGAUCAUGUUUUCCUAUUAGGCACGUAUGUCACGUGUAUAGGAUAAUGUAAUAAGAAAGAUACUUUACGUUGGUACUCAAUUGGGUAAGGUAUCGGGUGCCCGUCGCGGCCCGUCGCAAUUUAGGUCGUGACAGAUCCCCCACUUAGAUUUUAAGUUACAAGCACCAAAAUCUAGAACCCACAAAGAUUCUUCCUUCUCAAUUACCAUGAUCUCGCACCGUUAACCCGCCAAAUUUCUUGUAAUCUCUUGUUAAACUUUUCAUGAACAUUCCGAAUUAUCAGUCACAAUCGUAUAUUCGACCUUCUGCUGGGUAGUAAGCAGAACUCUUCGUAGAAACUUCAUCAAAAUCAUGCAACCACCAACCUGCUCAUAGGAGAUAACCCACCUGUGGAAUUCCAUACUGACAUCUUACAACGACACUGCACUGGGUACAACUACCACAAAAUUAGUAAACCCUCCUGAGCCUAUGCUCGUCCACCAACUGUAAAAGUCUGUACAUUCCCCAUUGACAUCAACUUAAAGUCCGACAAUACAUUUCAUACUCAAAGUCACGUUACAUCCAAAAAUGAUAAUCACGUUUUCACACCCCUCUUCAUUUCAAGCAAACUCAUCUCUACCAUAUUCAAUCUUCCUCAUUGCAGUAGGUAGCUGCUAUCUCAAACAAAAUCCGUAGACCUAGUCACUUUCCACCAUGAUUCCCAAUAGCUCUAAACUUUCUCAAGGCAUGUGGCUAUCCUACCACAGAAUCCAUAUUCUACUAUGUCACUCCCACAUUGGUUAAAUCACCUCCUUUAAGAAACUUCUCGACCUCUACUUUUCAUACUUGACCUGCUAGCGAUUCAAACACUGCGAGACGCUUCCUACCAUGUUCUACCUCAUCCUUUGCUAACCAAUAUACUACCUCAAAUAAAAAUCCAUCUCUGUAGCACCUGAACUAAUAAAUUUCUACCAACUCCAAGCCUCCUCAAAGGCCAUCUUUCUCGAGCAAUCAACAUCAGAAAUAGUGAUUCGAUCCUAAAACCGCUACUCAUUGCCGUCUCUGACAACUGCUUCCUAUGCAUCGUUUCACAAUACCCUGCCCCUAAGGCAAAUCAAAGAAGACCAUAACACCGACGAGCCUUAAUGCGUUUAAACAUGGACAACGACACCAUGUCACAAAUGAGAAUUCCACCAUGCUCGAAAAUAUCAAGUCUCGCUACUUCAUCAAACAAAGCCUGAACACCCAUAGUCCGAUUGCCUUUCCUCUGUUGGAAUUAAAUGAUGAACCUCUAAACCAUGAAUUGAGAAAUCCUCCUUUUGAGCCAUUCAUUGUUGUGAUCCAUAAAUGAGCAACCUGUCAUUCACAACAACACAACACAAUAACAACGUAUGAAUAUCAUAACAAUCUGCAUAUAACGUCAAAACCAUAGGCAGUACGGAUACAGUGCUGAAACGACAGAACUCCUUCUACAAAAUGACGAUAAUAACUCAUUCGAUACGCAGGGAGAAACAUCUUACACCACGUCUGCAGUACAACCACAACUCCUCGAUUCUCAAUUGAUAAUAAGCGCUCCAUGUCGCAUAAGAUUGAGUAGGAAGGAAAUGAAGGCAUAAGCUUCAAUGGAAUCAAUCGCAUGAUGAGGAAUCAAGAAGGGAAGUUCUCCUAACAACCCUGUAGCCUCUCGAAGAUAAGUACAAAUUUCUUUGUACCGAUCCGCAAGACUCUACUAGACUUGCUCAUGACUCGUGAGACCCAAGUGAACCUAGAGCUCUGAUACCAAGUUGUCACGACCAAAAACUCACUAUAGGCGGUGAUGGCGUCGAGCAUCGCCGUUAGGCAAGCCAAUGGUGAACUACCAACUUAAUUAUGCAUUUUAAUCUUAAAUUUUAUUAGAUAAUGAAAUCAAUGCAUUAAAAUCAUGGAAACUAACAAUUUAAAUAGAAUAGAUAAUAAAAGUGUGUAAAUGCUAAGAAAAAUCAAAAAUAGCUUCUAGAACAUCCCAAAACCCGGUGUCACAAGUGCAUGAGUAUUUACUAGGGAGUACGAUAAUAAUACAACAUCUGUCCGGAAUGUAAAUAAGACAGGAUAGAGCAAACAGUAUAAUAGAGACUUUGUGGGUUGCGAUACGUAGCCUGGAAUGUAGCUCACCAUAGUCUCCUCAGGAGCUGGGCUACGAGCCAAGAUAACCACCAAUUGGGCCUGGCUGUUCCUACACAUUUAGUGUUGAAAUGUAGCAUGAGUACGUAAAUCAACUCGUACCCAGUAAGUAUCUAGCCUAACCCCGGAGAAGUAGUGAUAAGGGGUCGAUAUCGACACUUACUAGAGGUCCAUUAAAGCAAUAUAAUAAAUCACAAGCAGUUAUGAAGCACACACCAAUAAUGGAGUAAAUCAGUAAGUUACAUAAUCUUCCAAAAAUUUCUUUUAAAGGUAUAAAUUUCUUAGUCUUGUAUUAAACCUCAACAGCUCAGGUGUAUCAAGUGCCAGUAUCAAAAGGAUAAGGAAUACCAUAUAAAAUGCCAAAAAUCAAUGGAAGGUUAAUCUUGUGAAUAUUUGGACUGCCAGCGAUAUAACGCACGAUUAUGCCGAGGUCAUUCGGCCUGAUCCAGAAUAAUGUGUACAAUGUCGAGGGUUGAGUGGCCCGAACUGCAGAAGCACCUAUUAUAUUACCGAGGCGUUCGACCCGCUCCACAAGAAAAGAAGGAAAUCAUCGAAUUACGAGACAGGUGCUUACAACAGCACAUGAGCACAAAGUGAAUAUAACCUUUACCGUUUCACAAAUAACUUGCCAACAACUCAAGGUUGAUAAAGCUUGGCCUAUAUAUAUAUAUAUAUAUAUAUAUAUUAAGCUAGCAGAAUGAGUUCAAAUAAUUUAAAUAUUGCAUGAUAAAGUCCUAAGUCUACCCGGAAAUAACAUGCUUUAGCAACGUACGGACUCUAGACACCUCGUGUGUACAUAGCUCCCACAACUAGUAGCACAUAACAGUUACCAUGCCUAGGGGGUUGUUUCCCCCUCACAAGGUUAGACAGAAGAUUUACCUCGCUCCGAAGUUCCAUACCGGCUCUAAUGCCUCUCCAACUCUUCAAUUCAAAGUCGAACGAUCCGAAACUAGUCAAACAAUGCGCAAAUCAAUCAAAAUAUACUCCAUCGAGUAUAAUUUAACAAUUUAUAAUAAUUCCCAACUCCGCUUGAUAAGCUAACAAAAUCAACCCUUGGACCCACGUGCCCGGAUUCCGAAAAUUCUUGACGAUAAUCUUUACCCAUAGCACCACAAACUUGAAUAUAUUGUUUAUUCCUAAUUCCAUGUCCAAUUUCGUGGUCAAAAUCCAAAAUUACUAAAUUCUAGGUUUUCCUCCAAAUCCCACAAUUUCCCAAAAAUCUCAUGUUUAAAUAUAUAUAUAUAUAUAUAUAUAAACCAUGUAUUUAACUCACAAUGUGUAGAAAUCUCUUACCCCAAGAUUUAUGAAGAAAAUGGUGCUCCAAAAUCGCUCCCAAAGUCCACUCCCAUGAAUAAAUGGAGUGAAAAUGAGUCAAAUUCCCAUUUUUAAAUUGACACUACCCACCACUUCCUUCUUCGCGAACGCGGCAAGGCCCUCGCAUUCGCGAAGCAAUACCAGCCUCCGCUCCCCAGUUCCUUUACAUGAAUGUAUGACAGGGUCCGUGAAUGAGAAGCAUUACUAGCCUGCCCUUUGCGAAUGCGACUACCCAAUCGCGAACACGAUGGAAAAAAUUCCAAGGUUGGGCCAACUUCUUUGACGCGAACGCAUCAUGCCUAUCGCGAACAUGGAGUAACACUGCCCAACACAUCGCGAAAGCGAGUUCCCCAUCGUGAACGCGUAGAACAAAAAGUCCCAAACCUAAAUUCCUUCUUCGUGAACCCGUGAGACCUUUACGUUCAGGAAGAACAAAACUAGCACCAGCAACAGUAACUCAGCCAAAUUUGGUCCGAAGCCACCCCAAAACACACUCGAGGCCCCCGGGACCCUAUCCAAUCAUGCCAACCAGUCCCAAAACAUGACACAAAGUUGCUUAAGGCCUCCAAUAACAUCAAACAAUAUCAAAACUAUGAAUCGACGAUCGAAACUCUUCUUUAAACUUUCAAACUUUUAAACUUCGGCAAACGCGUCUAAAUUAUACUUAAACAUUCCGGAAUGAUGCCAAAAUUUACGUACAAGUCACAAAUCACGAUAUGAACCUAUUCCAAGGAUCGAAACCCCAAACAGACAUUGAUAACAUCAUAAUCUACUUCAACCUAAACUUAUGAAAUUCUAAAACUUUCAAAAUGCCAACUUUCCAUAAUAAACGCCAAAAUGCUCCCGGACCACCCGAUACUCAACCCGAACUUAUGCCCAAGUCCGAAAUCAUCAUACGAACCUAUUGGUACCUUCAAAUCCCGAUUCUGAGGUUGUUUACUCAAAAGUCUUACCUUAAUCAAUUCUUCCAACUUAAAGCUUACGAAAUGAGAAUUUUCCAUCUGAAUCAACUCCGAACUUUUCGAAGUUCAAUUCCGACUACGCGUACAAGUCAUAAUACAUGAAGUGAAACUACUCAAAGCCUCAACUACCGAACGACGCGCUAGAGCUUAAAAUGACCAGUCGGAUCAUUACAAAACGAGCUUAAAAAUAGCGUCAUUAGGGGUCACUUGGAGACCUGAUGAAGUGGACCGGGUCUGGGCUUGUGUUGGGAUAUAAUUGGGUCGUUUAAACCAUUGAGCCCAACUCUGCAGAUCUCUUUUCCUUUGUUUAAAAAUGCAUUAUUUAGCCACCUAAAUUGAAACUCUAUUUCAAACCCAAUUCAAUAAAAAAUUAACUCAUGAAACUAUGAACUAUUAAACUAAGACUAAUUGAUUAAUCAAAAUAUCUAGUAUAUAUAUUGUGAUUUAGUAUUUAUUAAUGCAAUUAACAUGUAUUAAGAUCUAAAAAUAUAAAGAGCAAAAUAUGAAAUAUAUUUUGUCAUUUUUAUGAUUUAAAAUGCUACUUAAAGAUGCACCAAACACAAAUAACGCACAAAACAAAUAAUAAAAAAUAAGAGAAAAAUUCCUAAAAUCCUAUAAAAGGAAUAAAACUAUUUUUUACUAUUUUAGGAGUAUUUCAUACAUGGGACAAAAAGUACGUGCUUACAGCUGCCUCUCUUUACUCGUGUCACGAUCCUAACCCUGAACCCGGUCGUGAUAGUGCCUCUCGUGAAGACAAGGCCAACCAAUUAAACACAAUUCAUUUUAAAAAAAGUUAAACAAUACAAAAGUAGUCUAAACAUAAUUUAAUGAUAAUAAGUAGCGGAAAUACAACCCGACACAGCCCUAACCGGGGUGUCACAAGUCACGAGCAUCUACUAGAGUAUAAAUACAACUAAAAGUCUAAAGUGUACAAAUACAGACUAAUGAAAUGAAGAGAGAGAAAAGCAGUGUUGCGAACACCGGCAGCUACCUUGCUAAACUCCGAUGACUCUGCCUCCGAUCAACCAAAACCCACUACCGGGUGUAUAAAUACCUGAAUCUGCACACAAGGUGCAGGGAGUAAAGUGAGUACUCCAACUCAGUGAGUAAUAAUCAUAACUAAAGCCUGAAUGGUAAGAAAUCACGUAAAGCAUAUCAAGAUGCUAUAUAGAAGCAGUUCCAAAACCAGUAAGAAAGCAGUGAAGCUGUAAAAAUCUCUUAAAACAUCUUAGCUAAGUUUAAAAUUCUUUGAAAAUGACUUUUUCAACAGUUAUGCAAAUGAAUGCAAAAUAGUAAGUGCAGAUAAGCACAGAAAUCCGCCCCUCGGGCACAAAUACCAUAGUUUAAUAGGUAAAUGACAGGUAAAUAUGAAAGAUAAAUACAUAAAGGUUUGCCCCUCGGGCACAAUGUCAACAACUCCGCCCCUCGGGCCAUAUCUCAAAACAAUACCAGCCCCUCGGGCAAUCACAUAGAAUGGUACCAGCCCCUCGGGCAAUCACAUAGAACAAUAUCAGCCCCUCGAGCUAUCACAUAGAACAAUAUUAGCCCCUCAGGCUAUAUCUCACAUCACAAUGGGUACCCGCAUUCACUGGGGGUGUACAGACUCCGGGAGGGGCCCCUUACGGCCUAAGCGCAAUAUCAAGCCACCUCGUGGAAUCAUAAACAGGCUCUCAGCCUCAUAUCAAUAUCAAGCCACCUCGUGGCGCACAAUCUCAGGCCCUCGGCCUCAUUAUCAUAAUCAGUAUCUCACUGUUGCGGCGUGCAGCCUGACCCAAAAGUGUCCUCACAAUACAGGCCCUCGGCCUUACUCAGUCAAAAAUCACAUAAGCCACUCGGGCAAUAGUAAAACAUAACGCUCAGCCCAAAAUAUUAUUUAAAAUAUCAUUUCAAGUGUUAAAGCAAAGUAAACAUGGCUGAGUUUUGAAAACAGUGGAAAUAACAUGACUGAGUUCAAGUAUAAAGUCAAAACAGUGAGGAAAUAUCAACAAAAAUCCCCGAAGGGUUCAAAUAGCUGGCACUAGGCCCAAAUAUGGCUUUCAGCCCAAAUAAUAAUGAUAGCAAAUAGUUUUCAAUCAAAUAGGCAGUAAAAUUAUCAAUCGGGACGGACCAAGUCACAAUCCCCAAUAGUGCACGACCUCACGCUCGUCAUCAAGCGUGUGCCUUACCUCAAUAUAGCACAAUAAUGUGCAAUCCGGGGUUUCAAACCCUCAGAACAUCAUUUACAAUCAUUACUCACCUCGAUCCGGUCCGAACUCUAGCCCGCGAUGCCUCGCCCACGCGAAUCGACCUCCGGAUGCUCCAAAUCUAGCCACAAUCAGUACAUAAUAAUUAAAAUAUGCUAAGGGAGCGAAGCCCGCUCGAAAAUAUCCAAUUUAACAUCAAAAUCCCAAAAUUGCUCAAACCCGCCCCCCCGGGCCCACGCUUUGGAAUCCGACGAAACUCACAAAAUCCGACAACCCAUUCAACCACGAGUCCAACCAUACCAAAAUUACUAAAUUCCAAUAACAAUUCGGCCUCCAAAUCUUCAAAUUUUAUUUUCAAAUCCCUAGGUCCAAAUCCCCAAUUUACACCUCAAAAAUAUGUAAUCUAGUCGGAUUAUUCAAUAAUAAUUCAAUAUUAUGGAGUAGAAAUGAUCACAAGUGACUUACCUCAAUAUUUCCCAUGAUUUCUUGCUCAAAAAUCGCCCAAGCCAUGUUCUUUCACCAAAAAAACAUCAAAAUGAGCUAAAAAAUGUAACAGCUUUAAUAAAUCCGAUUUUGGUCGCUAAAGGCUUAAUUCCCGUCGCUAAAAGGUCCAAUCUGGUCGCAAAAAGGUGCACACCAGAUCUGAUGCACCAACAGUCUUUAGUUUCACUAAAAAGGCUCUAACUCCAACAUAUGAACUCGGAAUUCGAUGAUUCUUGCUCCUAUGAGUCACAUAUAAUGAUAUGAACAUAGUCCUUCAAUCGAAACUCAAUUCGGAGCUCGUUUGCUCAGUGCGAUAUCCAUUUCGCUCGUUAAAUAAUUAACUCAUGAUUCAAAUCAAAAACUCAAUCGUGACUUGAUGAAAUUAGACUAAACUUUCCAGAUCACUCCUAUAAUUCAUUAUCAAAAUUUCGGACGUCUCAAAAUUAAAUUUCGAUCUCUAGAACUAAAAAUGGACCUUUGGAUCAUUACAUGGUUAUGCUCAAAACACCAAAAUCUUCCAAAAACUCUUCCAAAACAUAUCCGAGCCUCAUGGGACCCCUACCAAACAUGCCAACAGACCCAUAACAUAAUUAAAACUUGUUCCAAUCUUCGAAACGCUCAAAACAACAUCAAAACAUCAAAUCACCCUCGGAUUCAAGUCUAACAAUUCCAAAACUUCCGAAUUCCGAAUUCGAUCAAAAAGUCUAUCAAACCUCGUCCGAAUGACCUGAAAUUUUGCACACACAUCACAAAUGACACAACGGACCUACUCCCAUUUCCGGAAUUCCAUUCCGACCCCGAUAUCAAAAUCUCACCUAUCAACCGGAAAACGCUGAAAUCUCAAUUUCACCAAUUCAAACCUAAACCUUCCACGGACUUCCAAAAUGCAUUACGAUCACGCUCCUAAGUCCCAAAUAACUUAAUGGAGCUGACCAGACCAUAAAAAUUCCAAUCUGAGAUCAAAUACACACAAGUCAAAUCUUGGUCAAACUUUUCUAUUUUAAGCUUUCAAUUGAGACUGUUCUUCCAAAUUCAUUCUGAUUAACCUGAAUCCCAACACCAACGAUUUACAUAAGUCAUAAUACACCACAUGGGGCAAGUCAUGCCAGAGAACUGGCAAGCGAAGUGCAAAAGCUCAAAACAACCGGUCAGGUCGUUACAUCCUCCCCCACUUAAACACACAUUCAUCCUCAAACAUGCCCAGAGUUGUUCCAGAAGCCAACCAAUUGCUGAAUAACUUUACCAUGCAUAUACUUGGGGGUGAUCCCACGUCACCAUAUCUCAUAUAGGUCCGAUAACACAAUGCAACUAAAAUUUCACAAUCUAACCUAGCCCAUAAACCUUAGAACCCUCUUUCCACUUCUGAAAUCAUCCACAAGAUCAGAAUAUCACAUCUAUAUUCAGAAUAAGCCCGAACCAGUUGUAAUAACCGAUACCUGCAACCUCAGGUGCAAUUACAUGAUAAACCACGUAACUCAAAUGCUCGUAGCAAUAACUUCUAUUCACAGCAGCUGCCCACAACAACCGAAUACCGGUAGAAAACCUCUUAUCAACUAAAGUCCCAUUUCAACACUUUCAUAUACUACCAACGAUAAAUAAAACACGCAAUAAACCAUAACCAUUUCUCAGAUCAACCAUUCAUGAAGCCACUUCUCCUUUGGCAAAUACCAUAGCAAAUUUCUGAACUGAACCUCGAUAUUAUCCUUUCAACAUGCUGAAAUCGAAUCCAUUCGUAUUCAUUAAUGAUCCCAACGAUAUCCUCUAAUCCAACACAACACUCUGGUGACAUGACACAUCAAUAUAGGCCUAAGCCACAACUUCCAUAAUACGCGCACCAAUAAGCAACGGUCCGAACAUACUCAAAUCAUGGAAAUGACUCAAAUGAAAGAGUUGUACCUCAAGCUCACCAGUACCACUACAACACAAAGCUGAGAACCCGUCUCACAUCAUAGGAAUAGAACACACGAAUCUAACCUGCAAGGUCAUACCUCCACAUAUAUUCGCUGCAAUGUGCGACCUUAUCCAAACACUGCUCCACAUAGAACACCUCAAGUCACUCUGCUCGAAAUUGACGACCACGCGCAAUUGAUGUCUAGAAUCAAAGUAAAUCAUCAUAACCACGAUAAAGCAAGUACAUAACACCGCAUAACUCGAAAGGGCUAACAGAUGCGCCAUCCGCCAAGCAAUGUCCAAUACUCCUCUCGCUCGAAUCCUGCUGAGAGACCCCAAUAACACCGCACCACAUGUGCCGAUAACCAAUAAAUCCUAAUGCCUCACAACACGUAAAGGUAACUCACAGGCCUCCCUGGAUUACUAAAAAUCUCAAUAACCGAUGAAUCAACACCUCUCUCAAUAAUACAAUUUGGAGCCAACCAAGCUGACUCAAGUUAGAACACGCAUCCACAUUGGCCUGCCAACGAACUCCUUAUCAAUGUGAAGCUGCUCCUUCCACCCCUUUAACUCUGUCGGUGCCAUACGAUACGGUACCCGAUAUCAAAUCAAUACCAAAAUCAACAACCCUGCCCAGCGAUAUGCCCGGCCACAAGAAACACAUCCGAAAAGUCUCUCACCACCGGAACUGAAUCAAUUGUAGAAGCCUCUACACUGACAUCCAUCACAAAAGCCCAAAUAAGAAAGACAAUCCUUCCCAGCCGUCCGCUGGGCCUUCGAAAUAUAAAACCACUCUACUAGGGCAUAAUCCUACGGACCUCGCCACUCAAUCCGUGGCAUUUCCGGCAUAGCCAACAGUGCUGCCUUAGCGCAAUAUCCCAGAAUGACACAACACGGAGACAACCAGUCUAAACCCAAUAUCCCAUCCAAAAUCUAACAUGCCAAGCACAAAUCGUGUCUCCAAACCCCGAUAGUCACUAAACAGUGCCGAUACACACGACUCACAACCGCAACAUAGCUUGAAUGUAAGAACUUCCCUGUCACCAAAUCCAUAUGGCACAUGAAUCAACAUACCUAAUCCCAAUUCCAUCGUCCGAAUGUAUACCGCACCUCAAAUACCCAAUCAUUCCACGAAAGAUACUCUAAAAUUCCCCUGUGUCACCAAGCAAACUCGAAUAUCAGCAGUCAAUCUAACAAGAAAGCGCCGCAAUUCUACCGAAGUACCAUCAACUUAAUCACAUUGCCUUUUCUGAAACAUAUACCCUCGUCAAAUCACUCCCAUUUAGCAAUACCAUUUCCUUAAUCAUCUGGAGAUCAUCCCCCUAAUCAUCUAAAACUCAUUUCUCUAAUCAUCUGAAACUGCCCAUGCUGCCUAAGAAUUUUAUGACUUUCUAUUCGAAACUGAACCGUAACCUUACACACGCAAAUUUCAAUCCUCCACAACAUACCGCAUAUACCAUACCAUCCUAGGAUAACAUGAGAACUUCAUCUCCCUUCUGAUCCACAAACAUCUACCUACUCCACUAGUCAAGAACUUUACAUUGAUCCCAUCUAGAAGGAAAUCACUAUGCAUCUGAUGCUCCUCAUGCCCAUAGAAAAUANNNNNNNNNNNNNNNNNNNNNNNNNCACCCAAGGAACUAAUCAUAUCCUUACCAUACCGAUCCGGCCUACUACCCAACUAUCCCAUCAAUCCGAGUUUCCUUCUGAUUUACCUUCAACUUGAUAUCACCUCUUGUUGUAGCACCACAAUUCCUCAACCCAGACUUACCACACAAGACCCAAGCAUAAAACCACACUUUUUAAGGCUCAUAAGCCGCUGAAUACUCUCUUAAAUGUUUCCAAAAGCACCACAUUCAAAAUACCUACCCCGAAGGGACUUCCUGCAAAUCUGGAACCAUUACCUUCCUAAUACUGAUAUAUAGAAUCUCAUAGUUAAUGUAGAAAGUACCACAAGUCUUGGCAUCUUCCAAAUGAAAACUCAAUUCCUAACCACAUAUACAACUUUAAAAUACCCAAUUGUUACAUGUAGAAUCUUGAACACGUUAGAACCAUUCUCGAGAGUCAUUCACUCUAUUCAAACUGCAAUUAGUCUGAUCAAAUGACCCGAACAACUCAUGCCUCAUUGGCACUCCGACACCGCAGAAUGUAGCCUCAUCCCAAUACAACCAAGCAACUUCCUGCUCUAUGCACCGAGCAUUCUUUCCAAUAACAACUCAAGACAUCCCGUGAUUCUCACACACCUAUGAAGCAUAAUAUAAUCUUCGUCAAAAUUUUCCUUUACCUGAGCCAUCCUCGGUCUCAACCUCCGUAUGCCAUAACUGAUUCACCCGAACGUCUUAAACCAAAACCAACAUAGCACAUAACCGUGCAAUCGCUUAAUCAAUAACAGACUCCCCCACUUGGCUCGGAGCUGUAGACCAAAACACACACACAAUAACUCAUAACGCAUAUACUCUAUUGCUGCCACAAUACCAUAGUGAGAUUAAACUCAAACCUUCAUAAGCUCGUGAAACACAGACCAUCUGGUACCUUGAAUAUUCUGCAAUUCUCGCAAUCAUCCUUGCAACAGUCAAGCCCACUCUCUUAAGCGACUCAAAAUUCAAAAUUCAAAUUUCAACACUUAUAUUUCACUUGUAAAUGAGACCUUCUAAAAGACACAUAAGGAUCACACAACCUCGGAACACUUCGUAGGAGAUAACCCACCUGCCUUGUCUUCAACUAACAUUUCUGUAUACCUUUCACCGUCACAAACAUUACGCAAUCACUUAGCCUUCCUGAGUCUGAACUCAUACCGCAACAUGAAAUUUACUUCACUCCCAACUAGGACACAUGAAAAGACUCUUCGCACAUCCAUAACUUGGGGCUAUACCUCAAAUCAAGAUGAAAAUCAAGCACCGAAUAGUCCUUUUAUCCUCCAGCAGUCCAUCCUCGUCACUUCCAAUUCAUAAGAAUACAUCUCGCAAUCAUAACAUACUCAUCACAUAGCCAUACAGCCGUCACUUCCACUAAUAGGGACACUACCGAACACUUAAGCUCUCAUUUACGGACUAAGUGUCCCAAAACUCUCCGAAACUUAAAACCGAACAUCCCGGCAAAUCAAAAUAGCAGAAAUAAACUUGGGAAAAGAAGUUAAUAAGGAAUCGGGGCGUUAAUUCUUAAGACGACCGGCCGGAUCAUCCCAGUCAUUAGAAUAUAUUUUCUCAUGACUGUGUUAGGAUAACCAAAAUGAAGUAAUGUCUUUUUUCUUUUCUUUUUUGUAGUUCUUUUUCCUUUACUCGAGGGCGGUGGUGGCCAAAAGAAAAGGAUAAUAGAACUGUGUGUAGACUCGCAGGAUUUUCUAAUAAGAGAGUGAUCAACAAAUGAUCUCCUGCUGUGGAAAAGAAAACAAAAAGUUCUUCAAACCAUUCAAGUUGUCCAAUUUCAAUGCUUAAGCAAACUAUGUAUGUUAUUCAGGAAAUUAGAUUACCAAUUUGAUUCUAGUUUUAGACCUUAGAAACAUUUGGAUUCUACUUAGAUCGAUUUGAUCCUUAAUAAAAAAAUAUUUGAAAAUUUUUCGGGGAGACCCACAACUGCUAUCCUUCGAGUGUGCACUGGACUGUUCUGGGCAAGUCCGGUGCGACUAGCUCUGAUAUUGAGAGACUGUUGGCGAGGGUAAUUGAACUCAGGUCUCUCGUGUGGAAAACCACUCACCCAAUACUUACGAGCUAUCCUUAGUAAAGUUUAUAAAUUAUAGUUUGAGACCCUUCCUCGAACAACGUGAGCUUAGUACACGAAAUUGUUCUUUUUCAUAAAUAUAUACAAUUCGGUCUAGUGUUCGUGAUUGUUGAAUGUGCACCUAUGAGAUGACAUUGACACCAAAUAGAAGAUGUUUAAAAUUAAUUGAUAAACAAUUUAAAAUGCAAAGAUGUUAAACUAGAAUUGAAUUUCCUCUAAAUUCUAUAGAUGCUUUGCGAUAUAAGAAGUGUAGCCUAAAGGGAAAGUUGGAAACACCUGCAACCCGAUUCUUCCUUGUUAGGUCCAAAAUGACUAGCCAAAUAUAGAAGAAUUAUAUUUUCCUUCUAGAAAAAGAAAAAUAUAAUUAUGAUAAAUAUAUUGUCCUUUCCUUUAUAAGAUAGGAAAUCAAUUAUCGUAAGAAAAUUUGGACAAAUACCUAACAAUUCUUUCCCUUGGCUUGAAUUUUCUGAAAAACUAAAUUUGAUCCACCUUCUUCACAUAGCCUUCAAUAGGUUGCAUCUCCAAAUCUCCACCACAAAGUUUGUCUCAGCAUGCAUUGCACUCUGGUCAAAUUUCUCAGACAAAAAUCACGAUUAUCAUCAAAUAUGUUGCUGCUAGAGUUAAACUCGCCAAGAUAAACUUGUCUUGAAUCUCGCUCUGAUACCACUUGUUAGGAUCGAAAAUAUCGGGUGUCAUGUGGAAUCUAGCAAAGCAAACCUUCAACGAUGAUAAUAAGACAACAAAAGAGAAAUCUACCAAAAGAGAUACAAACAUUUAACGUGGUUCGGUCAACUGACCUACGUCCACGGUGGAGAUGAGCAAUCCACUAUAAUAAAAGAGAGUACAAAAUAUCGAGAGAACAACCUCACGAAGAGGCAAACACAAGUGAUACACUAAAAUUGUUGUGUCGAGAAAGAGGCAAACCUGAAAAUAAAGAAGAUAAAGAACACCAAAUUUUAACGUGAAAACCUUUCAAAUAGAAGGUAAAAACCACGAGAUCACAAAGAUCCAAAAAACUCCACUAUAAAAAUAAGAUAGUUACAAAAGUUUUUCAUAUUAGCUACACAACAAGUGCCAAAUACGGAGCAACAAUAGCAAUAAUAAAUCAAUUGAAGAAAGAGGAGAAGUCACAAAACUGGAGCUACUGUUCAGGGCUCGAAAUCAGAUUCUACAUGCCUCUAAAUUUGAUUUUCACCGUUCAAAUCCAAGGCCAAGAUGUUACAAAUACUCACUAAAAAAUUCAGCCCGAUCCAACGGUUAACGAAUUGGAAAACAUGAUUUGAAGUUGAAUGGUCAGAAUUAAAAUCUACAGCAAAAACAAAUACUUUUCUUCUCUCUUCUCUCUUGAUGAAAGCUCUCUAAAAAAUCACUCUUAUAUGCUUAAGUCUUUCAAAGACUUGUGUCAAUGAGCAUAGAAUAAUUCUCCAAGGUUGUCAUAUUUAUAGAUCAUGAGUUGUGCCAGAUGAGGAUCUAGAAUUUGAUAGUUGUGGGUGCCACUGUAUUUAAUGUAAACUUACCAGUAGUCAAAAAGGUUGAAUUUGAGUAUACAUGCAUUUGGACGGUUCGCUAUAUUUUAAAUUAAUUCGGUUCGGUUCGGUCCAUUUUAAGUUAAUUUGGUUUGCUUUACAAAAUCUUUUGGUGCAUAAAUAAUACAUGAUAACAAAACUAAAUAUAUUUGGUCCUUUCAAGAAAAAAGUAAUUUUAACUAGAUAAAAAAGAAAAAUAAUUAAAAAAAUAUAUUCAAAUAAAAAAAUUUGAGACCUAGAACAAGAAAACAUAGGCAAAUAUACUUUUAUAAUUUAAAGAAUUAAUAAAAACGAGAUUGUAUAUGGAGAGAAAAUAUAAAAUGAAGAUAAAAAAAGUUAAGAAAAAGAGGAGAAAAGAAAACAAUAUGGAAAGAAGGAACAUAAAAAAGUAACAUUGGCUUAAUAUGAGUGAGAGGAGGAUCGAUCUUGGGUAUUGGGCUUGGGAAGGGCUACUUUGCCUAUGACACCUACAACCAUUUUGUGACUUAGGGUGCCACUAAUUAUUUAUAUACCUUUUCUACAUGAAAUACUAGUGAAACACUAAUUCGUACAUGAAAUUCUGCCCAAGCGAGCGGGUGGCGUACCACCCCGUCACCUCUACAUAGAUCCGCCCUUGAGUGGUGCUUUCUCUUAAAGCCAAAACCAACUCUAAAUAGGAAUAAACACCGAAUCCAAUUCCGGAUAGGAAUAUAAACCAAAAGAGAAUAGGAUUAGUCCAUUGGGUCUUUGGCUAGAUAACAAGGGCAUGUACCCUCCUCUAGCCAAGAGGCCAAAUGUGUCUUCAAGUAGAGGAACUAUUGACAGGCUUCAUGCCUGCCAAUUUUCUGCAAAACGCAUGCUUAUCUGCAAGCUUAACGACGAAGUCCUCAGGCUACUCCAUAUAAAUCUCCUCGUCUAAAUCACCAUGAAGAAAAGCAGUCUUGACAUCCAUCUGCUCAACCUCUAAAUCUAGACUUGAGGCUAAGCCUAGAACCACGCGAAUAGAAGACAUCUUCACAACUGGGGAUAAAAUUUCAUCAAAGUCAACUCCCUUAUUCUGGAAAAAACCUUUAACAACUAACCUCGCCUUCUAUCUAGAUGCAGAGGUAUGGUUAUCUUGCUUUAUUUUGAAUAUCCAUUUGUUAGAUAAAGCUCUUUUACCUUUCGGCAAUUUCACUAACUCUUAUGUGUCAUUCUCAUGAGUGACUUCAUCUCAUCUUCCAUGGCUUCAACCCACUGAUCUUUGUGAGUAUCUUGCAUGGCUUCAUCAUAAUUCUCAGGUUCUCCCAUGUAAGUCAAAAGUACAUACUCAUCAGGAGGAUAGCGCAUGGAUUUUUGCUUAUCCCUUUGUAGAUAUUCUAAGAGAGGUUUCAGGAGCAUUUGAAGUAGUUACCUGAGCAGGAAUUGGUUGCUGAUCAACCACAACUUCAUCAACUGAAGCAUCUAUAACAUCUAUACUAUGAUGAUCAUUAUCUCUAUCAUAGUCUUGGGUUCCUUCAUGUGCAAUAAGUGCCUUAACAAUAGAAAUUGAAUCAAUAUCAACUAAGCUCUCAUUACUCUGAGAAUCUAUCUUUUCUGCUUUGUCAAUAUCUUCAAUAGCGGUCUUCAAAGAAUAUUGCAUCACGACUUCUAAUAAGUUUAUUAUCAAUUGGAUCGUAAAAACGAUACCCAAACUCAUCUUGACCAUAACCGAUAAAGAUGUAUUGCUUAGUUUUGCAAUCCAGUUUCGAUCUCUCAUCUUUAAGAACAUGCACACAAGCUUUACACCCAAAAACUCUUAGGUGAUCAUAAGAAACAUCUUUGACAAACCAAACUCUAUCUGGGGCAUCACCAUCCGAAGCAACAGCAGGAAACAAAUUGAUAACAUAGGCAACAGUGUUAAGUACUUCUACCCAAAAUGUAUUUAGAAGUUUAGCCUCUGAAAGCAAGCAUCUAACUCUCUCAACUAAAGUUCUAUUCAUCCUCUCUACCAAACCAUUCAAUUGAGGUGUCUUGGGCAGAGUUUUCUGAUGACGAAUUUCUUGUUCUUUGCAAUAGUUAUCAAAGGGACCACAAUAUUCAACACCAUUUUCACUCGAAUACAUUUUAAUUUCUUCCCCGUUUGUCUCUCAACUAAGGCCUGAAAUUCCUUAAACACAUCAAGUGCUUGAUCUUUAGAUUUCAAAGGAUACACCUAGAGCUUAUGAUAAUGAUCAUCAAUGAAGGUGCAAAGUAAAGUGCACCACCUUUUGACUUUACUUUAAAAGGACCAUACAAAUCAAUUAUACUAGCUCUAAUAAAUCGGGCUUUCUUGAGGGAGGAUGACUAUGAAAGGAAACCAUUUUCUUUUUGCUAUAAAAAAUGGAUACACCUUUUCAGCUUUGCUUGUUUCACUCUAGAAAGCAAACUUUUCUUAGCCAAACACGUAAUCCCCCUCUCACUCAUAUGACUCAAUCUUCUGUGCCAUAAUUAUGAUAAAGUAUUACUUUCUACCAGAUUUAUGGAGUCAUUAAGAAUAGUACUUUGUGUCACAUAUAAAUAAUCAGACUUGACUCCUCGAGCCACUACUAACGAGCCCUUGGUGAGCUUCCAUUGGCUAUUAAAGAGGGCAUUAUGGUAACCUUCAUCGUCUAAUCUUCCUGCGGAGAUCAAAUUGAAAGGAACGUCUGGAGAUGCUUGACAUCUUGAAGAACUAACGUUGAAACAUUAUUAGUUUUCAAACAAACUGUGCCAACACCAAUUACCUUAACUUCACAAGCAUUGCCCAUCUUUAAAUACUCCAAAAUCAACAUGAGUAUAAGAUGAGAAAAAGUCUUUUCUUGGUGUGACAUGUGAGGUAGCUCCAGAAUCUACUAUCCAGCUCGUCUCAUGGGAUACUAAAUUGAUGACGUUUUCAUCAUAAGCAAAAAGAAGGUCAUCUCGAACAAUAGCAACGACAUUAUUUUCGUAAUUUUCAACUUUCUUUCCUUCUCUAAUGUUUUGCAACUACUUGUGGCAAAACCUUUUGAUGUGUCCUUUUUUAUCACAGUGGCUGCAUGUAAUAUUAUGGUAUUUGAACCUUGACUUACUUCUACUUUUACCUCUAUUCCUCGAGCCUUUUGUUCUAUCUCUUCCCCGGUCUUCUAUAACCAAGAUAUUUGUUUGUGAGGACGAAUCUUGAGAUUUUCUCCUUACUUCCUUGUUCAACACACCACUCUUGGCAUAUUCUGUAGUUACCUUACCUUUAGGUGCUGAAUUUGUCAAAGAAACACGAAGAGUUCCCCAAGAGUCUGGUAAAGUAUAAGAAGCCAAAGUCCUUGUAUCUCAUCAUCAAAAUUAACUCUCAUUCCAGACAGCUAAUCAAGGAUGCCCUGAAAAUCAUUUAUGUGAUCAAGGAUAAGGCUGCCUUCCUUGUAGUUAAAGGUCAUCAAUUGUUUUAGCAGGAAUAACUUGUUGUUCCCAGUUUUUGAAGCAUAAAGAGUAUCUAGCUUUUCCCACAAUGAUCUUGCAAGUGUCUCAUUCACAAUAUGGUUGCGAACAUUAUCUUCAACCCAUUAUCGUAUAUAUCCACAUACUUGUUGGUGGUAUAUAUCCACAUACUUGUUGGUGCUCAAAAUCCCAAUCUUCAUCAAAUAUACUCUCGAGUUUAUGAGCUGCAAAAACUGGUAGAUGCAUCUUCUUCACGAAUAACAAAUCUUUCAUCUUGCUCUCUGAACAUUAUAACUUCUCCCAUUUAAACAUACCAUCUUGCUUAUAUUCGCCUCCAUUCCGUAACAACUCGGAUAAAUAACCAAGGCUCUGACACCACUGUUAUGACCGAAAUGACUAGCCAAAUAUGGAAGAAUUAUAUUUUCCUUAUACGAAAAGAAAAAUCCAAUUAUGAUAAAUAUGUUGUCCUUUCCUUCAUGAGAUAGGAAACUAAUUAUGGUAGGAAAAUCUGGACAAACACGUAACAUUCCUUUUCUUUUUCCUUGUUAGGUUAGCUAUUAGGUAAUAAAACGAACAAAAUGUUUAACUGCAGCAACAAAUCUAGUAUUUACACUUCCUUUAGUAUUUGUUUAACAAAAUCAUAAAUUUUAUUUGUAAUUACUGUACAUGACCAACCUGGGAUAACUUAACUUUUUAUUGUUUUAAUAUAAAUAUUAAAAUUUAUUAGCAUUAUACCAAGUACAUUAUGGAAAAUCGAAAUAGUGAAAUUGUUAGGUCAUUUCAAUUAGCUCAUAAACCACGCAUUUCUCGAUUGGUUGAGAAACCACAUAUUUGUGUAGAAUAUCGUCUCAAGUUCAUCUCGACGAAAGUCUCAACUUCUUUUUCUGAAAAUUAAUUAGAUAUUCAAUCAUUUGCAAAGAUUAAUAAAUUACUUUUUUUUAUCGUAACUUCCAUCAUAUAUUGGAUUAGAGAAGAACUUGACUGAUUGAUCAUCAGAUUUUCAAGUACUUAAUGCAGUUCAGCUUCUUUGGAAUAUAAUGUUGAGAAAAAUUUCUUCAAAAAAAAAAAAGGAUCUUCGCAUUUUCGGUUGAGUAAAUUUAGUAGUAAUUAAUACUACUAGUAGUUAAUGUUAAGAAAAGUUGGCAUCUAUGAUUACACCGAGCAAAUGGAAAAGAAGAACACUAGUUGCUAAUUUGUAAAAAUAUUGGCAUUAAAUAGAACAAAAAUCUGUACAAGUUGGGUGAGAACCGCAGUGGGUGUGCUGAAUCAUAUCCUCUCCUGCAUCACUAACUCUCUCUAUUUGGAUAUACAAAAUAAAAACGUUGGCACAUAUACAUAAUAAAUACUAAUAUGCUAGCUAUUACAUCAAAUGGCCUUCUUUAAUCUUUAUUAGUAAUUCCUUGACCAACAAGGCUGCAGAUCUCCUUUGGAUAAAUCUGCGAAAAGCAGAACAGUCACAAGAUAAAGUUAGUUACUCCUAUAGUUAUUAACCACGAAUAAAAGAACAAAAAGCUAAUUUUUUUUCUUUAAAAUAUAUAAAGCAGAAGGAUGUGGCAAUCUUAGUACUCCCUCCACAAUAAGUGAUCAAUUUACUUUGGGCACAUCCAUUAAGGAAAUACUAAAUUCUAGACAAAAAUAGUUAGUGUGACUAAACUACCCUUAAUUAAAUGUUGCAGCAUAAUAUAAUGUGAGGAGUAAAAGACUUUUUAGGGAUACGUACAUCAGAGUAAUUUUGAAAAAACAAAUUGAAUUUUUUCUUGAUUACAUAAAUGGAUACUUAUUUUAGACCAAAAUAAAAAAAAACAAAUUGAUCACUUAUUGUGGACAGAAGAGAGUAAUUAAGAAUCUGAUAGCAGCACAUGAUUUUUGAUUAAAAAAUGUGGGAGCACGAGCACCAAGAGAAAAUAUAAGUAAAUAAAUAAUAAAAAAGCCUCCGGCAAUAUUUACCUGAAACCUAGCUCUAGGAGAACUGGACAGGUCCAAAGGAACUAGAAUUGAUGUCUUGUGCCUAUGGACUCUUUUCUUUUUUACUUUUCACUUCACUCUUUCUUCUUGCGCUAAUUUUGGUUUUCUUGAAAAUGAUCCUGUCUUGCAUGCCGAAACCUGCAUCCAUAUCAUAACAUGUUGGUCAGUUAAUUCACCAAAUGAAUUUAAAAAAAAUGUUAAAUAAAAAAGAGGGGGAAAUGGAAAAUCAUGAUUUUUAUUUUGAAGAAAUUUGUCUUGUGCGUGUUUUAGCCGUGUGGGAUUCCAAGCAUAUGGCCAACUUACUCCUAAUUCCUGCACGUUUUCUGCUAUUACAGUUGUCUAACCAAACGGCAGACCAAACUCGAUAUAGUUAGUCCUAACCAUAUGACUCAAUUAAAUUUCAUAUUUGACUAUUUCUAUUCCAUUCUAAUGCGUCUCAGAUUUCUUGAUUUGUCCUCUACUUUUUGUUCCUUCUCUAUCAUUAGGACUAAGGUACUAUGUGACCAAGUCAAACGGCAGAAGGAAGCAGCAAUGGGCUAGAGAGCAAAUACCAAGGAAUCCUAUUUCAUAAGAGACUAGUAAAAUAAAGGGGAAGUAUCACUUUAGCCAACUAUAUAUAUUUGAUAGCCGCAAAAGUAUAUAUAUAUAUAUAUAUAUAUAUAUUUAUUUAUUUAUUUAUUUUUAUUUUCGGAUACUAUUUUGAAAGCGGUUAUACAAUGUUAUUUUUCCUAAAAAAAAUGGAGUUGUUCAUUUGUUCUAUUUUAUAUUAUGGUAUUUGACUAUUGAAAAUCUCCAGCAUAUAAUAGAAAUAUUUUAAACAUUUUUAUGUCUAAAAAACAUAUUUAUUAUGUAUGAUAAAAAAAUUUAAAAUGCAAAGAUUUUUUUUUGUUUAUAAAAUGUAAAUGAAAAAGCAAUUACUCGGGGUUUUCAAGUUGGUCUCGAGAAAUUCUAGAAGGAAAGCAAAAGUCAUUUCUGGGAACGUGAGGUCAACUAAUGAACACUGAAACAACUAACAGGGGUUAGUCGUCCUUAUACAGCCGGUGGACCCAGAAAACAACUUGCAAAUUACAUGUCCAAUUUGUCCCAAAAACGUUCAAAAUUAAUUACGUAGCUGUACUAUUUCGAGAAAUUAAAAAGAUGAGGGAAUUUCGGUGUGUUUGGUAGGAACGAAAAAUAUUUUUAAUGUUUUAAUAAUUGGUUAGCUUGAAUAUUUACAAAAUAUUUUUUUCAUGAAGUAAUUUUCGAGAGAAAAUUACUUUUCUUACCAAAAGGAAGGGAAACUUUUUCAACCUUCCCACCCUAUUUCCCACUCCAACCACUCUAUUCCCACUCCCCAACCACCAACCUCCAACCCCCCCAACCCACCCCUACCCUCGCUCCUGCCACCCCGACACCUAGACCUCGACCUAUGACCUACGACCCUUCCCCCCUACUCAUUUUGUUUCCGAUAAUGUUUAUCUAAAUUAUAUAUUUUUAAAAAAUAUUUUAUGCUAUCUAGUCAAACACUAGAAAAUCACUUAUUUUUUAAGAAAGUAUUUUUUAGGAAAACGUUUUACUUGGUACCACCAAACACACCCUUAAAGUUGGCGAUAUUUUGAGUUGACAUGUGCAAUCUGGUCAUCAAAUUUAGCACAGGUGGUGAGAAAGAUAUGGAGACUUACAGCUUCAAUAUCAAUUUUGUAAAGGAGAAGUUUUCUUCUUUCUCUGCAGCUAAUUCUGUAAGCCACCACCACAUGUGCGACGGCCAACGCAAAUGAACACACGAAAAGUGCCAUUUCCAUUACCCCAACAUACCCUUCUCUAUCCAUUCUUGAACUGUUCCCAAAUACAUAUGAAGCUUUCAACGACACAAACACCAACGAUGAAAUCGAACACAUGGUUGCAAUUCCCAAAUAUGGCCCUCUUGACAGUCUUGGACCAUCACAUAAGCUAUAAACACCUAUAUAUAUUCACAUCAACAAAAUUAGUAUACAUGAGUGAGUAUUUUUUAGUAGUAUCCCAUCACUUGAUAUUUAACAAUCACAACUAAACUAGUAUAUAACUUUAUUUAACCGACUACCCUUGGUCGGCUGAAGCUCCGCCAGUGAGAACUACUAUGCCUCAAUCCAAGCACAUUAAGAUAUGAAUUCUCACUCAUGUUCUCAAUUUAAAAAAAAAUACUUGAAAGGAAAAUACGAGGAUUUGUGUUAAAAAAAAAACUUACAUAGAAUGAGGGCAGACCUAAUGAUGGAGAUGAGGGGAAUAUCGAUGAGAGAAUAGCGGAAAUCAUAGUUAAUUAGAUGAGAAGAAAGGGUUUGAAUUGAGAGGGAAGAAGGGGAGAGAGAAGCAGACAAAAGGGCUGAAGGGAGAAGGGUAUCAGCGAUUACAAGAAGAAUUGGUGCUGAGAAAAGGAGAAGAGAAAUCAACAUAGAGAUUAAGAAAAACAGAGUUUUGAUCCAUCUCACUACUCUUGUUCUUCUAUCUUCUUUAAACCCCAUCUCUGCUUUUCUUUUCCAAUGGGGAGAAUUCGGACUUGAUCUUAAAUUCUUAUAUGGAUUUAUGUUGAGAAAAAUUGGUGGGAAAGGGGCUUUAAAAGAAGGGACAAUUACCAGAAAGAUGGCUAAGGUAAGGUUCGAUGAUUUGACUAAUUGUGGGGUUUGGGAAGGAAAAUGACUUACAACUUUACAUAGAGGUCAAAUAUAGGAAGCUGCACUCCAUCUUAUGUUUUUCGUCAGCAAUUUUUUUUUUUCUUUUUUUUUGAGUUUCUUAUGUGGACUAACGGCAAUUACCGAAUAGACUUUCUUAAUGACAAUGAAUUGUAUCAUUAAUUUAGUAUUAAUGUCAUAUACUACUCCCUUGUCCAUGUUAUCGGUAAGUAGAAAUAAGAAUAUAUAUUUAGAUUAUUCUUUAUUUUUUUCUUAAUAUCUUAAUUAAUUAAUUAAUUAAUACCUCAUUAAUUGAAGCACUAAAAAUAAAAAUGAACAAAAAUAAUAAAUUAUUUUUUAUUUUCUAAAACGUUAAAUAUUUUAUAGCAAAUAAAAAAAUUAUGUUUCGGAUUGGGUAUAGUACUAAGAAAGAAGUUUCAUUGGGUGGCUGUUAUUACACGAAAUGGUGUUAGGUGGUUAUACUGUUUGAAAGUUUAGUGGACAGGUGAAAUUGAGAUGGGAAUUUCUGCAACUAGGUUUAAUUUGUCACAUAAAAAUACUGAAAAAAGGGGUAUCGCAAAGUCUUCCAUUAAAAAGAAGUUCACACAAUUUUUUUUAGAGAUUCCUUGCAAAGAGCAUAUCUUUUGCAGAAUAACUUUGUUAAGGUUUUCUUUUUUAGCUGUUUUUGCUCAAGAAGAAUCGAUACUAUAUUUAAGAGAUUUGCAAGGAAACAGCUAUUCUCAUGAUCUUAGUAAUUAUUUACAAGGAGAUAAUUGAAGGCAAGAAAUUAAUAUAUAUCUGCUGAUAAAUCUUCUACAGCGUGCUUCAAUGUUUCAUUUCCAUAACUUUCUAUGUAUGAUUGAAAAUUUUGAUACAAUGCCAACUAGUGAAUAGGAACUAAUUGGGGGUGAAAAUCAAGCUUAAUGCUUUGCGGUCAAAUAAUAGUCAUGUUUAACAUUAUUGCUUCAACCGAAAAAUAGUACUAAGUCACAUCUUUAGUGAGAUUUUCCAUGAUAUUCUUCUGUCAUUUUUAAGAAAAUAGUCACGUAUACCAUAAUUGAGCACACCUUUUUUCCCAUUAAUUCUAUUAUUAUAGAAUAAACAAACCAAAAAAAUGGAACGAGAGUUGGGAAAAAAUGGAAAUAUGUGAAAACAAGAAAGAAAAUAUUCCAAAGCAUUAAUUAGUGUUAUACGUGACGAUCUCUCCAAAUAGCAUCAUGAAGAAGCGACAGGUAGUUUGAUUUAGAAAGAAGUACUGAACAAAUUUCUGACAAUGGUGAAUUUUAUGUUUAGAUAAUUAAGUAGGCAUUUGGACAUAAAAAAUUAUAUUUUUUGAAAAAAAACAAAGAAAGUAUUUGAGUUAAAGUUAAAAAAUAAUAUUUGAAAUUUGAAAUUAUGUUUGACAUGCAUUUCACUUUAAAAAAUAUUGAAGUUUUGUGUAUGUUUUUUGAAAAACUCAUUUUUAAUUUUUUUUCAAAAACAUGCAAAAUUGUAUAGACAAACGUACUCUUGAAAAGAAAAAAGAAAAAAAAUUAAGAACAACUGGGGCCUAAAUCUCCUUGUCAAACCAACCAAAUGACCCCUACUAAAGUUGGCAAGCACAAGCAUAAGGUCUGAAGUUCAAACUAUACUAGUUUAUCGGGCGGGCUGGGAUUGGUUGAACAGAAAAAACUAGCCCGUCCGUUAUCGGAUCGGGUUGGUUAACGGGCUGGGAUAACGGGCUGGGGGCAGGUUGAACUUUUUCGGGUUAUUUAGGGCCCAUUCGAGUUAGGACGGGCGGGGGGCUAUUGUAAUAUUUUUUUAAAUUAAAUUUUAUUUUUCUUAUUUAAUGUUAUCGAUACUUAAGUGUUUGCAAACUUUUAAGGCUUAGAAUUAAACUUUGAAGUUUAAAGUUUAAAGUUUUAAAUUUGAAUUUUGUAUUUUAAAAUUAUAAAAUUGAAAUUAGAAAGUAACUAGCUACAAAAAAUUAUUUAAUAAGACCAAUAGACAAUAUGUAAGGAACAAACUGCGAAGGCUUUCAUUUUAUAUUUUUAUUACUUCAAAUUAAUUUGCAAGUUCUUUUUUUAUUUUUUUAUUUUUGAACUUGUAAAAUAAAAGUUUACAACAAUUAUAAAAAAUAAGAAAUAGUACAUCACAUAUUUUGCAUUAGUUUUGUAAGUUCUUCCAUGUCAACAUGAGGUUCUUGAUUUCCGGCAUUGGUUGAAUCGGAACCAUAAACCAUUAUAUCUCCAAUUUCUUGGUCCUCCUCUUCAUCUACCUCGGCACGCCCUUGAUUUCGCUGUUCUGAUCUUAUCCAAUCUCUGGAGCACACUAAAAUUUCCAAAGCGUUGCUGCCCAAUGAAUGAUGGGUAUCUCCUAAUUGCUGCUUUGCUUGGCUAAAUGCGCUCUCUGAUGCGACUGUUGAAAUCGGCACAUUUAACACAUCUCGAUCCAUGGCCGAUAGAACAGAAAAUUGAUUUGAGUUGCUCUUCCACCAACUCAGUAGUAGAAAAUGCUUUGUGAGGGGCUCUGGUGACUUUUGCAAGUAGAAUUGGAGUUCAUCAAUAUUCAUGCUAUUGGUUUGUUGAUGUUCUCCUAGUAUAGACCAUAUCAAAUAAUCUUGAACACAAUCAUCAUCAUCCAUAGUUGUUCCAGAUGUUGAAGGAUUACUUGAAGGANNNNNNNNNNNNNNNNNNNNNNNNNCCAAUAUCCAUAUAAGUAUAUAAGACUCUAAUUAAUUAGGCGACACUUUAUCAUUUUGAUAGUAGGGUUUAAAAUAGCACCAAUUAGGGAAAUAUGGAGAAUUUGGUAGAAAUAUUUUUUAAACUUAUCUAGCAUAUAUUCUUCUUUCUUCUUCAAAUUAUGUAGUAAAAGAGAAAUUUCAGCAAUAUGAACUAAACCAUUUGUAAUAGUAGGAUAAUAAGCUCCAGAAAACUCAAGUGUAGCAACAUAAAAUUUUUGUAAAAAUUAUACAACAUCAUGAAUGACAUCUCAAGUUCUAGAUGUUAACAAACGGCUAGGAUCGUUACAAUGAGAAUUAGCAACUUCAGUUAUAGGCAUUCUAUAUUUAUAACAUCUUAAGAAUAAAUAAGUAUAAUUCCACCUAGUAACUAUUUCUUCAGGCAUGAGUCUUGGUUUUAGUCCAUAGUGUACACAUUUUUUCUUAAAUGCAUUUAAUCUAACACUUCUAUUAUUUCCUUGAAUUACAUUAACAAGUCUCCUAACUAAAGUAAUUUCAUCUCUAAAUAAUUCAAGGCCACUAUUCACAAUCAAGUUAUAAAUAUGACAUGCACAUCUAACAUGAAAUAUUUCAGGAAGUGGUGGAUAUAAAUGUAAUUUUAAUAUUGUAAUAGCAGCAUUGUUGUUAGAAACAUUAUCAAAUGACAUACACAAAACUUUUUCUGCAAGAUCAUAAAAUAUAGCAACUUCAUGGAUAGUAUUACUUAUAAAUGCACCAGUAUGACUUUGAUCUUCAUCAUAUUUAAAAGCAAUAAUACGUUUUUGCAUACAAGAAUUAUCAUCUAUCCAAUGGCAUGUAACAGUCAAAUAAUCAUUUUCAUUUAGAGCACGACCAAUAUCAUAAGUAAGAGAAACUCUACAAGGAAGACUUGCGAACAAAUAACGUAUAUAUGUCUGAUAUUGUUCAAAAAGCCUAAAGAUAUCAGCUCUACAAGUACUUCUAGGAAUACUUUUAAACACAGGGUUAUAAAUUCUUUGAAUAUAAGUAACAAGAUAUGGUGAAGAAGCAAAACUAAAAGGUAAACAACCUAACAAUCAUUUUAGCUAAUUCUUCCCGAUCUUUCUUAAUAUCGUAUUUACCAAAUAACCCCCAGUACUUGGGUUAAGUUUUUGUUGCCCAGAUUCCUCAUCUACUCCCUAAUCAAGAUGGUGUUUCUCUUCCAUAUGCCUACGAAGUUGACCCAUUCCCCCUCCCUUACCGGGCUCAUGUUUAUAAUGUUCAUUACAAAUUUUACAUUUUACAUAAUUUUUUUGAUCUUCUAGUCUUUCAAAAAACAUCCAACACUUACUUCUUAAUCGUCGAUUCUUCUUAAUAGGGAGAGGAGGCCUAUUUGUUUCACCCCUAAUAUUUUGAGUUUGACUAGCAUUACCAGGUGUAGUGGUGGUGUUUCAAGAUUAUCAGGUGAUUGAAUAUUAUCUAAAAUAUCAUUUAAAUCAUCAUCCAUACCAUACUUUUCUUGCAUUCGCUCAUAAUCUACAUUGAAAUUUUCAGGUGAACUUUCAAAAAUAUGUGUAAAGCUACUAGAAGAACCAACACCACCUCUUGAUCUUUUGGAAGUUUUCUUACUACCACCUCUACUAGUGCACGCUUUUUUGGCUGCUCUAAGUAAAUCCAUUAUAUAAAUUAAAUUAAAAAAUUAAAUUAAUAAUUCUAAAUAAUAAAAUAACUGUACACCAAAUAAGAGAAAGAGAUGGAAUGAGUGUACCGGGAUUCCGGAUGCCACACUAAUUUUGAUAUCAAAAAUCAAACUUCAAUUGAUAGACCGAAACUUGAUAGUUGAUACUUGAUAGUACUUGAUGCCACACUUCACUUGAAUACUUGAUAUUUGAUAAUAAUAAUUUUGUAAUGACUAAACUAAAUAAUUGAUGAAACUUGAAAUAAUAAAUAAUUGAGAAUUUGAGAUUUGAGAAUUUAAGAACAAUAAUAUCAAGAGAGAAUUGAGAGAGAAUUAGAGUAGUAAGAGAGUGAAUUGUGAGAAAAAANNNNNNNNNNNNNNNNNNNNNNNNNAAGAAGAAGGGGGCUAUUUAUAGGUUUUAAAAGGUUAAAAAUAUAAUUUUUUAACUAUUAGGGGUGUGAGGGCUAUAUUUUUAAUGGGGGAGCAAGAAAUGGCCAUUUCUGCAAAAUCUGGUUGUUCCCUAAUGGUCAUUUUUCAAUUCGACCGUUGGCAACGGUCCAAAUAAUUAAAAAAAAAAUUCUCAAUGGUAAUUGGGCUGAUAACGGGCUACAGCCCAUUAAUGUGUCACAGGCUUAGCGGGUACGGUGUACCGUUAUCCAAAACAUGUUCGUCCAAAACCUGUCCCCUGACCAACCCGUCCUAGCCCGCACAAUAAGCAACAGUAACGGGCUGACCCGGGCUGACCCGAGUUGAAGCGGGUUGAAAACGGGGCAGUCUGGCACGAUUAAUACCUAUAGUUCAAACUCAAUGGUACUAUGGGGUCAUCUAUUUUGACAACUCUGUGUAAGUCAGAGGCAGAUCCACAGUUUUAAGCUUAUAGGUUCGUAUAACAAUUUCAAGUUAAUCAACAUGAUAACUGGACCAACGAACUGAGUUUUAAGCUAAAUGCUCUUAAUACUUUUUAUGAAUUUUUUAGUACAAAUAUAGGGUCUAUGCAAAAGUUACUGGGUUCACGGGAACCCGUAACCAUUGAUCUAGAUCCGCCCUGGUGUAAGUUACAUAAUUAUUUGUCCAAAAAUAAAAGAAACCAGAUAGAUUUGGGGGCUGGAAAAAGUCGUAGUCAUAACUGAAAAGUUUGGUCAGAAAUUUUAGAAGAGUAGCAAUAGUGGAAGUCUAGAAGCAUUGAAACGUUAAACACGAGUAAGAAUAUUAAUGUUCUUACAAAUUGUCUAAUUGACGUUCGACUUCCUAUUGCGAAACUGCCAUAAUAAUAAGUGUCUUUAGAAUUGAAAACAAUUUUGUCUUGUCGUUGCAGUUGACUAAUCUGGGGAAUGCACCUCAGAUAGUUCUAUGAAUCUUAUUGGCAUGGCUAGUUUGACCAGCCCAAAAAAAUUGGGUUCAAUGAUGAUUAGCGAGUCUGAUUACAAAAUUGAGCUUACCUAUAUAUAAGAUUGUGAUGAGUACCCCUUCAUUCUUAAUCAGAGGUCUCGGUUCAAGCCUUAGGAAUGAAAUCGGCUUUAUUAGAGAGUAUUUUACUGCAUAAUGUGGGACUUUCUGGUGUGUAUUCAAAUUUAGUCGAUUUUUAAUGCAAAUACACACUGUGUGUAAAAAGAAAAAAAGAUUAUAAAAGUAAGCUUAGUCAUUAGAAAAUUUUAAUUUUUUUUAAUUCUUAGUAAAUUUUACUCAAUUAUGAAAGAAGCGGGUAUGGUGGAACCGACUGCUAAAUGAUCCCAUGUGAGCACAUGCAAACUUUUGUAUUUCCGAAUCUUUCGUUUGGUUCGUCUUCAUUAAAAAGUUUUUGAUCUUAUUGUUUAAUCUAUCUGCAUUUGGAUUUUGCAAUGUUUAUUAGGUUUUGAGCCGUCGCUGCCAGACUAUUGUAGGUUAGUUGUUUUCUUUUCUAAACAUUUUGAAUGUUGCGGUGUUUGGUUUAUUUUUGCUUAUAUAAAAUAUUUUCGUUAAUUAUAAUUAAUCUUUGUUAUUAAAUGUGAAAAUUACUUUUUUAUUAGGCAACUAAAUUGUAAUGAAAGUGAUCUACUGUAACACCCGCAAACAUUUUGAACUCGUUUAAGCUUAAUACAUGCCCAAAACCUAAUUAUGUGCUGAAAGAUUGAUAAUAUGUGGGGAUGCUAGGCGAGGAUGUUAAAAUUGUGUUUGAGACAAUGCCGCGACUGUUGAAUAUAGUUUGGAGUUGAGUUGGAAGCGCGGUUUGUUUGUUAGCUUUCGCAUGACGUCAGGUUAUUUUAAUCCCAACAAAAAAGGGGACAAUCAGUAUAAUUAAAUCGUGUGAAUAAUGCGAGAAAUUAUGUUAGAUAAGUGAGAUCUGGAAAGGAUAUACGAUGAGCUCGUGUUGCGCGAGUAUCCCGUUAGAUUUUGGGCAGCCAACUCCUAUAAAUAGAAUUAACUCGGGGGGAGAGAAACAAGAAGGAGAUUUUGGAGUUAGGCCACGACUUUUAGGGAUCAACUAUCAUGUAAUUACAAUUAUGAUAUUUUGGACAAGUUAUAGUCAAUUAAUGCUAACCUAACACCCAAAUUCGUGAAAAAUCUCUUGAAUUCUCAAAAUAUCUUUCAAAGUUGAAAAAUUAAAGAAGUGUUUAGAUAAUUAUACUUGGGCUUCAUAUAUUUAUGAAUAUAUCUAGGUUGCUAUGGAGUUGUGUCUAGUAAAGUCCCUCUUAUCGGUGUGUCAUAGAUGUCACUUACAAUUGGGAGGCAGUAGGCAUUUAGGAAAAUCUUAUGUUUACUUAUUCUAAUUUACAUUAUGCGAUCAGACUCAACUCGAGGGAUUAUUUCUAAUACAUGUGAUGUUCCGAAUUCUUAUAAAAUCACUAUUCGCAUACUAAAAUAAUGGUUCGAAUGAGUUGUGGAGGUACUUGUAGCACCAAGAGGCCAAGGCCAUGGGCUGGGCCAGUGAGUCGAGCUUGGGCAAUAACUUGGGCCGACGUCCACAACAUGCAGCAAUCAAAAAUCAGAGUCGAGGAUGACCAACUCGGAGCCCCUUCCAGGUCUGUUUAUCCCAUUAGAACUGAUGACAGGCCUAAGAGAAUCGUCGAUCAUGAAUCAAGGCCGGUCCGAGAUCGGUAUCAACCAUAUAGUGCAGACCGAAGGGAAAACGGGUCCGGGCGCAACUCUACAAGAAACGAAAAUAGAAAUGAUCGAGGGCCCAAUAACCGAGGCCUAAUGAGCAAAAGUGGUUUCGACAGGCCGCUUAGGGGAAGGGAAGCUCUAAAAUUGUUAGAGUAUAACUUCAAAGUUGACGCAACAAGCAUUGUAUCAGCCACUGGACGCAUCAAGGAGACCAAGUGGCCUUGACCAUUGCAAUCCGAACCUACCCACAGAGAUUCUAACAUGAUGUGUAAGUAUCAUGGCACUCAUGGCCAAAGGACCGAGGACUGCAGACAACUGAGGGAAGAAGUUGCACGGUUGUUCAAUAACGAGCAUCUCUGGGAAUCCCUGAGUGAUCGAGCCAAAAAUCACUUUAAGAACAGGGAUUCCAACAAACAGGCCGACCAAGAAGAACCUUAACACGUCAUCAACAUGAUCAUUGGAGGGGUUGAUAUCCCUCAAGGUCCCAUGAUAAAAGCGCACAAAAGUAUCCAUCAAGAGGGAGAAGCGCACCCGAGAUUAUAUCACCGAGGGAGCCAUUUCGUUCAGCGAUGAGGAUGCCAAGGGCAUCGUGCAGCCUCAUAAUGAUGUACUGGAAAUAUCCGUACUUAUAAACAAAUCCUGAGUUAAACGUGUGUUGAUUGAUCCAGGCAGUUCGACCAACAUCAUCAGAUCGAGAGUCGUAGAACAGUUGGGGCUACAAGAUCAAAUAGUGUCGGCGGUCCGGGUGUUGAACGGAUUUAACAUGGCAUACAAAACUUCCAAAGGAGAAAUAAAUUUUCUAGUAAAUAUCACCGGGACGAUUCAAGAUACCAAAUUCUACGUGAUCGAAGGGGACAUGAGGUAUAACGCCUUAUUCGGAAGGCCUUGGGUUCAAAACAUGAGGGUAGUACCCUCAAAAUUACACCAGGCACUGAAGUUCCCCAUACCGGGAUAAAUCAAGACGGUUUAUAAAGAGCAGCUGGCCUUAAAAGAAAUAUGCGCAGUAGACGAGGUGAUCUCGUUGCCCGUGGUCUCGAUAUCAAAGAACAUGGAUCUAACUAGGAAGAAAGAAACUAAAUAGCAAUUGUACACGGCAAAAUCAGGGGGGGGCGAUUUCUUUCUAUUAGUUAACUUCAGAAGAACACCUCGAGGCCUCGAGGACACGAAGCUGUAACCAAAUUCUCUCCCUCAAAGCUCGUUGAGGCCUGACCUAAAGAGAACAUUGAUUGAGGCUAGAGUAAAAUAGGGGAUUCCCAAGGCACGCAGCUAAGUCUGACAAAGUCGGCCUGUAUCAAGGUGUUGCUUCUAGCCGUCCCAUCUCCUUACCUUUACAAUUAAUGCAUUUUGUACAAUGUUGGAUUUUUCCUCCUAUAUAAAGGGGAUCCUGACCACUUUGUAAAGGGUGGCUAUUGCUCCAACUAUUCUACACGAAAUAUACAAGAACUCUUUCUUUUCUCUCUAGCAUAUUCUCCAAACAUUAUUGCUAUUGCUUACUUGUUCUUCAUUUAUUGCUUGUUAUCGGCCAUAAAGAGCCUCUUUUAAUUAUAUCCUAACUAUUAUCCCCUUCCCGAUUAUCCCCGAUAACUCGAGCCCGAACCCAGGCAUCGACUUCGAGGCCCCUCAUCGGUUAGUCCGAGGCCCGGACAGCUAACCCCUUGGUUUGAUUAUAACUUUAUUUUAGCUCGCAUUUCAUCUUUUAUUUUCACAUAACUUGCAUCAAAUGCUUUAACAACUAGUAUAAAAUUAGAUCACAUAUUUUUAGAGUCCCAUCAACAAAUUUAAUUGUUAUUACCAUUUUCAUGGUAAACAGUUUGGCGCCCACCAUGGGGCUAAAAAUAAUAGUGAUAAUUUUCUUGCUGGUUUCGUUACACAACGCAAGUUAUCUUUCACACUUUUUCUUGUCCAAGAUCAUCGAUUUCAGGUCAAAAAUGUCUUGCUCAGUGAACAGAGUUGAGAACGACAACCUUGAAGACCACGGAGAAAACGGUGUGGCUGUUCCAAUUAUUAUCGCGCCGCCACAGAACCUUGAUAACACACCUGGACCGAUUACAGCGGACGCGGGUUCGCAAGACGCACAACAGGUCGACGAAACCUCACACACCGACAGGAGCAUACAACAUGACAACCAACAAGAAGCCCAAAAAACCCCAGCUCGGGAAGAAUGUGAAGUUAGUCUUCAUGUUAUUUUUGAAAUGUUGCAGGCACAACGACUGGCUAUCGCUCAGCUGCAAAGCCACUCGAAGACUCCCAUCACAAUAGCACCGGAAAUUACUCCCCCGGUCGAACAUGUACCGGAGAGAUCAAGCAAUAACGUCUUCGAUCCUACCAUCAUAAAAAUGCUCGAGGACCUCACCAAAAAGAUCGAGUCGGGUGAGAAAAUGAUAGCAGCCAAUGACAAGAUGGUCGAAACCUAUAACUUCAGGGUCGAUCAAAUCCCGGGCACACCCCCGGUCCUAAAAGGUAUAGAUUCGAAAAAGUUCAUGCAACAGCCGUUCCAAAAGGAAGCGGCUCCGAAACCCAUUCCAAAGAAGUUCGGAAUGCCAGAACUCCUAAAAUACAACGAGACCUUAUAUCCCAACGAAGCAUCACUAACUAUACAUGCGCAGUAAAGGGCAACGACAUAAAGGAUGAUAAGAUUGAGUUCAUCUUACUGAAGAAGUUCGGAGAAACGCUAUCGAAGGAGGCCAUGAUGUGGUAUCACAACCUAGCUACCAACUCCAUAGACUUAUUCGACAUGCUAGCGGUCUCCUUCAUAAAGUCACACGCCGGUGCCAUCAAAGUAGCAACAAGGAAGUCCGACGUAUUUGAGAUUAAGCAGAGGUAGAAUGAAAUGCUGCGAGAAUUCGUAUCUCGCUUCCAAAUGGAACGUAUGGAACCACCCCCGGUAUCUGACGAUUGGGCGGUGCAGACCUUCACUCAAGGCCUGAAUGAAUGAAGCUAAGUGGCCUCAAGACAGCUGAAAGAGAAUCUGAUCAAGUAUCUCGCCGUAACCUGGUCAAACGUCCACAACCGGUACCAGUCAAAGAUCAGGGUCGAGGAUGAUCAGCUGGGAGCACCCUCGGGCUGAGUAUAUCCGAGCAGACUCCUGGCAAAAGAGUCGAAACCGAACAAAGAGAGUUAUCAGCCGUACCCCAAAGAUAGGAGGAAUGCCCCGAGACGCAAUCCGCCUCACAAUGAUCGAUUGGUGAACUAAGGACAGAACCCUCGAGGACUCGUCAACAGAGGCGGAUUCGACGGGGACACGGGGCCAAUGGGGGUACCUCACCUAUCAGAAUACAACUUCAAUGUCGAUGUAUCAGACGUCGUUCUCACCAUCAGCAAAACCAGGCACACCAAAUGGCCUAGGCCUAUUUAGUCGGAUCCUUCCCAGAGGAAUCACAACUUAAUAUGUGAACUUCAUAAUACGCACAACCAUAGGAUCGAGGAUUGACACCAGCUCCAAAAGGAAAUAGCCAGGCUACUCAAUAAAAGUCAUCGCCGAGAAUUUUUGAGCAAUCAGGAUAAAAUUUAGUUCCGAGAAAGAAAGGCGGCCAAGAAUCACGAAGCAAAUGAGCCACGACAUGUUAUCCGUAUGAUACUGGAGGGGCAGAGACACUCCCCAGGAACCUGUGAUGGGGAGGACAAAAGUAUCCAUCGCCAGAGAAAAAUGAACCCGGGGAAAAUGCCCUCACAUUCAGCGAGAAAGGCUCCGAAACCUCGCCCCAACCUUAUAGCAACGCACUGGUAACCUCUUUCUUCAUUCAUUCAUUUCGAAUAAAACAUGCACUUGUGAAUUCAGGUAGCUCGACCAACAUUAUCAGGUCGAGAGUAGUAGAGUAGCUCGGACUGCUAGACCAAAUCGUUCCCGCCUCUCGAAUCCUUAACGGAUUCAACAUGGCGACCAAAAUAACAAAAGGAGAGACCACUCUCCCAGUCACCAUGGCCGGUGCAGCCCAAAAUGCCAAAUUCCAUGUCACCGAAAGAGGUAUGAGGUAUAACGCCUUAUUCAAACGGGCAUAUACACUGCAUGAGAGCGGUACCAUCCACUCUUCACCAAAUGAUGAAAUUCCGAGCAAAGGACGGAAUUAAAACCGUUUAUGGGGAACAACACGCGGCAAGGGAAGUGUUCGCGGGACGUAACGUAGCGCCGACACCAAUAUCUCCACUCUUGAAAGAUCCAAAGGACAAUUGAACUACAUCUUCGGCUAAGCUCGAUUAAACACAGUGAAGGACCGUAUCGAAUCCUCACUCCAAACAAUAGGGACACAUCAGACCUCGGAACAUCCCUGGCGCAUCCCACGAUAAGGUAAGACCACCUCCCCUUUUCAUUAUUUUACACUGACCCAUAUGCAGGCGCCCGAUCAGGGCAGUCGAAAGUACUAACCCAACCCGAAGAUCUCAAGGCCUUAACGGUAUUUGUUGCACUCUUUUCCUUUGACCGAGCUUUUGUCCCGAAGAAAACUUCACCAGCAAGGUUUUUAACGAGGCAACGUCCACGUGAUACCUAAGGAGGAUCCGACAAGCGUACAAGGCUUCUUUUGCAAUCAACCCCGAGCACUGGAGGGAACGCCCUUGGGAGGUUAUCCACUUGGAAGAACCAGGGAACGAAAAACAAGGUUCCAAAUGUAUUGGGCCAAACGGUCAAAUGAACCGUGUCUGCAUGAGCCGGGCUCACGACAACAAAACAACUUGUACUUAUGCCAAACAAUCAAAGAAUGUCUUUCGCCAAAGCAUCUCUUACUCCAAAGAAAAUUCAGCAUUUUCACAGCGAGGAUCCCUCUACCGAGAAAGGCUAGUCCACGUAGAGACCUCCUAGGUUCAAUGAUCAAUACUAUGUGUGGUGAAAAACUAGGAUUCAUGACUUCAUCAUGGCUGAAGACUCUGAGUUAUGGGAUAAAAUAUGUGAUGGACCCUUUGUCCCUACAAAGAACUUUAGGGAUCCAGCGAGGGAACAACUCAAGUGAAGCAAUCUAAGAUUGAUAUGCUUACAACAGAAUAUGAGCACUUCAGAAUGAAAGGUGAUGAAUCCAUCUAAGAUAUGUACACUCGAUUCACCUUCAUCAUUAAUGAGCUUCACUCACUUGGUGAAAGUAUUCCAAGAAACAAGCUUGUCAGAAAAAUCCUUAGGGUACUACCUAGUUCUUGGGAAAGCAAAGUUAAUGCCAUUACAAAGGUUAAGGACUUGUAGACACUAACCAUGGAUGAACUUGUUGCAAAUUUUGAAACCUAUGAAAUGAAGAAGAAGAAGAAGAAGAAGAAGGACAAUGAAAGAAGAGCCCAAGAGGGAGAAAAACCUGGUCCUCAAGACGGAAAACAAUGACUCAAGUGGUGAAGAUGGGGACAUGGCUUACUUGACAAAAAUGUUCCAGAAGAUGGUUCGCAGGAAUGGAGGCAUUCCAAAAAGGGGAAGCUCUAGCAAGCCCAAAAAUUAUGACCUUUGUCAUAAAUGUGGCAAGCCAGGACACUUCAUCAAGGUUUGACCUCUCCUAAAGCAAAAUCAGUAUAAUAACAACUUUGACAAAGCAACAAAGAGGAACCAGGUUCCCGACAAACGCUUCAAGAGAAAGAAUGAUGUCGACAACAUUGUAAAGCAAGCUCUCGCUACAUGGGGAGACUCCUUGAGGGAAUUUGAAGAAGAAGACGACCAUGGUGGCAAUUCAAUGAUGGCAGUGAAAAAUGAAACAACUAAGUAUGAUUCAAUCUUUGCUCUAAUGGCUCAAUCAGAUGACGACGGUGAUGAGGUAAACUUUUUGGAUGUUCAGAGAAAUCUGAAAUCUUACUCUCCUAAAAAACUCAUGUUAUUAGAAAAUGUGCUAAUUGAUGCUUGCCAUAGUCUUAUAAAUGAUAAAAAUGCCUUAACUAUGGAACUAGGGGAAGCUGAACAAACCAGAGAGAACUUAGUAGUCGUUUUAGUUGAUUUAAAAGAAAUAAUAGAGAACCUAUAAAGAGAAAGGAAUGCCUUAGAAGAGAAAAUUGCUAUCAUAGAACAUGAACGAGAUGAGUUGCUAUCAUUGAGUGUGCAAGUAAAGAAAAGGAAACCUUGACUGAGAGAGUUGCUAUCAUUGAGCAAGAAAGAGAUGACCUAGUAUUGGUGGUAGUAAACUUGAAAGAAACAAUUGAAAAAUUUAAAACUGUAAAUAGGCCUGAAAACUCUGAAAAGGGAAAGGAAGUUGCAAGUGAAACACACAUUAAGCUUGAAAAUGAGUUAAACUUGGUAAAGAUUAGUCUGUGUGCUGAACUUGAGAAAAAACACAGCUUCAUGAAGUACUAGGGAAAGUAAAGAGUGAUGUUGAGAAAUCUCUUAAGUGGACCUAGUCCUCGGAUGAUAUCACUGCCAUGUACACCAACUCAGGGGGAAACAGGCAGGGGAUUGGGUUUCAAAGGGAAAAUAUUCCCUACAACCCUCAUAGAAAGUAUGUUACUAUAACUCAAUAUUGGCUAUGUACCCACUGUGGCAACAAUGGACACCUCAAGGAAAAUUGUAUGGCCUGGGUUCAGUCUCAUCCGAGAAAUAAAGUCUUUGUUGAGAGAGAAACUACUGCAAGAGGACAUGGUCCGUCAAAUAGGAAAUGUAUUUUUCCUUCUUGGACUAAGAGAGCACUUAUUCAUCCUUUUUCUCUUAAGAAGGGACCCAAACUUGUUUGGGUUCCUAAAUCUAACCCUUGAUUUCCUUGUGCAGGUAACAAUGAAGGGAAGCAGCCAAUAAUGACACAUGAAUAGUGACUGCUCAAAAGGACAAGACUGGAAAUA
rnacentral:lncRNA from 1 species